AUGUAUUUUCUUAAUCGGUGUGAAUCCAACCUUUAUCUGAUCUAAAUUCAGUUGUAGCAAAAUGUUAAAUGCGAGAAUGUUGAUUUUUGUAAGGAAAACUGGCUGAUAGUUUUGCAUACUGAGCUGCAUGAGUGUACUAUCUCAUAUCAUGCACAUUAUUGAAUUGUAAUGCUGCUCUGGUUGCCCAUUCAUUCAUUGUGUCAAUGUUGCUUUCGUAUUACUUUACCUGGCUGAUGAUAGAUGUGCCAUAUCUAUCUAUCUAUCUAUACCUACCUAUACUAAUUAGAGACUCCCAAGAAAUUGCCACGUUAAUUAGAAAAUACUAACCGUUCAUCUGGUGGGACCGAAUUAUUACGGUGUAGAUUAAACCAUAUAAUCUUCGACAAAAAAUUUACUCAAAAGACCCAAAAAUCCUUUUGUACAAAUAAAAUCACAUACGUCAGCCCAUAAGAGACGUGCACAAUCAAAUACUAGCACGUAACUUGCCCCUUCCCCAUGUAACAAAAGGAAAAAAACUGCUAUAUCCCUCUUUGGCAAAAAAAAACAUGUGCUGCCAAAAGAAUCUCCACAACACACACGUCUCCUCCACCUUGGUUUUUACGUCCCGUAAUCCCAAAAUACCAUGGUGCCUCCGAUCAUCUCCCUCAUCCCUCUUUGGCAAAAAAACAUGUGCUGCCAAAAGAAUGUCCACAACACACAUGUCUCCUCCACCUUGGUUUUUAGGUCCCGUAAUCCCAAAAUACCAUGGUGCCUCCGAUCAUCUUCCUCACGCCACUGCCACCGCCGCCGCGUCAGGUCUUUUUGCAUUAAUCUUUCACUUCUCCAAUCUCCUCCAAUCAGGGCCUUCCCAAGUGCUUCUCCUGUCCUCCAUCAUCGACAAUCUUCCUCAUCGCUUAUGUCCCUUCGUGCAAAUCACACCUCCAUGUGCCUCGCCCAUUAAAUCUUAUCGCUCAUGGUGUAGAUGUGCAAGAUCAAUCAUGUGAGACAAGCAUGUGAAGGAAGAAGAAGUUAGGAGCUGCUCCCACCGGCAUCGUGACCAAGAAUCUGUGACGAAUUAAGUUUUCCCCAACGCAACACAUGGCAUGUGCUUCCACCAGCUGCAGGGUUUGCUUGGGUGCCCACCGGCCAUCCAUCUAUAAAGCGCAUAAGGAACAUGGUUGCUCCUUUUCAAUCGGGUCUACAAGUAACAUCACAUUUGCAUGUCUAAGGAAUCACGUCAUCUUGCAACGCAGGCGCCGCCCACUGGCGUUGUCUUCGUGUACUAUGGCCAUAGUGCGGCACUAAAGUUUUUCCACAUAAAACUUGAUGGAACAAUUAUAGGCAAGCUGAAGAUUCUUCACUCCCGUUCCUUUUCUUUCUUCAUGUUCACCAAGACGAAGAAACUAGAUUAUUUGCAGAAUAUUCGGUCUAAUUAUUUUUCCAAUUCCCUUGCAGGUUAACGCUAUCAAUAGAACCUGUACAAAGUUGUGCCUCUGGCCAUGACAACUUAACAUUUCGACGUCGCCCAGUAGUCGAUAACUGAUCGCAAGCAUGUGUGCACUGACCGUAGGAGCACCGAGCACCACGUAACUAGACAUGUAGCAGGCUCCGAUUCCAAGUGGAGUAAGUUAGCAAUUGGCAAUGGUGAUUUUCAAUAUUUCUCAUCUAAAUUUGCACGAUUAAGUUAUAAUUUCUUAUUUAAAGGUCAUAAAUUCUUAUUCUGGAAGUAGACAGGUGUAUGUUUUCAGAUUUUCAGACAAGAGAGAAUCCUAGACGAAUGCAUGUUUGUCAGAUUUUUAGGAAGGGAAGAAUCCUCCAAAGUACAGACUGAUUUCUUGAAUUUGGAUGUUACCCAUGGUCAUGCACGAUUGCAGUUGUUGAGCAACUAUCGUCUAAGCAUCUCAGCCUCCCGGUUGCCGAUUCGUUUCAUCAUGGCAUCGUGACUGGACGAGUGUAGUUGGGCUAAUGGAGGUAAAUUAAAAUCCUAUAAUUAAUGUUUGGUACCUCCAUGGUAGAAGAAAGCUUGCAAAGAGGCAUUAAUGUAGCUAAUUUGGUACGCGUAAUUAAGAUAAAGAAAUUACAGAUUUAUAGUAGUUAUCUAAUUUUAAUCCCAUUACCAUGCUCUAGAUAGCUGCUAGCAAGUGGAACGUAUUCUUAUAUUUCUCUUCUCAUUGUAAGGUGUAAAAACAGUAGAAAUUCUCGCAUUAUCUCGGCUAACUUGCUGUAUGUCUACGGUCUCUUGGUACAGCUCAGAUGUGGAUCUGAUUUGCCUAUAGGCUGAAUAAAUAAUCUGUUGUCACAUGUCCGGCUGAAUAAAUCUCUUUGUAGGAGCACGUAAGAGGUAUGCAUCCCUUGCUCGAAUGGCCGUAAAAUCAUGUUACUAUAAUGGAUUAGCGUGAGUAAGAUGUUUGAAGUAUUUCCUUCUGUGUAGAAGCUUAUAUUAUAUUACUUUGAAAAAAUAAGCAACUUUAUAAUUAUUAACUUCUUCUAUGUCCGUGGUGCUCCAUUUAUAAUCAAGAAGUUUAUAAUAGACAAUAUAUGGCUGUGUUAUUUGAAGACAGACUUACUUUUUUGUCUGACAAAGUGUUGAUACUGACUUGACGGCAGUAACUGAGUUGACCUGCUACUUCUUUGCUUAAUUAAUAAGUCCUAUUCUUGGUGAAUUCUUAUUGACAUCGUUCCUACACAAAUUAUGCAGGGUUAAUAGUACAAAUCGGUUCAUUUGUAUAGUCAUGUCUGAGUGUGCAAAUUAUACAGGGUUAAUAGUACAAAUUGGUUCAUUUAUAUUGGCAUGUCUGAGUGUGUACUGCAUACUUCUACAGUUUAACUAUCGGGUGUAUAUGCUUUAUCGGGUGUAUAAUUUAUUCUAUGAUACUCCGGACGUUAUGUUGGGCCAAAGUCACAAUAUACUGCUGGAAAUUCUAGAUUGCUUUAUCUUUGCACGACUCAUGACCAGAUGUGCUAAGCUGUUUCGAGUAUAUUCUGAAACAGGUGGAAGAGGAUUAUUGUAUACAUUGUUUGGGUAACGAUGCUUAUGCUUUCAGUAAGCAAGUCUGACCAGUUGAUACCUUAUUUAGUUAUCUGUCAAUAAGGUACAUUUGAGGUCUUAAUAAACAAGAUGUACUUGAACAUUGACCUUCCAGCCAGAACAGAGAUGCAUCUGCAAUGGUAUUUUACUCUUACUUGGCAAGUUUCUAUUGUCAAGGUAUCGCGAUGCCCAAUCGUAUAUAGUCAAUAUCAUCAUCCAUCUUCCACCACCAUGAUUACAAUUGUGCCAUUAAGAAACUGGUGCACAUGGUGUUGUCUUAACCGAUGAAGAAUAAUAUAUCAGCCUUUGAAGAAGGGUAAUGUCGAAAGCAAGGACAAUCACACCAACUGUGUGAUGGUGUUGUGAUGGAUCGAGUAACCCGUAAUGAAGUAGGUUAUUCCAAAGAAUGUCGUGGUUUUCUUCAAGUUCCUAGGAAAGCCAAGCAACUCAAACAUGCAUGUUAAUUCAUGGUGGUAUUAUUGAGGCAUGUAGAUCAGUUUAUCCAUGUGAUACGUGAAACCAAGAGAUAUGCAAGUUCUAUACUAUGAAACAUUCCAAACAAAUGUUUUAUGUGGUACCGAAUUGAGCCACCUUUGUAAGACUUUGGAUGCGGUAUUGAACAUAAACUCAUGUAAUUUGUGAUGAUGGUCAUAUAUGGAUAUCUUUUGUAAGCCUUCUUUGAGUGUGUGUUGCUAAAUAAUUAUUAUCAAAAAUUACCCAUCAUUUAUUUUAGGAUUUAUUUUGUGUUCAAUUGUAAUUUUACUUUCCAUUGACGAUUAAUAAGUGUUUUUGCCACCUCUUUCUCCCCAAGUUGGGGACGGUUUAUGCUCCAAGCAUACAUAAUUUCCAAAUCUUGGCAUAUUUCCAUAAUUUCUAAAGAAAUAGCAUAAGUAGGAUCAAUAGAAACUAUUAGCAAUGCAUGAUACAAUGUAACCAUAGAUUUGGUUUAUGAGAUGAUAUUCAAACCAUUGUUAUUGUCAAGCUAAAAUUUUCAAAAAAAAAGUUGCCUGUGCGGAUGCACGGGUUGACGACUAGUUGUGUUAAUUUGGUGUAGGCUGCUGUGGUCUGGUUGCCCGAACGUUCAUUGUGUCAAUGUUGCUUUCCUAUUAUCUGACCUGGCCAAUGAUAGCAACGCUAGUGUGUUAAUUUGGUGCAGGCUGCUGAAGAUAAGAAGACAAACUCUGAAAAGAACAAUGCAACCCCAUUGUUUGUUUCCAACAAAUCUAGGCCAGGUAAUAUGGCAAUAACUCUUGAUUAAUCUAUUCGGUUCCCCUACUAAUUUAUGUUAUGAUGCACUGGUCGAGACACUCUCCACUAUCAAUAAUACAUGCCUGCCAAAAUCGCCAUCUGAAUCUGUCCAGUUUCCUUUGUCUCGAAUGCAAUGGAAAAAAUGUAUGUUUGUGAACCAAUUAAUGGCUGAAGCGAUGAUGGAAAUGGUGGAGGAAUUAGAGGUGCACAUUCGUGCGCAACAACAACUGAUCAAUGUUUUCAGAGACAAUGUAGCAAAGCAGCAAGAACUUGCGCACAUGCUUAUGGGCGUCAUCCGUGCUGAGGUUGCAGAUUGUGACGUUGUAGAUCAUUAUGUUCUGUUCAUUUAUUUGCACUGGCGUCAAUCUUUGAUUGCCCAGUGGAUGUAAUUUCCUGUAAUAUAUGCUGGAUGUGCAACGUUUUUCCCUGUAUGCCAUACCUUUGCUUGAUCGGUUUUGGUCCUGUGCAUAAUUGCUCGUCGUAAUGGGCUCAAAUUAUCUAAUUGGUCCCCAAGACAUGUACGAACUUUAUUGGGCCCAUUAAGUUAAUGAGCCCAUUAAGUUAAUGAGCCCAUUAAGUUAAUGGGCCCAUUAAGUUAAUGAGUCAUUACCAGGCCGAAAGUUAGUGGUCGGCCUCUUACCUCCCGGGUCAUUAACACGCCGACAUCAAAGCGGGCAACAGGUGGGCCCAUUUGAUUUCACAGGCCGUUAACAGGCCGAUGCUAGGUCGGGCUACAUAUGGCCCAACUAUACCGUGGGCCUUUAGCAGGCCGAAAGUGACAGCGGGCUCGUACUGGACCAUGAAGAGCAUGGGCCGCAAAGAGGCCGAAAGUCAGGUCGUACUGUAAAUGGCCCAACUGUGUUGUGGGCCUUUAGCAGGCCGAAAGAGAAACCCGGCUGGUAUUGGACCAUGAAGAGCAUGGGCCGUUAAAAGGCCAAAACUCAGGUUCAACUACUAAUGGCCCAACUCACUUAUGGGCCGUCACCAGGCUGAAAGACACACCGGGCCGGAAAUUGGCCCAACACUUAAAUGGGUCGCUAAAAGGCCAAAAGAUGUACAUCUUGAAAAUUGGCCCAACCCUUGAAUGGGCCGUUAACAGGCCGAAACCACAUCGGGCCGAUAUUGAACCUAAAUAUAUAUCAGGCUGUUAACGGGCUAGAACUGACGAUGGGCUGCAAUGGUGUCAAAUCGUUAACGGGUCAUUGACGGGCCAAAUUCGCACAUCUCGUAUGGGCCGUGGGAUUAAAUGGACCUGACACAAGUAGGCCUUAUGUGGGCCGGCCUGCUAAUUCUUACUGGGCCUUUUUCACCGGAAUGGGCCACUGUUGGGCCGUGCCAUGUGUCGAUCUAUCAUAGGUGCCUCCUGUCCAAUGAGUGGAUGACAUCUGUCCCAACAGUGAGCCGACACGUGGUUCCUCCGGCCAAUGAGAACUUUACACGUGGAAAAUCCCCAUUGGUCCGGGCUAUUAACGGGUUAUCGGAUCCGAAACCGGACCCGAUAGCUUAACGGCGACCCGUUACGGUCGAUGCCAUGUGUCGGUCACCCUUGACGAAAGCACUUCUAUGACGCGCGAUUUAUUGUCAUGGAAGUGGACACUUCCGUGAUGAUAAUUUUGGUAAUGUCAUGGAACACUUCUACGAUAGCACAGGUAUGACUAUCUUGAUUAUGUUAUAAAUUUGUCAUGGAUGUACAUGCAUGACAGAAGACGUGACCUACUGUGACAAACACGUAUCAUCACAGAAGUGUAUUUUUUUGUAGUGUCUGCUUGCGCAGGUACGCAUAUCCGUCCUCGAAACCUGAGUGUGCCUAGUGCGUCCUCAGAGAAAUCCCGAGUCUGGCCUUCUCGCAGACGUUUGUGAUGUCCUUGCAGAAUCUCGUCGUCAGCAUGUGCCAUGCGAAUCUCCUCCUUGAGAGUAGGAGUUACUUCAAAAAUAUUUGCAAGAACGACAUUUACAAUUUCCAAGUUGAGCUGAGAGAUCUCUUGUUGGAGUUCCAGAGGCAAGGACUCCAUCAUGGCAGUUAAACUGGCAGGCAUGCGACUAAGGGCAUCAACAACCACGUUGGCUUUUCCCGGAUGGUAAUUUAUUGCGAGAUCAUAGUCCUUGACCAACUCGAGCCAUCUUCGCUGUCGAAGGUUUAAAUCUGGCUGGGUGAAUAUAUAUUUGAGACUCUUGUGGUCGGUAAAUAUUUGACAUCUUUUUCCAAUGAGGUAAUGUCUCCAAAUCUUUAGAGAGUGCACAACAGCGGCCAGUUCCAAAUCAUGUGUAGGAUGAUUUCCUUCGUGAGGUAGUAGCUGGCGAGAUGCAUAAGCUACCACCUUGCCCUCUUGCAUGAGUACGCACCCAAUACCCAUUCUGGAUGCGUCACAAUACACAUCAAAGCUGCGGUAAAUGUCUGGGAGAGUCAGUACUGGUGCUGAUGUCAAUCGGGGUUUUAACUUGUAAAAGCUCUUCUCGCAAUCCUCAGUCCAUUCAAACUUCUUUUCUUUCUUGAGGAGUUCUUUCAUUGGCUUGGCAAAUUUGGAAAAUCCUUUGAUGAACCGACGGUAGUAUCCGGCUAAUCCAAGAAAACUCCGGAUUUUGGAUACCAUUGUGGGUGCUACCCAAUCGAGCACAUCCUUUACUUUGCUGGGAUCCACUGCGAUGCCUUCUGCUGAUAGAACAUGUCCCAGAAAUCCGACUUGUUUGAGCCAAAACUCACACUUGCUGAAUUUUGCAUAAAGCUGAUGGUCACGGAGUAUCUGACUGCUCAGAGGUGUUCCUUGUGUUCUUUGUCACUUUUAGAGUAUAUGAGAAUAUCAUCGAUGAAAACCACCACAAACUUAUCCAAGAAUUCCAUGAAUACCUUAUUCAUCAUAUGCAUGAAAAAGGCUGGAGCAUUUGUGAGACCGAAAGACAUCAUCGUAUGUUCAUAGAGACCGUAACGGGUAGUGAACGCAGUCUUAGGAAUAUCUUCCUUCUUGAUCUUGAGCUGAUGAUAUCCAGUCCUUGAAUCAAUCUUGGAAAAUACUUUUGCCCCACUGAGUUGAUCGAACAAAUCAUCAAUCCUUGGUAGCGGGUAUUUGUUCUUGAUGGUGACAUCGUUCAACCGAUGGUAGUCCACGCACAUUCUGAGACUGCCGUCUUUCUUGUCUACAAAUAUUGCGGGUGAUUCCCAUGGUGACGAGCUUGGGCGGAUAUAUCCUUUUUGCAGCAUCUCAUCCCACUGUUUCUUCAAUUCCACGAGUUCAGAUGAAGGCAUUAGACAAUAAUUUUUGCACAAUGGUGCACAUCUAGGUACAAGAUCAAUUGUGAACUCAAGCUCUCUGCCUAGAGGCAUUCCGGGUAAUUCCUCAGGGAAUACAUCGGGAAAUUCACUGACCAUCUGAAUCAGAUCCGAUUCUUCGGCUACUGCUAUGAAGACCAGUUCUCCUGUGGGUAUGUUUUUGCGGGCAUAGAAUUUUAUGGAUCGCCCUUCCUGAUUUGUCAAGGUGACUUCUCGGGUCAGGCAAUUUAUGCAUACUUGAUAUUGGGUCAACCAGUUCAUUCCCAAAAUAACAUCCAACUUGGCAGACUCGAUGACUGUCAAAGCGGACUCCCUUGAUAUCAAUUUCCAAAUUUCGGCAGACCAGAUUGCUUUUGAGCACAGAUCCCGGGGACUGAACCAUCAUACUAUUUCCCAAAAGCGAGCAAGGAAAUUUGUUUCGGGCAAUGAAACUCCGAGAAACAAAAGAGUGGGAAGCCCCAGAGUCAAAUAAAAUUAUUGCGGGUAUGUUAUUAAUAGAAAACAUACCAAUGACGACUUUGGGGUUUUCCUGGGCCUCGUCUGCGGAGAGGUGAUGAACUUGCCCUUGGACGAUCUUCUGGGUAUGAUAUGGCCCCAUGUGAUUGACUUGCGGCCGGAACAGGGCAUUUGACUUCUUGGGACACUGCCUGGCAUAAUGUCCGGUCUAUCCACAAUUAAAGCAGGCGUUGUUGCGCUGACGCUCCUCGUGCACUGGACUGGUCACGACAUUAUUGACUUGAGUAGUGGUCUUGUUCACAUUCUGCUGCCAAUUUGGUUUGUACUCCACUUGAGUCUGUUGCCAGGUACGGGCCUUCUGUAUGGGAUGUCCGUCCCUCUUCAGCUCGAAUUUACGCUUGUGGUCAUUGUUUGCGGGUCGGUUGUCUUGCAUAGGCUUGUACUCUCUUUCUGCGAUGAGGGCCUUGUUUACUAGAGACUGAAAAUCUGGAAAGUCGAGCAUGCAUAGAGCACUCCUGAGGUGUUGAUUUAAUCCUCCAAGGAACCCGCCAAUCUUCCUUUCUUUCGUGGCCACAUCAUAGAGGGAAUAACGGGCCAGAUGGUUGAACUUGUGCAAAUAUUCGCUUACUGACAGACUUCCUUGAGUGAGACCAAGGAGUUCGCGUCGCUUGACCUUCAUGACACCAGCUGGAAUAUGGUACUUGAGGAAUUGGUCCUUGAAAUUAGUCCACGUGUUCUCUUCUCCCGCAGGCCACAGAGCUUUAGCAUUAUCCCACCAUAUAGCGGCGGCUCCUUCAAGAUAGUGGGUAGCAAACAAAACCUUGUCAGCUUCGUCGGUGCGAGCAAUUUUCAAGUUUCUUCUCAAUAGUUCGUGACCAAUCAUCUGCUUCCAAAGGGUCAACCACUUGACUGAAACUGGGAGGCUUAGUCCUUUGAAAAUCUGACAGCUUGGAGUGAUGGCCAUUUUGAUUCCCAUUCUGCCCAACCGUAGCUUGCACACUUUUUAAUAGCUCAAUCAGAUCAUUGUUCCUUCUUUCUUCAAACAUGCGCAUAAUUUGUUGAGUGGAGGGUGGAUUUGGCGGUGGAAGCGGUGGCUGCGGAUACGACUCGGGGGAGUGUCCUGCUUGUCUUGCUUAGCGACGAACAGGGACAUCCUCACUAGCCUGCGUGUUGCUGCCUCCCCGCGUCAUCCUACUAUUUAUUUUUCCCCAAUAAGAGCAACCGCGAUGAGCAACAUCCAAACGUGGGAAGAAAAGCCAGUGACAAACCCGAAAGAGUGAGACGAACGAACCAAGAAACACGGCGAUCGAAUAAAAAAGAAAGCUCCCACAUAAUUAUACAUAGACUCAUACAUGAAGGAUAGACAUCAUGACUAGUGCGACUACUCGCAUACAUGCAACGAUACAUCAUGGAUCAUACAACUACAUUCGUACAUCACAUGACCACUGCGGAUACUCAGACGCUCUAGGACUCUGCCGGUGCUGCCAGAUCCUCUCCUGAGUCAGACCCGGAUCCUGAACUGACAACGCUAACCGAGACCUCCGCGUUAAAGGUAACACGACGACGCUGCCUCGAGGGCUCUCCCUCAGGCGUAGGCGCGGGAUGAGAAGGGAUCAUGGGAGCUGCGGGGGUAGCAAGAAGAGAUGCCCACUCAGCAUGAGCACUGUGUGGGUUCACAGUCGAGGUGCCCGAGCUACUCGGGGGACUAACCGGGGAAAUAGGCGAACUAGAACUAGGCACAAUAUAAGGAGUAAAUCCCAUAGAAGGUGGAUUAGGGUAGGAUCUAGCGGCGGCUAAAGCAGAACGAGCACGAUUCAGCUCUCGAGCCAACUCGUGAAUCAGAAGAUAACUAGCAAUGAUAUGUCGAGAAAGGUGGCUAGUGUCACUAACAGACGCCAGAUCAACGGAAUGAAAGCGAAUGCGACCAUCAUCAUGCAAAGAUGGGUAAAAGCGAAAACCUGGGUGGUUCUGCAUCCGAGCCUCUGUAUAGCGUAACUCAACAAGAAUCUCGAAUGUAGCAUACUGGACGGCCUGAGCGGCGGUGGAUGCAUAACGGCUCCGAGAGGUACGAGUGUAAGAGACUGCUGACGAACUGCUGCGCAGAGUAACCACGACGUGAUAAUCAUACACGGAGUCGGCUGAACGCUCCCGGUACACCCGAUAUGCUGGGUCGUCACCAUGAGCGUACAAUCGACGCCACACGUUACAAAGAAGAUGUGGUGAAGUGUAUGGCAUUAGCUCCAACUGACACGGAUACGGCACCGGACCCAUCUACACUCACAAACAUUAACCAGUUAGUAAUAACAAUAAGUCUAAUGCAUGUAAUGCAGCAUCCAGAUGCAAACAGUAACGACACUCAAUUAGCAAACUAACUAGCGUUUACUUCGCUUGCCGGGGCCUAGCGUGUCCUACAGUCAGCGCGGCUCUGAUACCAAGCGUUGUGGCACCCCGGCUCAGAGCAACCGGUUUACCUUGCAUUGCCAACCCAGAGAUCAUGUCUUCUGGCAAUACACAACAUCUUGGUACAGAAAAUCACCACUUUAUUGAAACUAGCGGAAGCAUAGUGCGAUAUUACAUCAAGUAGCGAGGCCCAGCGGCACACUCGGUGCGGCUGAACAAUAUGUACAUUAUUUAGUGAACAUAGAGGGGCCUCGAGCACGACAUCUACACGGCAGCGGAACAACAACGUAGCAGGACUCCAUGGCACAGGGACACCGAUGUGGAGACGAUCUACACACGGUAGCACUCCGAUCCAGUUAGACUUUCCUGAAAUCUGGCAUAACACGCCAGGUCAAUACAUUGAAUGUACUUGCAAGCUCACAGCAAGCAUAACCAUAAUGACAAACAAUAUCAUGACAUUUAAUCAAGUUAAAUGCAAAUAGCAACAUGCUACUCAUGCAGUGAAACCAAACUUGUGUACUGAGUCACUCGGACUCUCUCUUACCAACAGGUUGCCUCGCAACCGAACGGUGAUCAUGACGAAUCACAAACGGAACCAUACUCGGUUCAACGGGUUACCUUGUAACCAAACGGUGAUUACUCACGGAUCACAAAUGAUACCACAACAGUCAGCCUCGCUGACAUCAUCAUGAUUCAACCAGUGCAAUGCAAAUAACUUAGUGUGCAAGAUUUCUUUAUAAAAGUUGAUCCAUGGUGUGACUUACUUAUGAACUGGGCCCUUAUCCGCGGGUGCGGCUAUCAAUAGAUUAAUACACUCUGCAGACGUAGCGCACUUUACCCACAGCACGGAAUCCAUGGCCUUGCACUCCCAUUCGGGUGGACCAACGGCAUUCCGACAGAACUCUCCCAUUGCCAUGACACUCUUUCGGCCACUCCGACCAACUCCCCACUGGGCUUAGUCCUGGGUGGCCCCAGCCUACCAAAGGCAAAACGACCACCGUCGUGGCAAAUAAACGGUCCCAAACGGGGACAAGGUACCAUAACAGCAACAGGCUCACAAGGUUAUCUCUGCUUACCGGGCCAGGGUAACGCACGCCCAUAACCUUCCCUCGUUGGAGGCACCGACAAAAGGCAUGACAACAUGACGACUAACGGCCUCCCCAUACUAAGGCAAAUGUGGUUGCACUUGUCAGCCCGAUUCAGGAGCACCAUGACCCGACCAACUUUAUGUUCAAGUUCAAUUAUCAUCAGGUUUAACUUGAAAUAAAAUGCUCGAGUCACUAUAUGCCAUGCUUAUGCAACCAUAUAUAAUGCAUCACAUAUCACUUAGAAACAACAGAUCAACCUCAUUCAAAGUUCUACUUGCACAAACUCAUCUUUCAACAUUUCUGGUCCUUACUUACUGGUCAUCUGGAUUCAUCACUUUUUAGUUGGCAUUUAUCCUACGAAACUCAUCAUGCAUAUACGGAAAAUAAUACUGAUGCUCAUAUUACCAUAGUCAUGACAAACUCACUUAGUUCAACUACUCAAGCUAUAUCUCACUAGUUCAAGCAUUCAUUCCUGUUAACUAACCAUCUUGAUCAUGACAAACUAAAUAACACAAGUAUUAUUUAUUUAAUACUAUAUGCAAUGAAUAUCAUAUAUAUUCAAGUGGAAAAUCAUGGAUAUUGCAAAGACACCAUGAAAAUGUUGUUGUGGAUUGCCUUAGUGCAGAGGAGCUUCAAACUCCUCCUGGAUGCCUUCAAGACAAGCUUCACCUUCUGAAAAUAAAUCAAAUGGCAAAAAGAAAAUAUCAAGAACACUUAUGAAAAUUACCAGAAAUGCUAGACAGCACAGAAAAAUCUUAUCUUGGGUGUGCUCCUAGGAUUUUCCAGUAAGAACACAAUGCAAAAAGAAUCAACUCAUUUGGACUUGUAGAAUAAAAGUUACAACUAGUCAAAGUUCUGGUCAAAUUUGAAUAAGAGAAAAACCAGAGGGGGUGACGUCGAAGGCGUAAACCAGUAGGGUGCCACCACUCAUACCGCUUCGGGCGCGGCUUGAGUAGCUGUCAGCGGGCCCCAGCAGUCAAGUCGGAGGGGGAGGGGGAGAGAAGCAGAGUCGGGCGGCGCCACGACGACGCUUUCUCCGGCAAGGAGUGCUUGACGAUGAGAUCUGAGAGGAUAGGAAUGGAGAGGAGAUCGAGGCGCACCUGCCCGUACCCGUAGUGUGGCUAGGGGUGGCCGGACGGGGUCGGAACGAAGCUCUCCAGCGGCGGCAGCGAGCGGAGCUCGUCAGAGAUGGUGAUUCCGGCGAGGCAGGGCCAGUCCAGCAGCUCCAACGGCACCAGCACGCACCAAUGGACCACCACGGACAUUCCGGAGAAGUCAGUAGAGCUCGAGCGGCUCUGGAGAGGGAGGGGCAGUGGACGGGGAUCGCCGGCGAGCUCAGUGCGGGGACGGCGGCCAGAGGCCUACCCGGCUGGGCUGCGGCUUCCUACGGCGUUGUGGAGGUGUGUUGAGAGCGUGUGUGGAGAGAAACAAGCUCGGGGGGGGCUCUAUUUAUAGGUGAGGCCGAGGCGGGGAUCGAGAGCUCGCCGGAGCUCUCUAGAGUGGCGCCCGGCGACAAAUGGCGUUAGUGAGAGGGGGAGAAGGCACCGGGGAUCACGCGGGAACUGUAGGCGGGCAGCGACGAGCACAGGAGCACGGUACGCGACGAGCAUAGGGGCACGGGCGCACCAUUGGCUUGGCCGCGCCAUGCCCGUGCUCGCUGCUGCGAGCUCCGACGUCGGUGAGCGCCUGGGCGGAGUUAAGGAGGUGCAGACGAGGAUGGGGGUACGGUUUGGAAAGGUGCAGUGGCCGGGACAUCGAGCACGCGCGAAACAGAGACGCUGGCGCACCGCAGAUCGCGUUAGCCGCAUGCCAGCCCCCUUGGAUGAACGUGGUCACCGCGUGAACUUUGGCAUCAGGCUGAGCUAAGCGCAAACACCAUGUCUGGCAUAUAGUCCUUAGUGGUUUUGUUUGUUUUGCACGGUUGGCUGGGUCACAGGUGAACUGUGUGAGUGGGUUUCUUCCUGGCAAGUUUCUGGGUAGAAACUUGUGAGCUUCACUGAGAAAAAUCUAGUGGGAAAUAAAGGUUGUGCUUUGGGUUUUAGCAAUCUCUUAGGAGGGUAAUGAAGCUCAGAAAAGAUCAUCCCCAAAAGAUCAACGAAAAAUUUACUUGCUGUGCAAUGUGGCCAUUUUGUCCAGAACAGAAAUGAUUUUCUGUAGCAAAAAUAUUCCAAAAAGUUAUGCAAUAUUUUUGCUCAGGGAGGUGCCCUAGGGUUCAAAGAGUAUUUGUCAAUUUAUUCAUGAUUUUAGGAGCAAGAGAACUAGGGGUUGCUUUGGAGCAUACUUCUCUGAAGUGAUUUUCAGGGAAGAAAAUGAAUAUUUUUCUUUUAUGAAAACUAUUCCUUGGGCUUUUGUUGGAGUUUUUCAGAGAAGGAAAGAUGAGCUAGGGGUGGAUGGGUCACUUGGGUGAAAAUCAAGGAUAGGACCAAGUGAUCAAGUCCAUUUGAAUUGAUUCAAAACUCCAAAUCCAAAGCAAAUGCAAAAGAAAGUCCGGAAAAAGAGAGAAGGCAAAUCCAGGCUGUCACACUUAACAAGUUGUCUGCAACGGGGUUCUCAGCUCCCUUUCUAUCAAUAAUAUGCAAAUUAAAUUCUUGUAGCAAGAGAACCUAUCUAAUAAGUCAAGGUUUAUCAUCUUUCUUUUCCAUGAGAUAUUUAAUAGCAGCAUGAUCAGUGUGAACAGUUACUUUCGAAUCAACAAUAUAAGAUCAGAACUUGUCACAAGCAAAGACAAGUGCUAGAAAUUCUUUUUUCAGUAGUAGCAUAAUUUGUUUGGGCACUUCUAGAGUUUUACUAGCAUAAUGAAUAACAUUCAACUUCUUAUCAACUCUUUGCCCUAGAACAACGCCAACAACAUAAUCACUAGCAUCGCACAUAAUUUCAAAGGGUAAAUGAACGGGACUUACCCAUCUACUAUCAACAACAUGCUAAAUUAUACCUGCCUCCAGAAUCUUUAGUAUUUUAUUUCUUACCACUUCUUUCAUCUUAAGAUUUAAUCGUCGUUGAUGAUCAACAACUGGUUUAGCAUCAGGUUCUAAUUUAAUCUUGUGCUGACAUAGAGUGGGACUAAUGCCCUUAAGAUCAUCAAGAGUGUAUAUACAAUAGCGGCACGGUGCUUCUUCAGAGUUUUCAAUAAUUUCUUUUCUUCUUGCUCUGAAAGGUUAGCACUAAUAAUAACAUGAUAUAUCUUAUUUUCAUCAAGAUAAGCAUAUUUCAAAGUAUCAGGUAAUUGUUUAACCUCAAACACGGGAUCACCCUUGGGUGGAGGAGGAUCCGUAAGGAUUUCAACAGGCAAGUUGUGCUACAAAACAUGCCCUUGAUGAAAGACUAUUUCAUCUAAUUCCUUUCUUUCAUUCAUAAACAUAUCAUUCUCAUGAUCUAGCAAAUAUUGUUCUAAAGGAUCAGUAGGAGGCACGACAAUAGAAGCAAGACCAAUAAUUUCAUCCUUACUAGGAAAUUCUUUAUCAUGGGGUUGUCUAUGAAAUUUAGAGAAAUUAAAAACAUGAGAGAUAUCCCCUAAACCAACAAUAACAAUAUCUUUCUCGCGGUCUAUUGAUACGUCUCCAACGUAUCUAUAAUUUUUUAUUGUUCCAUGCUACUAUAUUAUCUGUUUUGGAUGUUUUACACGCAUUAAUAUGCUAUUUUAUAUGUUUUUGGGACUAACCUAUUAACCUAGAGCCUAGUGUCAGUUUCUGUUUUUUCCCUUGCUUUAGAGUAUCGCAGAAAAGGAAUACCAAACGGAGUCCAAACGGAAUAAAACUUUCGCGAUGAUUUUUCUUGGACCAGAAGACACCCAGGAGACUUGCAGUGCAAGUCAGAAGAGCCUUGAGGCGGCCACAAGGGGUAGGGCGCGCCCCCCGACCUUAUGGGACCCUCGAGGAUCCCCUGACCUAGAUCUUCCUCUUAUAUAUACUCUUAUACCCCAAAAACAUCCAGGGGAGCCACGAAACCACUUUUCCAGCGCCGCAACCUUCUGUACCCGUGAGAUCCCAUCUUGGGGCCUUUUCCGGCGUCCUGCCGGAUGGGGAUUCGAUCAUGGAGGGCUUCUACAUCAACACCAUUGACUCUCUGAUGAAGCGUGGGUAGUUUACCACAGACCUACGGGUCCAUAGCUAGUAGUUAGAUGACUUCUUCUCUCUCUCUUUGAUUCUCAAUACAAAGUUCUCCUCGAUAUUCUUGGAGAUCUAUUCGAUGUAAUACUCUUUUGCGAUGUGUUUGUCGAGAUCCGAUGAAUUGUGGACUUAUGAUCAGCUUAUCUGUUGGGGCAGCAAGGCACGUAUUGUAUUGUUGCCAUCGAGGAUAAAAAGAUGGGGUUUUCAUCAUAUUGCUUGAGUUAAUUCCUCUCCAUCAUGUCAUCCUGCUUAAUGUGUUACACCGUUCUUUAUGAACUUAAUACUCUAGAUGCACGCUGGAUAGCGGUCGAUGUGUGGAGUAAUAGUAGUAGAUGCGGACUCGUUUCGAUCUACUUGACACGGACGUGAUGCCUAUAUUCAUGAUCAUUUCCUUAGAUAUCGCCAUAACUUUCCGCUUUUCUAUCAAUUGCCCGGCAGUAAUUUGUUCACCCACCAUAAUAAUUUCUAUCUCGAGAGAAGCCUCUAGUGAAACCUAUGGCCCCCGGGUCUAUUUUCCAUCAUAUAAGUUUCCGAUCUACAAUUCUAGUUUCCUAUUUACUUUCUUUGCCAUCUUUUACUUUCCGUUCCAUAAACCAAAAAUACCAAAAAUAUUACUUUGUCGUUUAUCCAUCUCUAUCAGAUCUCACAUUGCGAAUAACCGUGAAGGGAUUGACAACCCCUUUAUUGCGUUGGGUGCAAGCUUGGUUGUUGUUUGUGUAGGUAUUCGGUGGCUUGUGCGUUGUCUCCUACUGGAUUGAUACCUUGGUUCUCAAAACUGAGGGAAAUACUUACGCUACUAUGCUGCAUCACCCUUUCCUCUUCAAUGGAAAAACCAACGCAAGCUCAAGAGGUAGCAAGAAGGAUUUCUGGCGCCAUUGUCGGUGAGAUCUACGCCAAGUCAAGACAUACCAAGUACCCAUCAUAAACUCUCAUCCCUCGCAUUACAUUAUUUCCAUUCGCCUCUCAUUUUCCUCUCCCCCACUUCUAAAAUGAUUUUCGAAAAGAUUUGCCUUUUCUUCGCCCCUCUUCCGUUCGUCUUAUUUUUCUUGCUCGUUUGCCAGUUGCCACCAUGUCUGAAACCGGGGAGGUUAUUGUUGAAAAGGAUAGUAGUAACAAUGGGGGAAACCUUGAUGCUUUUGCUAAUUCUAAUCCUCAUGAAGAAUCUACUAUCUUGCAUGCAAUUUUUUUCGCAUUGGUAGCGGAAAUAUUAUUGGAAAGGGGGUUAUUCGAGAUUGCUUUACUUGUGUCGGUGCACUCCCCACCUUGGGUGGAUCUAUUCUCCAUAAGACUAGUAGCCUUGCGGAUGCUAUAUCUUUGCUUAUAGUUGAGCUUGAAAGACAAUUCAUUCAUAUGCAUCCUUCCAUACAAAGGAUCUUUUUAGAUUUUUCAAAUAUUGAGCAUUCUUCUGUUAAACGUGUCGCCACUAUAUUUCUAGCUCACGAGUUUAGAUUUAUAUGAAAGAGGCUAGCGAAACUUUUUCGCAUUAUAAAGUAGAUGGUGGUCGUCCUCCCAUAGAGGGAAUUCUAUUUAAUCAAGAGGACAUAAUGCGUUUACGAUCCCUAGAUCAUGUUGCUUAUAAUGAAAAUUUAAGAAAGAAAGUUCCUACCGAUGUUUUAGUUGAUAAGAUUUCUGAGCUUAAUGAUAAUUUUGCUAUACAAAGCAACGGCUUGGGUUUCUCUCUUGGACACAAACUCAUUACUUUUUGCCAAAAGAAUGCUUAUAAUGAUGAAUUGGUCAUACAAUACGAAGGGCCGAAGGAGGAACCAAUUCCUCCCGAAAUCGAUCUUGGGGAUUCUUAUCCUAUUAAAUUUAGCCCUUAUGAUUAAUUUUGCUUGCCACAAAGAAAACUUGCUGCUGAACAUAGGGAGUAUGAGAUGAGUUUUUGAGAUCUACCUUAUCAUUAUUACGACUACACUUAGAUCUAUUCGUGUUUUUUACGCCUAGCUAAUGGUGUUAAACGAUAGCGCUUAGUGGGAGGAAACCCAAUUGUAUUUUAUGUUUUUGCUUUUUAAGUUCUCUUUUGCUUUGAAUAAAUCAUCUAUCCUCUGGUUAGAUGUGUUUUUGUUUUUUAAUUAGUGUUUGUGCCAAGUAAGACCUUUGGGUUAGCUUACGGUGAUAGUUGAUUUAAUCUUGUUGAAAAAAGAGAAACUUUGGGCUCAGUCCCAGAAUUGUUUAAAAUCACAGAUGCGCGAUAAAAUCCUGAUUUUUUCCAGUAGAUUGAUAUACAAAUUUCCCUUGCUUUACUGAUUUUUUAGAUUUUUUUUGAAUUACAUAAGUAUGCGAACUUUCCAGAUUGCUACAGACUGUUAUGUUUUUAACACAUUCUGUUUUUCGUGUGUUGUUUCUUAUUUUGAUGAAUCUAUGGCUAGUAUCGGGGGGUAUGAACCAUGGAAAAGUUGGAAUACAGUAGAUAUUACACCAAUAUAAAUAAAUAAUAAGUUCACAACAGUACCAAAAGUGGUGAUUUGUUGUCUUGUACUAACGGAGCUUACGAGAAUUUCUGUUGAGUUUUGUGUUGUGAAGUUUUCAAGUUUUGGGUAAGGAUUUGAUGGACUAUGGAAUAAGGAGUGGCAAGAGCCUAAGCUUGGGGAUUCCCAAGGCAACUCAAGGUAAUAUUCAAGGAUGUAAAAAAUCCUAAGCUUGGGGAUUAUAAAGAAAGGUGUUUACAAGCGUCUUGCCGGAAGUAAGCAAUUUGAGGAAAUUGUACGCAAGCAAGGAAGACACCAGAAGAAUCAAGGUGUUGGUUUUGAACGAAAGUUCAAUGCCGACAGAGUUGAGUGGGAAGAAGAUCAAUACCCCAAGACGAAGUUUGUUCCUCAACAAGAGAAGUAUGAUCCUACUUUUUUCCAAGGAACACAAGCUCAAGAUGAUCUUCCACCACAAGACCACAAGCUAAAGGGCAAGGACAAGCUUCAAGAGGAGAUUGCUGCAUUUGAAGAAGCUCCUAAGGCCUUAGUCAAGUGGGUUCCCAAGACUACAUCAAGUUCCACUUCCAUCAAGUACGACUACAACUCCAAGGAUUCCCAUCAAGAUGGUGUGGAUCCCGAAGAAGAAGAACUAGAGAGUUCUUGAGGGUGACUCCGCCAACAUACUUCACUCUUAUCAUCUUGGCAAGGACAAGUGCAAACAACUUCCAUAUCUUGCACUAGUUGAAGGAGUCACAAACCCUCUUGUUGGUAAGACAAGGGACAAGGUAACAUAAUGCAUUCAUGGACAUCAUCUCAUGUUAAUAUCUAUGUCUAUGGAUAUCCUUGUGUGUUCCUUGUGGGACUAACCCGUGUAGGUAUUGAAAGUGCAACUCACUCCAAAGGAUUGCUCCGAAUGAUCUACAUCAACAUUGAGCAUCUACAUCUUCAACACCUACAUGAAGUCAUCAUCGAGAAAACCCAAGAUUAAUUCAUCCCUCUUAGGGGGGAUAUCACAUCUAGGGGGAGCUUUACUCUAAUCAAUUGAGAUAAAGCAACUCUAAUGAUGUGAACAAAACAAUGCUUUAUGUAAAAGUGGUAACCCCACUUGUGCUUAAACGAUGAGUAUGACCUAUGAUCAAAUGUUCUCAUUUGACUCCUAAGUCAAUAUACUCAUAUAUAGAUGACCUAGUCAUCGCCAAACUGCUUGAUAGAUGCUAGAGUGAUUGUGCAUGCUUUGUCACAUAUUUCAUUUAUCAUUUUAUUGUGUGAGCAUGUUGGAUGCAUAUUUUACUCAUUCGAGGACAUCCAUUUAUUGCUUUGAUUGUUUGGCUUUUCUCUUUUGCCAAAUGCAUGGACAAGAAUGCCUAAGAACUCCCUCUAGCUAUCUAUGCUUUUCUCGUCUCAAACUCCAUUCAUGCUACAUCACAAAGUUUGAUCAAGUCAGAUUCGAACCACUCUGUGUUAGGAGCACUCGGAGUCCCCGAUUCGUCAUAGACUUAAACUUCCAAAACCUCUUUGUGCAUUUCGGUAUGACCGAGUCAUCCAUUUCGGUCACACCGAGAUCACUAAGUUGAUCUAGGUUUUCAAUCUUGGUGCAACCGAUUUGGACUUUUCGGUCACACCGAGUUGCAGUAACCGCUUGCGAUUCUACAUCUCGGUGCCACCGAGUUGUUCCACUCGGUCACACCGACAGGGUCGGGAUAUAUAAACCCACGGGUGAGAUUUUGGAAAUUUCUUCGAAACCUCUCAGCCCGUACGUAUCCUGCUCUGCCGCCUCGUGUCUCCGGAUCGUCUCCUCGCCGCCAGCGACCUCCCGCCACUGGUUUCCAUCGCCGUCAACGGAAUUCUGCUCCUCCGUUGCUGCCGUAGCAAACUCCGCCGAAGUAGGGUACGAGUUCGUCUCUUUGUGCUAUUCAUUUAACUCUGAAUCGUAGCACAUUGCCCUGCCAUGAUCAUCACCACGUAUGCAAACACUCUAUCCAUUGAAAACAUCCUUUAGGUUAGAUUUGAUUUUGAAAUUUAGGGUUAGGUCUCCGCUGAACCCAUCUCUGACCGACCGAGUUGUAGAAAUCGGUCUCACCGAUUUGGCUUAGGCCAUAGCACUUGCGAUUUUCGGUCUGAUCGAAAACUGCAAAUCGGUGUGACCGAGUUCGAUUCUCUGUGAAACCCUAGCAGUCUCGGUGCCAUCGAACUGUGACUCGGUCUAACCGAGUUCACUAGUUUAGGUUCCAGAAGCUGCUUCGGUAUCACCGAGUUUACAAAUCCGUAGCUCGGAAAUGCUUUCUGUGGAGAACUAAAACUAAGUUUUUUAAGUCAUCGGUUUUGCAAAAACUCUGCACUUUGUGAUGCUCAUCCACUCUACCUCAUCUACAUCUAUUCACAGGGUCUGCUGUCAGUAAGUUUGCAGAGAUGUCUGAUCAGAGUGAUAGUCAGAAUAGGUCUGAGGAACAUGUGCAGAUGAGUGAGGGUUCAUAUCCCUCAAGCACUUCUGAUGAUGGUAGCAGGAGCACUCCAAGCAACUUGCCAAAGGCAGCCACCAGAACCAGGAAGAAGAGAACCUCAGAAUCUGAGGAUGAGGAUUAUGUUGCCACUGAGGAGGAAGUAAGCUCCAAGAAGAAAGUACUGAAAAAGGAAUAUGGCACAGCUGCUGCAAUUAAGCCAGGGAUGAAUAAGAAGGCACCAACAAGGAUAAUUCCAAUGUCUAAAGCCAGAGCACUCACUCAAAAACCCUCCAAGUCAACAGGAGGAGAUGAUGCUGCUGAGGAAAAGGAAAAGAAAGAGAGAAAAAGGGGAAGAUGGUGCAAGAAAGUUGACCCCAUGGCUGAAUUUGAAAAACACUCUUCUCAUGAAGAAGAGGAAGAGGAAGAGGAUGCUACACUAGCACCCAAAGCUCAGAAGCUUAUGGGAGAUGCUAUAAAGGCAGGGGCUGCUCCAUCAAAGCCCAUGUCUGCUCCCAAAGCUCCAGCUCAGAAGCCCAGUAAGCCCAAGAGGAACACCAGAAACAUACCUGCUGAAGAGAAGAACAAGGCCCAGUGCCUCAAGUUGAAGAAGAGGAUGAUGAUUCACUUGUUUUGAGGAAGUUGAAGCCCAAGAUUCCUGACCACAAUGAUGCUCAUCCAGUGGCUGAAGAUAUGCAUAUCAGAAAGGAUGCUAGACUGAGAUUGUGGAGACAGUCUGAUCCUUAUGCUGUGAGGAGGAGGACAGUAGUUGAUUAUAGGUUUCACACAAAGGAACAACAAUACUUUUGUGAAACUAUUUUUCUUGACAAGAAGCCCAUUGUCUGUGACAUGAGAUGGGUGGAUUGGGAAUACAUCCAGGAGAAUGAAGAUCACUUCCCGGGAGUUUAUGACAGCUUCAAAGCAUGUGGAGUUGACAAAUUUAUUUGACAGAAGUUCACCAAAUGGAAUGAUGAGCUGAUCAUGCAGUUUUACUCCACUACCCACUUCUAUCCAGAUGGGAGGAUAGUUUGGAUGUCAGAAGGUACUAGGUACCAAUCCACAGUUGAGGAGCGGGCCAAGCUGAUAAAUGCCCCUGAAGAACAUGAAGAUGACUUGGAUGUGUAUGCCAAGAAGAAGAAGGACCACAACACUAUGGCAAACAUGUACCAGGAGAUCCCAGAUAAGGCUUUGGAGACUCACAAGCUUGGAUAUGUACAUUUCUUGUUGUCUGGUCUGCCUACCAUCAACAAAUCCUUAGGCACACUCUGCUACCCAAGUCAGGAGAUGACAAGAUGAUCAGAGGGCAUUCUAUCAACUUGCUACAGCUUUUUGAUGUCCCUCAGAAGUUCAAGGUUAUCAGUUUGAUUGUAGAAACAAUCAAGAGGACUGCUGCUGACCAGAAGAAAAGCUGUGGGUAUGCUCCAACAUUCAGGAGCUCAUCAACUCCAAGAUGGGCACAGGAACAUAUCUAUUGGAUAAGGAGCAUCUACCCCUGUAUCCUGAUUUUGAAGAUAAUACUGUUGUGAUGAAUGAGGAAGACCCCACAUCUGAGCAAGCACAGGAGAAGAGAGCCAAAUCAAAGGCUGCGAAAGCUGCCAAGAUGCCAAGUGUUGAAGAGGCAUCUCAAGUUUUCCUGAAGAGCAAGCAAGAUCAACUUGCAUAUCUGAUCUAGUCUACACUAAGAAUUGAGAAGGGCUUGUCCACCCUGACUCAAAACCAGGAGAGCUUGGAGAGGAUCAUAGAGACCAAAUUUUAUGAUCUUGAUCUGAAGGUAACUGAGAUUCAAACAGCAGUUGAGUAGCUUCAGGAGGAAGCAGAAGAGAAGAGAGGCAAGGCAACUACUGAUGCAUUUCAGUGAGUGCCAAGGAGUCAGAGGUCUGUUGCAGUGCCAGUGACAGAUUCUAGAGCUACAGCAUCAGCACCAGCAGCUACAGCUGUCGGUGUCAAAACCGGCGGAUCUCGGGUAAGGGGUCCCGAACUGUGCGUCUAGGAUCGAUGGUAACAGGAGACGGGGGACACAAUGUUUACCUAGGUUCGGGCCCUCUCUAUGGAGGUAAUACCCUACUUCCCGCUUGAUUGAUCUUGAUGAAUAUGAGUGUUACACGAGUUGAUCUACCACGAGAUUGUAAUGGCUAAACCCUAGAAGUCUAGCCUAUGAGAAUAUGGUCAUCAGUAUCCAUAUCCGGACUAUGCUCUCCGGUUUAUAUAGGCACCGGAGAGAUCUAGGGUUACAUGCAGUCGGUUACAUAAGAGGGAAUCUUUAUAGUCGGUCGCCUAGCUUGCCUCCGACGCCACAUAGCAUCCAAUCCGGACACAGGUUCAAUCUUCGGUCUUCAUGUCUUCACAGCCCAUCAGUCCGGCCCAAUGGAUAACAGGCCGGACGCCCAAGGACCCCUUAGUCUAGGACUCCCUCAGUAGCCCCUGAACCUGACUUCAAUGACGAGGAGUCCGGCGCGCAGAUUGUCUUCGGCAUUGCAAGGCGGGUUCCUUCUUCUGAAAUCCAAGAUAGUCUUCGGAUGUAGUAAAUAUAUCCGGACUUAUGUAUGUAAAUGCAGAAAAUACAAUACUCCAUGAGUCCAAUCUGCUGACAACUGUUUAUAACAUUGUAUCACGCCUGCCCGGUUAUUAUUUCCAACAGUUGGCUAGCCCGUCGCCCCACGUCUCGGGGAGCGGUUUUGUUGGCACGUCUUGUCAAAGCAGAGAUCUUGUCCCCUUAUUUAUGGGAUUUUCAAUAAUGGAGGUGUGGGUAACCCAACCGUCCCCUGGGCACAACUCUUUGACGAUAGGUAAGUUUCGAGAUCCAGGAGGGGACGCUCGAUAUUCCGGGCCUUUAUAUAUAGGGACCCAAACUUGUCUUUCUCUUCUGCGUUUGCUUCUUCCUCAACCCCAGCCACCUCGAGUUCUAGCCCUCGGGUUCCAAUCGCCACCAGCACCAAUCAUGUCCGGGUCCAGCCGUUCAGGCCGGUGGGUGGCCUCUUCUAUCACGGAGGAGGAUAUUGCGAAGCUCCGCGUGGCGAGGUAUCCGACCCCAGAAAUCCUUCAUCGGCUUCCUUCCGAGGCGCAGGUUAUUCCCACCUCCAAAUCCGGCGAGACAGUAGUAUUUGUGUCCCACUUCCUCCAUGGGUUAGGGUUCGCGCUUAACCCCUUCGUCCGGGGCUCAUGUUCUACUAUGGGCUAGAUUUUCACGAUCUGGCCCCGGACUCGAUUCUUCUCAUCUUGGCAUUCAUCGUCGCGUGUGAGGCCUUCCUCCGGACUCCUCCGCAGUUUGGUUUGUGGCUCAAGACUUUUGACGUGAGACCGCGGGCGACAGAGGGGGAGCAGGCAGAGUGCGGCAACGUUAUGAUAAGUAAGCUUGCCAGCGCGGUUUGGUUUGAAGGAUCUUUCGCCGAGACUUCCGACCUAUGGCAGCAGGGGUGGUUUUAUGUCAACGAGCCGCGAAGCUCCAAGUGGGUGGCUAUGCCUGCGUUCCGACCCGGCCCUCCAAUUCUGCUCGCUUCAUGGAUCAACAAAGGAUUGGACUUGGGAUCCGUCAACAAGGUGCAGACUCUGCAAAGCCGCAUCCGAAGCCUUAGCGAGAAGGGCAUCGAACUUGUGAACGUUGUUCAAGUAAUGCUAGUCCGCCGGACCCUGCCAUGUCAGCGGCGGACUCUCUGUAUGUGGGAGUUUAAUCCGGAGGGGCAGCGGACUCCUCAGCACUUCUUCGGUGCUACGCACGAAGGGAUGUGGAGAUUAUACUUCGGGGAGCGAGAGCAAUGGCCGGACACCACCGAAGAUGUUGGCCUUGACUGCAAUCAUCCAGAAACUCCGGUAAGUAUUCGAUCUCCGAGCACGUUUCAUUCAAGCGUCUCUUGACAAGAUACUAAACAACCCGUCCUUAUACAGGACUGGAUAAAGAAAGCGGUGAUGAUCUGGUGUCUGGUGCCCCUUCCCGAAGACCCCGCGUCCGCCCUGCUGACGCGGAUGUUAACUCUGACGCCGUACCAGGUGUCUGCAGAGGGGAGCCCAAAGGAGAUGCCUGCCCUGAGGACGAUUCAUACUCUGUGUUUGGGGAAACCGAAACCCUUUUGCCCAGGGGCAAAGGUGUAGAGGGGGCCUUCCAUAGCAAGAAGAGGGCCGCUUCUAGAGGUCAGGAGAGGAAACCUUCCAAGAAAGGGAAAAUGCCAUCGUCGGGCAUCUUGGGCCGGGCAAGCGAUGUCGAUGUAGAUCUUGAUGAUGAGGACGAACCUCCGACCAGACCAUAAGUGACACAGGGUACUUUAACCAUACCUCAUUCCUUUCUUAUUACUGAAGUAAUCCUCUGACAUAUGUACGUCCUCGCAGGUCAACGCCUGGUGUUUCUCAAUCGUCCUCCUCCUCGGGAGACCUUCUGCCGGAGAUGAUGGAGAGUGACACACCUUCUCCGGCCUCCUUGCCCAAUAGGGAGGAUGAUCUUGAGGUGUCGUCCCGGAGGGAUCCUCCCAACCGGCAAGUAGCGCAGGAAACGAGGAAGGAGUUGCGGUGGCGCCUCUGUCACUCAGGAUUCGGGGAUCAAGAAUGACGGCCCCAAACUAUCCAGUUUACAUCCGGAGAUGAUUCUGGAGGCGGGUAAGCGAAUUCCUUCAAAGGAGUGUCGUGCUCCGGCACCGGUGUCCGAAGACCCAGGAGUGUCAGAGACGCUGACGGACAUGCUGCGACGAGCGUUUGUUUUGGAAGAGCACCGUGCCUUAAUGGUUUCGGUGGUCGAAAAGGUUCUCUCCGCGAAGAGCGGGUUGAACGAGGCCUUUAUGAGCCUUCUAAGAGGCUUUGAGGUUUGUCAUGUAAUGUUGCCAACUGAAUGAUAUUGACAGAAUGCACCUGUUGUGUAUGGAGUAGCCCCUGGGACUCGAAUUGUCUUCCGAAGGAAGCAAUCGGAGGAUCAAAAAGAUAUGCCUAGGUACUAACCUUGAUUUAAUUUGUAAUGCAGGCUACCGCCCCUCCUGCUACUGGCCGAAAUGCGGAAGUGACCGAACUGCAGCGAAUGCUGGACGUUGCGGAGGAUGACAUUGCAUUGAUCAACAUGCGUCUUGACGACUCGCAAGGUAUAUAUUCCGAGCAUUCCUUACACCAAUGUGCUUGUAAUUUAAGCCUGACUCUAAAAAGAGUUUUAUAUGAAAUGUGCAUGAGUGCAGAUGGUGCCGCUGCCGUAGAGGCCCUUCGGGCGGAGCUAGCCCGGGCCAAGGGUCAGGCCUGGCUUAGUAAUGCGGCUGCCGAAAAGGCAUCGGCUGAAUUGAAAGCCGAACAAGCUGCACGGCGCCAAGACCAGGAGAAGAUGUCCACCAUGGCGCACGAAUUAGAGAAUGCGGCUAGCCGCUGUAAACUUCUUGAGAAGGAAAAUGAAGCCAAAACGGCUGAGCUUGACAAGGCCUUACGCGAGGCGUGAGAAGCGCGGUCCGAAUCCAGAGCAGCCCGUGAGGAGAUUCGGCAAGCUGGGGAGAUUGUGGCUGGCAAGACCUUUUUUCUACAGGCCAAGUUCGGUGACCAGAACUAUGCUCAGCUUAACCAAGUAUGGAGUUCGCCGGACAAUUUGUUAGACUUGCCGAAGAGUUCUUCCGAUGCGGCGCAGUUUUACCAUGCGCAAGAGGGAUAUGCAAUGGAGAAGCUUUUCUGGUCACAAUUUGGCGCGUCGAAGCGCCCUCUGUUGCUGAAUGAGCAGAUGUCCCAGUGGGCCGAGCUGCAUAGGAUAUCCGGCGCUGCCAUGAAGGACGUCAUAGUCCGGUUGUGGCUGACUGGACCUGUUCCGAGUAGUUACUUCGGCCUGGUGCGGUGGCUUGUUGACGCAGUGCCGCGUAUCGACGCUGUGAAGCGGUCGGCGUGCAUUGAAGGUGCAGGGAUGGCCUUUGCCCGAGUGAAGACAUUCUGGGGGGAGAUGAAGGCCAUCGAUGUUGUGGCGAAGAGUCCACCCGAAGGCAAGGACCGUCCAGAACCGGAGCAUUAUUUUGAAGAUGUCCUAGAGGCCGCCCGCUUGAUAGAGGGUCAGUGCUCGAAAAACAUAAUGUUCGAGUGAUGUCUACAAGGGUUGUAACAGACAACUUUAUAGUUUAAUCUAUUUUCAUGUUUUGCUAGAAAGCUUGUAUUCCUCCUGUGCGGCCGUGUUAAUGUAAUCUGAAAGUUUUCCAGUCGUCGGCUUUAGCCCCCUCGUAGGAAAUACGGGGGUGUUCGAAAAAGCAUUGAAUCACUCUUUAUCCAACGUCUCGGUGCAUAAAGGAGGUGAUAAUGCGGCGAACCAGGCAAUCGGACUAUAGGGCAUUAACACUUUCACUUAGCCAUAGGAGUUUUAUGGCGGGGCUACGAUAUAGCCCCUGGUAUGUAUGCGGCAUAUUAUAAUUUUUAUGCCUUACACGUUUUGAUCUAAAAAAGAUCCUUCGUGUGACACGGAGAAUCGCUAAAGAUUCGAAUAAGUCGUCAAGUGGUUGACCAGCUCUCGCCGCAUCAUGACGGUCAGUUUUUGGCUUUCUCUACUGAGGUGCUCAUCCGGUCAAAGCCAGGGCACAAUCGCAGUAGUUCUCCCUUUACUACCCUAGUCGAUAGAGCGGAACGUAGGGUAGCAAGCACAGGAGCCGGGCAACCCAACUAUUGACCAAAGACAAUGAUUCGGAGCUGAUGCAUAUAAGGCCAAACUUGCGACGCCGAAGUACGCUAUAGAGUUGUUCGAACUUUUAUUGGCGACGCAUUUGUUCCCAUACUGAGCCCCUGGUAGGUUAUGCCGAGGUGCGUCUUGUAACACAGCUGUUACGGUCGUACUCAUUGUAGGAAGAGUAUGGAAGAUUAGUUCGGAUAUAUUUUACUGGGAGUGGAGCAAUAAGCCAAUGAUAAAUUCAUAUAUAAAAAGGAAAAACCACAACCUGGCUAUUUGACAUGCUCGGGGUCGAGAACGGAGGAAAAAAGGCAUAGCGCAGGCUCAGAAUGAAGAGUGCGGUCUACAAAAAGCUGUUUUGGACCUCCUGUCGCACGUCUGCGCUGCCCGUCCUCAGGGAGGGGAGUCCUUAACGAAAGUAGCCCCCUAGGUGAAUGUACGGAUCCGAACUCCGAUAGAGUCCAUUGUAGAUGUUGGCCUGUUGAUCACCUGUUUUUAAGUUAUAUUAAAAAAGUGUAAGGAAAACAGAUAAAAAACAUUACGGGAAUGCUUGCAGGGUUGUCCGUAUUGUGCUUCCGCCGAUGCCCAUGGUAUCUUGAGCGCGUACUGAUGUACGCGUGGUGUAAAUCUUGCCAGCAUAGUGGGUGGGUGGCGGAAGCCGAACUGCUAUUUCCGCUCGGGGAGUGGUCAAACUUUGGAGGGAAACUGUUUCUGGCCCCUGGUGUUCGGUUGGCGAGCUGCUGCGUCGUCUUUAUCGCUUGAUGGUCUCCUCCCCUUGUGCUCGGUGUUAAGCUUGCCUGCCUGCUUGAAGACCCAACAGUUUCUGUUGGUGUGAUUAGCUGGCUUAUCAGGGUGACCGUGAAUCUGAUAAGGUCGGUCUAAUAUCCUGUCGAGGGCGGAUGGUCCAUCCUGGUUGGCCUUAAAUGGCUUCUUCCGUUGACUGGGUUUGGGAUUGUGAAAUCCGGCGUUGACCGAUGUGUCGCGUAAUCUUUUAUUAUUGCUGCGACUGUUGUGUUCGUUUAGUCGUGGCUUGUCGUUGCCGUCUCGGAUUUCGGAAGUGCCUGGGUUGCUGGCUUUGUUGCUUUUACGAGCGAGCCAGUUGUCUUCUCCCGCACAAAAGCGAGUCAUUAGAGCGGUAAGGGCUAUCAUGGAUUCAGGUCCUUCCUGGCCGAGGUGACGUGCUAGCCAUUCAUCCCGGACGCUAUGUUUGAAGGCCGCAAGGGCUUCCGCGUACGGACAGUCGACAAUUUGGUUCUUUUUGACUAAGAACCUAGUCCAGAGCUCCCUGGCUGCCUCACCGGGCUGUUGGACAAUAUGACUUAAGUCAUCGGCAUCUGGUGGCUGGACAUAUGUUCCUUGGAAGUUCUCACGAAAGGCAUCUUCCAAAUCCUCCCAGUUGCCAAUAGAAUUUUCUGGCAAAUUGUUUAGCUAGUACCGUGCUGGCACCUUAAGCUUGAGAGGCAGGUAUUUAAUGGUGUGAAGGUCGUCUCCGCGAGCCAGGUGGAUAUGGAGGAGGUAAUCAUCCAUCCAUACUGCGGGAUCUGUUGUUCCAUCGUAUGAUUCGAUGUUGAUGGGUUUAAACCCGUCUGGAAAUUCGUGCUCCAUUACCUUAUCGGUGAAGCAAAGAGGGUGUGCGGCUCCUCUAUGUUGGGCCACACUGUGAAGCACCUCCGUUGGAUGUCGUUGGCGGCUUCGGGAGUGGUUGGCUCUGUUAUGUCCCGCUAAUUGGCCAUCAUCGCCGGUCGGGGCAUAUCCCCGCGAUCUGUACGUCGAUCUUGUCUGUCCUGCUCUGCCCACUAAGCUUUGGCGGAUAUCGCGAUUGUUUUCCCGAACCGUCUUGUUCUUGUUUUUACGGCCGGAUUGGUUCGUAUGGUGUUCUGCUUGGGCUGCUGCUUUAUCCGGGCCGAACUGUGGUCGACCUGCGCAUUGUUCGAUGGUGGUACGGGCUCCAGCGUCUCGCCAUCAUGUGGAGGGAGCCACCUGCACUUGGGGUGGCUUUUGUCCGGGCCACUAGGGCCGUAUUCUUCGACGGCUAGGACCUGGGUCCAUUUAUCAUUGAGCAGAUCUUGGCUUGCUUGAAGCUGCAGCUGCUUUAUUCUUAGAUUCCUUGUCGUGGCUAUUAGCUGGCGUUUAAAGUGCUCCUGUUUGAGAGGUUCCUCAGGCACGAUGAAUUCCUUGUUGCCGAGGCUCUCCUCUUCCUUGGAGAGUGGGACAUAAUUACUAACCUCCGAGUCUCCGUAUAUGACUUGUUCAUCAGGGCUAUCUUGCCCGCUUUCCUGGUCCCCCUGUUCGGAUCCUGUCUCGACAGGGUCUUCGUUGUCCGGAGUACUAUCACCUCCGGUGCUAGUAUUGUUUUCUCUUAAGUGACGUGACUGAGAGGGGCACAGGGGGCUCCUGUGUUCGGACUGUGUACCAGGAGGUUUAUCGUCAACUAGGUCCUCCUUGUCAUCGUCGUUGGGUGUGUCUACCAUACACACGUCAUACCAAGAAGUGGUCCUCCCGCGUCUAGCGGGUAGCAAGCUCUGGCCUUGCCCCUCAUCGUCGUCCAGACCGUCGAUUUCUUUGGAGCAUGGGUCAGGCGUGUUGGUUGGGUCUUCGACGGUGGCUAUGAAGUGGGUGGCAGGUGGGAAGCGAAAUUCUCCAUCAUCUGCCGUAAGGUCGAACCGAACAUAGUUCGGCGACGAGCUGUAUGCCAGGGAUAGGUUUUUUAGUGAGUUUAGUAGGUCGCCCAUGGGUGAGUGUUGGAAAUUAUCUACGGCGCUGAACUUGAAGAUCGAUAGCCGAUCGAGUUCGGUAUCCGCGGGCUCACAGGGUUCAGAACUCGAUACCAGAGACGAAUCCGGGGUUCCGUUGAUGCAAGUGUCGUACGAAGUGGAAUCUGUAGCCCCCGUGAUGGGGUUGAGUUUCCCGUCUUCGAACGACUUGAUCUGCUCUGGAUCUAAGGCCAGAGUUGUCACAGGAGCUGUCCCCUGGAUGCGGCCCGAUGACAGGUUUAGGCCAUGUUCGUCGGGGCGAAGGGGAGCGGUUGCUGCGGUCUCGAAUCCGUCGAAGAUCAAGUCUCCACAGAUGUCUACGACGUAGUUCAGGCUUCUGAAUCUGACCUGAUGGCUAGGGGCGUAGCUAUCGAUCUGCUCCAGAUGGCUGAGCGAGUUGGCCCGUAGUACGAAGCCGUCGAAUACAAAGAUCUGUCCGGGGAGGAAGGUUUCUCCCUGGACCACGUCAUUACUGAAGAUCGAAGGGUCCAUCAAACCUUUCGUUGACGGCACAGUGGAACUCUCAAUGAAAGCACCAAUGUCGGUGUCAAAACCGGCGGAUCUCGGGUAGGGGGUCCCGAACUGUGCGUCUAGGACCGAUGGUAACAGGAGACGGGGGACACAAUGUUUACCCAGGUUCGGGCCCUCUCUAUGGAGGUAAUACCCUACUUCCUGCUUGAAUUAUCUUGAUGAAUAUGAGUGUUACAAGAGUUGAUCUACCACGAGAUCAUAAUGGCUAAACCCUAGAAGUCUAGCCUAUGAGCAUAUGGUCAUGAGUAUCCGUAUCCGGACUAUGCUCUCCGGUUUAUAUAGGCACCGGAGAGAUCUAGGGUUACAUGGAGUCGGUUACAUAAGAGGGAAUCUUCAUAGUCGGUCGCCUAGCUUGCCUUCCAUGCCACGUAGCAUCCAAUCCGGACACGGGUUCAAUCUUCGGUCUUCAUGUCUUCACAGCCCAUCAGUCCGGCCCAAGAACCCCUUAGUCCAGGACUCCGUCAACAGCUCCAGUGCCACCUCCAGCAGCCACUCCACCAGCUCCAACUACAUCAACAGAUGCCUUCGUCCUUGGAGUUCUCUCUACACCACUUCCCGAAGACCAAGCCUGAGAGGCGCAUACAACUAUGCAUAUUUGAACUUUUUGGUAACUUGUUGCCAAAGGGGGAGAAAUAUGUAUAGAUCAUAGGCUUCGAGAGAGUGUUUUGCUUCUUUGCCUUUACUUGAACUUUUUAUUGUGUGAGAUACUUUAUGUCCUUGUGUGAGGUACUUAUUUGAUCAUGUGUUUGAUCAUUUUCUACCUUAAUGCUUGUUUGGAUGAUAUUAUCUUUUAUAUCUCAUAUAUGAUCAUUCACUUGCUUGGUGAUGAGUGCAUGCUUUUAAUUUCUAUCAUUUUGAGCGCUCCACCAAGAUGUAUGUGACAUGGAAGAGGAACCCAUGAUCCUAAUCAAUUGUGCAUUUGUAUUCAAAAGCAAAUUUGAAUAAUGCACAAAUUUAGGGGGAGCUCUUGCUUAUCACAUACUUCUCAAAGCGACGAUGUUUUUCUAUCUUAUGAUCAUUUGUCGAAGCUUUGAUCUAUAUGUUGUCACCAAUUACCAAAAAGGGGAGAUUGAAAGUGCAACUAUCCCUGGGUGGUUUUGGUAAUUCCUAACAACAUAUAGCUCAUUGAGCUAAUGCUAUUUCAAGAUAAAUAUUUCAGGAAAGCUCAAUGUUUGGCAUGGUAUGGAUUAGAAAGUGGACCCCUCAAAAUGCUAAGGACAAAAGAUUGGCUCAAGCUCAAAACACAAGACUCUACAUUUUACUUUUAGUGAUCCAAGAUCACAUUGACUCCAUAGGAAAAGCCAAUACUAUUAAAAGGGGGUGAGGUGUUGCUUAAUGAGUUACUUGCUCAAAAUUCUUAGUGAUAUGCUCCAAAAACCCUCAACUACUUUCUCAUAUCCACAUAUGUCCCUAACCAAAACUCAAACUCGGCCCCGCCGAAAUUUCUUAUUCGGCGCCACUGAGUUCACUUGACAUAUCCACUGCCACAAACCCUAGUCACUUCGGUCUCACCGAUAGGUAUCUCGCUCUCACCAGGAUGGGAUUGCAACCUCUCUGUUUCCCUUCGUAACGUUUUGGUCCAACCGAGUUGAGCGAUCGGUCCCACCGAGAUUGCAAUGCAAACUCUCUGUUUCCCCUUCGUAACGUUCGGUCUAACCGAGAUGAGCGAAUCGGUCCCACCGAGUUUGCCUGACCAACUCUGUGUUUGCUUAUUACCAAAAUCGGUCCCACCGAGUUUGUGUAAUCGGUCUCACCGAGAUUAUGUUAUGCCCCAAACCCUAAUGAAAUCGGUCCCACCGAGUUAACAUGUCGGUCCCACCAAAAAUCCAAACGUUCACAUUUUGAACUAAAUCGGUCUGACCGAGUUUUUGAUUCGGUUCCACCGAGUUUGGUGAUUUGCGUGUAACGGUUAGAUUUUGUGUGGAGGCUAUAUAUACCCCUCCACCCACUCUUCAUUCGUGGAGAGAGCCAUCAAAACAUGCCUACACUUCCAGCAUACAUUUUCUGAGAGAGAACCACCUACACUUGUGUUGACGUCAAGAUAUUCCAUUCCAACCACAUAAAUCUUGAUCUCUAGCCUUCCCCAAGUUUCUUUCCACUCAAACCCUCUUUCCACCAAAUCCAAUCCUAUGAGAGAGAGCUGAGUGUUGGGGAGACUAUCAUUUUAAGCACAAGAGCAAGGAGUUCAUCAUCAACACACCAUAUAUUACAUUUUGGAGAGUAGUGUCUCCUAGAUUGGCUAGGUGUCACUUGGGAGCCUCCCUCAAGAUUGUGGAGUUGAACCAAGGAGUUUGUACGGGCAAGGAGAUCGCCUACUUCGUGAAGAUCUACCCUAGUGAGGCAAGUCCUUCGUGAGCGAUGGCCAUGGUGGGAUAGACAAGGUUGCUUCUUCGUGGAGCAUUCGUGGGUGGAGCCCUCCGUGGACUCGCGCAACCGUUACCCUUCGUGGGUUGAAGUCUCCAUCAACGUGGAUGUACGAUAGCACCACCUAUCGGAACCACGGAUAAAAAAUCUCUGCGUCCACAUUGCGUUUGCUCCCUCCAAACUCCUCCCUUUACCUUCAUAUGCAAUUGUUUUACAUUCCGCUUCUAUACUCUUAGAAUUGCAUGUGUAGGUUGAUUACUUGAAUUGUGCUAAGUUGUUAAAAUCUGCCAAGACUUAAAAUUGGGAAAAGGCUAGAUUUUUAUUUGGUCAAGUAGUCUAAUAACCCCCCUCUAGACAUACUUUUGAUCCUACGGAAGGCAUCCCUCUUUCGUCUUCGUCUAUUGGUAACUUUACUUGAGGCUAUAUUUUUAUUCACCACAUGAUAUGUGUUUUGCUUGGAGCAUCUUGUGUGAUUUUAGUCCUUGCUUUUUAGUCUGCCACAAUCAUCCUUGCUGUACACGCCUUUUGGGAGAGACACGCAUGACUCGUAAUUUAUUAGAAUGCUCUAUGUGCUUCACUUAUAUCUUUUGAGCUAGGCAAAUUUGCUCCAGUGCUUCACUUAUAUCUUUUUAGAGCACGGCGGUGGUUUUAUUUUAUAGAAAUUGAUGAACUCUCGUACUUCACGUAUAUCAUUUUGAGAGUCUUUAGAACAACAUGGUAAUCUGCUUUGGUUAUAAAAUUAGUCCUAAUAUGAUAGGCAUCCAAGAGGGAUAUAAUAAAAACUUUCAUAUAUAGUGCAUUGAAUACUAUGAGAAGUUUGAUUCCUUAUGAUUGUUUUGAGAUAUGAAGAUGGUGAUAUUAGAUUCAUGCUAGUGAGUAGUUGUGAAUUUGAGAAAUACUUGUGUUAAAGUUUGUGAGUCCCGUAGCAUGCACACAUGGUGAACCGUUAUGUAACGAAGUUGGAGCAUGAGAUGUUUUUUGAUUGUCUUCCUUAUGAGUGGCGGUCGGGGACGAGCGAUGGUCUUUUCCUACCAAUCUAUCCCCCUAAGAGCAUGCACGCGGUACUUUGUUUCCAUGACUAAUAGAUUUUUGCAAUAAGUAUGUGAGUUCUUUAUGACUAAUGUUGAGUCCAUGGAUUAUACACACUCUCACCUCUCCGCCAUUGCUAGCCUCUCUAGUACCGCGCACUUUCGCCGGUACCAUAAACCCACCACAUAUCCUUCCUCAAAACAGCCACCAUACCUACCUAUCAUGGCAUUUCCAUAGCCAUUCCGAGAUAUAUUGCCAUGCAACUUUCCACCGUUCUGUUUAUUAUGACGGAUAUCAUCAUUGUCAUAUUGCUUUGCAUGAUCAUGUAGCUGACAUCGUAUUUGUGGCAAAGACACCGUUCAUCAUAUUUUUUAUACAUGUCACUCUUGAUUCAUUUCGCAUCCCGAUACACCGCCGGAGGCAUUCACAUAGAGUCAUAUUUUUGUUCUAGUAUCGAGUUGUAAUUUUUGAGCUGUAAGUAAAUAGAAGUGUGAUGAUUUUCAUUAUUAGAGCAUUGCCCCAUGUGAGGAAAUUAAAAGAAGAGAAAGAAAAAAAGAAAAAGAAAAAGAAAAAAGGGAGAAAAAGAGAGAAGGGACAAUGUUACUAUCCUUUUUGCCACACUUGCGCUUCAAAGUAGCACCAUGAUCUUCAUGAUAGAGAGUAUCUUAUGUUGUCACUUUCAUUUACUAGUGGGAAUUUUCCAUUAUAGAACUUGUCUUGUAUAUUACAACGAUGGGCUUCCUCAAACGCCCUAGGUCUUCAUGAGCAAGCAAGUUGGAUGCACACCCACUUAGUUUUCUUUUUGAGCUUUCAUAAACUUAUAGCUCUAGUGCAUCUGUUGCAUGGCAAUCCCUGCUCACUCACAUUGAUAUCUAUUAAUGGGCAUCUCCAUAGCCCGUUCAUAUGCCUAGUUGAUGUGAGACUAUCUCCUCCUUUUUGUCUUCUCCACACACUACAAAAAAAAUACACUUCCGUGAUGAUACGUGUUUGUCACAGCAGGUCGCGUUUUUUGUCAUGCAUGUACAUCCAUGACGAUUUUAUGACAGAAUCAAGAUAGUCAUACCUGUGCUGUCGUAGAAGUGUUCCAUGACAUUACCAAAAUUAUCAUCACAGAAGUGUCCACUUCCAUGACGAUAAAUCGCGCGUCGCAGAAGUGCUUUCGUCAAGGGUGACCGACACGUGGCAUCCACCAUAACGGAACGCCGUUAAGCUAUCGGGUCGGGUUUUGGAUCCGAUAACCCGUGAAUAGCCCCGACCAAUGGGAAAUUUCCAUGUGUAAAAUUCUUAUUGGCCGGACGAAACACGUGUCAGCUCGUCAGUGGGUCAGAUAGGCGCCUAUGAUAUGUCGACACGUGCCACGGCCCACCACUGGCCCAUUUAGCUUACAAAACCGGCCCGUUUGACUUGGUCAAAAGUUAACGGGCUGGCCCAUGAAAAGCCUGUUAACGGUCUCUUCACAAAUAGGCCAUUUUACGGCCCGUUAACUCACGGCCUGUUAGGCCCUAAAGGAAAUCGGCCCAACAACGUCAUGUGGGCCGUCGAAUAUAACACCAGCCCAUUUCACUUUCGGCCCAUGUAUGGCCCACGACGUCUUUCGGCCCAUAUGAGGCCUUCGUACCUUUCAGCCCUUUACAGGCCCACGGUGACUCUAGCCCAUAAUGAAUAGUAAUUUUCUUUAUGCCCGUUAACGGCCCGUGAUUUACAUGGGCCGUUUCCAGCCCGUGUUAGCUUUCGGCCUAUUGACGGCCCAUACGUUCUUGGGCUCCUUUUCGGCCCUCGAUUACUUCCGGCCCAUUACUGCCCUGUUCCCCUAAUGGGCCAAAUUCGGCCCAUGGCAAGAGUCGGCCCGUUACUGGCCUGUUCCCCUAAUGGGCCAAAUUCGGCCCAUGGCAAGAGUCGGCCCGUUACUGGCCUGUUACCCUAAUGGGCCAAAUUCGGCCCAUGGCAAGAGUCGGCCCGUUUCUGGCAUGUUAACCCGUUGCGCCGUUUCCAGCCCGUCCUAUAUUCUGGCCCAUUAACGACCCGUUAUGCCUGUGACAGAAUUAAGCCUUUGCUGUCCUACGGCCUGUUACCGUGCUGGGCCGAUACCAAUUACGCCCGAUUACGGCCCAUGUAGACCCAUUUAUCCGACGGCCCGAGGCCCACCGAUUACAUGCCCAUUUAUCGACGGCCCGUAGGAGACCCAUGGAUCCUACGGCCCGUAUAUGGCCCAUGGUAGUUGCGGCCACUAGCAAACCAGGGAAAAAGAAGACUAGGAAAUAAAUAAGGCCGAAACUAACGCUAGGCUAUUAAGGCGAUUGCACAGAUUACAUCCACUCGGCAUCAAAGAUCGCCACCAGUGCAAAUAUAGGGAACACCCUACACUAUACAAAAAUGGCUUGCUGUUUUCUUCAGCCGGUGGCUGCACGUUAAGAAUAAAUUUUGUAUCGCAGCAAAACAAAUUACAACUAUAUAACAAAAGGAUGGUUGGCAUAAAACUUAACAGUCUAGCAGAUAAAUGCACCACCAGAAGUUCACAAGCUCACUUCAUUCGGCCUGACUGUUACGUUUUCAUGCUGUAUUGUCCGAUGGAGCACCAUAACCCUCGCCUUCAUUUCCCCUAGGCUCCCGAACAACAUAGCAAAUGUCUGAUAGUCUGGUUUCAAAACCAUGCAUAUCUUGACGACAUUGAGCAAUGUAUCUCCUUGUUUCGCAAAGGGUCUCUGUUAGGGAAUGGACUUGUGUCUGGAGCGCAGAUACAACAUUGCUUUGAGCUUGCAUAUCUUGAUCAUGAGGCAGUUUGGACGAUAUUGCCUUAACAACCAACCCAGUAUUACGCAGGAACGUGCUUUUGGCACUGUUAGUGGACAGGUACUGACCCACUGCAGCAAGAGCUGACAUUGCGGUUAUAGUUGCCUCGCCACCUUCAGAAGGUGGCGGUUCCACCAUUUUUUCCAUAGCUUGCUGAAAAGUUGAGGUUUUACAUUAGUAGUACCAGAACAGAAGAUAUUAAGGAGGCAGCAAAACCAAACAAAAUAGCUUUGGUCUAUAUACAGAACUUAUUCUGGUGAACCCAUGUAAAAUAUUAGUUGUAUUUUAUUCCAAAGUACAUAAUAAAACGAGGUUCCAAACAUAUGACCAUGUACCAUCGCUAAUGUAUUGUCUAUUUCUACACAUUGUAUUGAGGGCUAAGGAUAAAAAGACGAAGUUUAUAAUAUGGUAAGCACAGUAUGACAUCAUUCAUAUCACAAAACAACAGAGAACAGACAAACUGGCAAUUGUAACGUUGUGUGGGCAAGUCCAGCACGGAACUAGAUUACGGGUCAAGAUCAAAGGAACAUCACUCCUCUCUUUUAAACCUUGUAAGGUGCAAUGAUACGCUAAGACAAUUGUUUAUAAAAUUGAAAAGAGUAAUAGACAUUGGCUGCAAACCAUGCAGUUCAAGGCACAAGUCAGAGUAAGUAGUAGUUAAAAGGCAUGAGGAUUAAGGACUUACAACAGCGGCUUUGACUGGUGUAGUCAUGCCCUUCUUCUUGCUGGUGUGACAGUCCUUGAAGAUUUCCACAACAUUUGGUUCAGGUACUUUUUGGUCCUUGCGGGCUUUCCUCUGCAUUUCGAACAAGUGAAUAUAGAUCUGAUAAUAUGGUACAGCGAAAAGAGUGAAACAACAGCUAAUUACAAGAGCCUCGCAGUGUGCAAUAUAGCUACGAGAUCCUGUCAUCUGUUGGAAUUUCACUUUCGUACGGUUGGCCUUGUUCUUUGAACAGUUCACCUACAAGAAGAUAGAUUUGUGUGGCACAUGCGUAAAUAGGACUUCAACAUGUGAUCUGAUCACAUAUAUAUAAUGUACUUGAUACUUCGGAUCAGACCAGUGUUUAACAAGGCCCCUCCAGUCUUCAUCCGAUAUAUUUUCCACUAGAGAUGUUUGGGAAAGUUCACUGUUAGCCUUGCCUUCAAAGUGAGUUUUCCUCAAGUUAUACCGAUACUGUCGCAGAGCAGACUUGAAAACAUGGGUGCAAGCUUGUCUGGUUGCAUCAUCUUGGCUAUCCAACUUGAACCUCAUCUGUUGAAAAUUAUGGGAGUCUCAUUAUCAGCAACCUAGAAAGUAUGGGGCAGAGCAAGACGAUAUUACUAGUUUCCAUACAUAACCAUACUUACAAAUAAAUGGUCGAGGAAGGUGUUGAACUGGGUUUCGUCUUUGUCAUUCCUGUACUGAAUCCAUGUUGGGAGGAUACGUACAUGACACCUAACGGCAACCGCUACCUCUGAUACUAACUUGGGUGACUCUGUAGCAUCACGUGGCCUUUUUAAACCUGCCUCAAAACGGAUCUCCAUUCUUCCUCCUCUAGAUUUAGUUAACCUAUCGAGCAUUAUCCCUGAUGUUUGUUUCCUCUUGCGCCUAGGUGCUAGUCCAACAACGAACAUAGGAAGUGUUAGUGUACAUCAAACUGUGAGACUACAUAUAAAGAAGCAUGCAACUGUAACUUCAUUCCAGCAACUACCUUAUUGCUGUUGAAGCUCACAAGGUUCAUCUGAUAUUGCCAACUCGUCCUGUGUCAAGAGUGCUUGGGAAGUAGUGUCAGGUGGCAAGGGAGCUUGGGAACGUGCUGCUAGCUCAGUUGACGCACGAGUAAGUCGUGCAGCUGGUAGUACUGUGGUAGGUGUUGCAAGAACUAGAGCUGUCUCUGAUUCUUUGGUGGCAGCUAUUUGUUUCUGUUUGGCUUUUUUUGCAACUCGUGUAGCAUGGGAUGCCGCGUUUGUAGAAUUUUCUGCUGGACUUUGACCUUCUAUUGCACCAUCAGUACCAGCAGAAUCUGCAGGAUUCAUCCGCUUCUCAUUCCCUGCCAUUCUGUGUUUCUUCCUCUUUCUCUGUGCCAUGUUAAGUCAAGACGACAAUAAAAACGAAUAACAAUUUAGUUCUUCAGAACAAAUUGAUGCAUGAUGCAAACGAACUGAACUUUGAUGUUAGACAACCACAUGAUAGGAGGAUGUAAUAUGUAUGAAAAACAGGACGGAAGAGAUAACCAGAACUAUGAUGUGUAAACUAAGAAGAAGACAUUUCACCAAAUUAGAAGCAAUGCAAUGGAAGGUAGACACCAUAUGAAAGAUGCUACAAAUAUCGCUCUGCCAAGUUAACAGUGUCUCAUCAUAAAUGGCGUUUAAACAAAUGUGAAGUAGUACAAGAAAUAAAUCAUAUGCAAGAUGCAAACAACAUCACACUACCAUGUUAGAGGUCUCUCGUCAUUAGUGCCAUUGCAUAUUCACAGCACUGCAUAUUCACAGCUUAUGAUGUGUAAACUAAGGAGAAGGCAUUUCAACAAAUUAGAAGCAAUGAAAGCUAGACACCAUAUGAAAGAUGCAACGAAUGUCACUCUACCAAGUUAAAACUGUCUCGUCAUAAGUGCCAUUUCAACAAAUUAGUAGUACAAGAUAGAAAAGAAUGUGAGAUGUAACCUAUAUCACACUCCGAAGUCAAACGUGUCUUAUGAUAAGUGAUUGUUGCAGGUUACACAACAGUAGUAAUUUGAUGUAAGAACAUGGUGUGAUAGACAGAUAUUGUAUGUUCUAGAAACAGGAACACGUGUCUUAUUCCAGUAUAAUGUGUAAAGUAAGCAGAUGGAAUUCAACAAAAUUAGAAGCAAUACAAGCUAGACAUCACACAUAACAUGCAACCACAUAUAACAGUGCCAAGUUAGAGGGAGCACCGGUGAUGCUGCACUAGGGGGGACGUGCUCAUCAUAAACACAGCUUUGUUGAGUGUCUAUGCAUGUGUUGUCUUGGAAAUCAUCUUGGGGGUGUGGAGGAGUAGAAACUGUAGAGGCCCUCCGUUCGGAAGGAGCACCUUUAUCCGCAGCCUUGCUAACUUCCUUCCGCUUUAUUGAUUUUGAAUUGUCAAGUAAAACCGACAAGAAAAAGCAAUAAAAUUCUCUCUUCAGAACUCAUUCAUGCAUGAUACUGACAAUCACUACUUUGAUGUAAGGCAAACACGUGAUACCAGGAUGGAAUAUUUACGAAAAACAGGACGACAUGGCAUGUUCACAACUAUUUGUGUAAACUAAGCAGAAACCAUUCCAGCAAAUAAGAAGCAAUGCAAGCUAGACACCACAUGAAAGAUGCAACCAAUAUGACUCUGCCAAGUUAAAAGCAUCCCAUCAUUAAUGGAAUUUCAACAAAUUAGAAGCAGCGCAUGCUAUAAAUCAUAUGAAAGAUGCAACUAAUAUCGCACUGCAUAUACUAAAGGUGUCUCAUCAUGUUGAUUGAUGCGGGAUACAAAAAAACAAUAGUUUUAUGUAAGGACAUGCUUAAUAGACAGAUGUACUAUGUACUAAAUACAGGAAGGCAUGUCACAUUAACAGGUAUAAUGUAUAAGCUAAGCAGACUAGCACAUGCAGUUUAACCAGAUUGGAAGAAUUACAAUCUAGACACCAUAUGCAACAUGCAACCACAUAUCACGCUGCCAAGUUAGAGCAAGCACCUGCGAUGCUAGUGUAGGGUAAAUGCUGUAAUCAACUACAGAGCUACGUUCACUAUCUUCAUCUAGAAUUUCUGUUUCUUGAGAAUGAUGUCGGGAGGCUGACGCUGCAUUCUUUAAAUGAGGAGUAGUCCCCUUGCCUGCCUGCCUCGUCAUAAGUGAUUGAUGAGGGAUACACAAGAACAUUAGUUUGAUGUACGAACAUGGUUAAUACACAGAUGUACUAGUAUGUACCAAAAACAGAAAGGCAUGUCAUAUUCAAAGGUAUAAUGUGUAAGCUGAGCAGAUGCAAUUUAACCAAAUUGGAAACAAUACAAGCUAGACAUCCGGCUGGAGUGGUGAGCAUGAUCAUCUAGGACCUGAGAGCCUGGUGGGAGGCGGGCUGCUUCGCCACCAUCGCAGUGUUUUAGUUGGCUUCCAAGUGAUGCCUAUCUUUGUUGGGCUUGUCACUGGCUCGGCCAGUGCCCUGACUAGCUAUUUGUCUUCUGGUGCUCAUGGGAUGGUGGUUCAUGUAAAAAAUCUUUCCUUAUCUUACCGACUUCGGCCUUUCGAAUACAAGCUAGACACCAUAUGGAACAUGCAACCACAUAUGACACCGCAAAGUUAAAGCAAGCACCUGGGAUGGUGGUUCAUUGCGAGCGAGGUCAUCAAGUCCAGAGCUACGUUUACCGUCUCCAUCUGCUGACACUGCACCCUUUAUAGCGCUGUAACGUGUCUUGCCUACCCGCACACCAAGCUGGAGCGACUUAUCUCUUUUCUUUUUGGCUUCUCUCAUGGCAGCAGAGUCUGAAAUACCCUUGCAUACAAACACAAUAGUGAGAGUAAGGGUGAAGUGUGUGCAGAACUAGUGCACUGUAAAAGUAGCAGAUAGCAGGUGGCUGAAUAAUAAAUGACAGGAGACAUAUGAUAGCUCUACAGCAUUGCAUGGCAAACAAAAUUAGAUUCUACUCCGUAUGAUUUUGUAAUAUAUGAGCACAGGAAAUGCAGGUACUCCUCCAGCACACCACCACAUGUGGUCAUAUCUAAGAUAACAGUCGACUGAAAAUAAAUAGGUUAGUCGAUUUUUUUAAUGAACCGUCCGAUCUAUAAGGAACGGGCAGAUGGCCUUCGUCUACCUCCCGCCAGUCACUGUUGAUGAUCUUUCUUGAACCGCCAGCGACCACCGGCCCAGACCCCUGCCUCCGCCGCCCCGCCCUCCCAUCGACCUCACACCACCGCCGUGCUUGGCAGCGCCCCCAGGCCAUCCCUUUAAGCCCGGCCGACCUCCAGAUCGGGCGCGAGUAGCUCUAGGACGCACACGCCCCUAAGAUAAACACCAAGGCGCUGCUUCCCCGGCGUAAUAGGCGUACUAGCGCCUGUUACGCCGGGGAAUGCUUCCGUUAAUUGGGAAUCAACUGGCCAGAAAUUGAAAUUCAGGGGGGCGACGGACCUCUAGCUAAGGUGAAAUAGUAUAUGAGGAGAAACCUUGUGCAUCGCGAGUUACUAGGAACAUCUAGUAUCAAGAAGAAGCGGUCAAUUAGUGUCUUCUGUGGGAUGAAUACCGUGCAAGCAGAGAUGUAAGAUUUGCACGAAUAAGGGAAGAGUAGUACCUUUUUCGGUUGCCGGUGUGCUCACCUCCACAUGUCGCGCCGAUCUUCUUCUUUUUACCGGGGAAACCGAUGUUCUGGAGGGUGCAGGCUUGGAUGAACCCAUGGCCAAAUUGUUGACUGUGUUGCCGUGCCCGUAUGUCGGCGGAGGGGAAGCAGAUCCGAGGCGGCGAAGGACGGCGUAGCAGGAACAGCUCCGGUGCGGUGGAGGGUGGCGAAGUUGGAGCGGCAGCGGUGAUGCGCAGGACGGCGUGGUUGAACUGGCUCGGGUACGGACGGCUCGGCCUCGGCUUCAACUACUAGCCGUGGAGGGCGUUGCGGUUGAGGUUGCGGUGGACGACGACGUCGGGGUAUCGGCUCCGGCGUGAUGGAGGAGGGCGGCGGUUGAUGGGUGGGAUGGGGUGCGGGCGGAGGACGCCGGGGUUUCGCGGCUGGUGGAGAGGUAGUUUUGGCACCCACGGAGUAUGAAUGGGGAAUCGGACGGGUGGGGGGGAACCAUGUUUCGGUCUGGGACGCGCUUGUUUUUCGCUUUUUUGAACAGAAGAUGGGACACGCUUGUUUGAAAUUUGGGGAAAGUACAAACUUUGCCCCCCUCUUAAAUUUCGGACCUACUGCGGGUCGGGGGUAGGAUGGUAAUCCCAGGUGUCCCAAAUAGUGGGCGGGAGCGAUUUUGGCCGCGCGCAUGUGUGCUUAGGCGGCCAUUGUGUAUGAAUGUUUUUCGGACGCGGUUGCGUGGCGUCUAGAUGAAGCUACAAACCUACCCCGGUUUAGACCUUUGGACGUCGGGCCGGUAGGUUUCACGGGUCGGAGUUAUUAGAAAAUUAAUUUCCUUGUACUACCAAACAUUGGUCUCACGCGGUUUCGGGCGAGUAGAGGCUCUUUUGGCGCUUCGUUCAAAAUUUUGAAACACAAGCAUUCAUGUUUAGAGUACUCUUGAACUAUGAGGAUUGACCUAAAUAGACAACGUUAUAUUUGACCUAGUAUGUCUGAAAACCUCAUUAAAUUAUCCGCUUCUUUUUGAAAUUUUGACACUUGAAAAUCCUAUAACUAUGAUUAUUUUGGAAUGGAGGAGCUAAAUUUGAAUCUAUUUUGUACACGACUACAUAUGCUAUUAUGUACAAAAUCAGAGCAAAGAUUGGUUCCCCCAUAAUUUAGGUAUGGUUUACAAAUGCCAUGAUAUCAAGUUCAAAUAAUUGAAUGGACUUCAUGUUGAAUUCGAUUUUUUUAAACCACCUUAAGUUGAAUUCAAAUGUAUGCUAGUUCAUAGGUAGCUAUUUAUAAUGUCCAUUGUGUAACUUUCGUAUGUAUAAUGUGCUUUACACACACAACAUGAACUAUACUCACGUUUAUAUUCGAUUGCUAAAGCGAUGCAUUGUCUGGAGUUCAAAAUACUAACUAUGUGGAUCAAUUGUGUCGAAAAAUAAUAUAGACAUGCCCAAAUUCGAUACAAUCUAGAUGUCUGAUGGAUCAAUGACCGCUCCUUACGCGAAUUGCAAAUAUCAUGAUCCCAUCCUAAUAUUUGGAUACAAUUUAUAUCUUUAAUCAAUGGGUAGAGCAGUCUUUUACGUGUAGUUUCACUCUCCAUCGGUGGUCUCUCACACAUGCUCACUCACUCUCUCCCGAGGUGUCUUUCUCGCACACAUGCUCUAGAUAUAACCCUCCCUCCCUCUCGUAACCAUUUACAACUGUUUUCACUAACCUUUAUCACAAGCACUCUUCCUCUCGCAAACAUACACACGCACAAUCCUCAUCGACCCUUUCUAUAUACAUGGACCUGCCUACGUGUCUCAUGUAUGCACAUUAUCUUUACGCCUGUCUCUCACGCAUUGUCGCACACCUCUCUUCCUAAUCGACAAGUAUGAUUCUAGCAGAGCAUUCUGUAGGAUGCCCCUUAAAGUUAGGUUGGAUGAAUAGUAAUAUCAGAGAUAAAGGGGUUACCUUAGUCCGAGAACCUAGGGUUACAAAUCCUACCCGGCUUUGUCCGUGGACACAGAGUCCUUCACAAUUCGGCUAUCUUUGUCUUGUACGACUAGUCAUCCAUGGGUCUUCCUAAAUGCGUCACGGGCCGACCAAUGUGGCGCAGGUCGGAACCGAACGAAGGGCCUCACCUCGACCAACCGGACCUCACGCGGUGACACACCCUCUGCCCCCACGUCUCAUUAUCUUCUCACACCCACACAUACCAACACAAACACCACACACACAGAAAAUUUCUCCUGGUGCCACUAUUCCCUCCCCCUUGCAUAUACACACUCAAAGGAAUGGAAUCUCUUGUCGUGACGUCAUAUUCGUCUCUCUCUCUCUAGACCACUCUCAUUUCUCGUCCCACGCCCCGCCCGUCGGCCCCUCUAUCCAUGCCUCUCUCGAAUACGUAAUACACACACAUACCUCUCUAGGCCCCGCCAAAUGCAUCAACUACACAUUCACACAUGUUACAUCACGUACCCCAUUGAUCUAAAAAGCCCUCUCUUCAUGUUUAUUUCGCAUACAACAUUCCUUUUGAAUAAAGUGUGGCCAAAAAUUAUUUUAGAGUUUCUACAUAUAUACAACAUUACAAAGUUAUAUGGAGGAGUACGAACGCUAAUUUGCAUUGCAUGGUGCCCACAAUGAUAUUUAUUCCGCACUGUGAAUUUGUAUAUUUUAAUACUAUAUACGAAGUUAGUCAUAAUAAAGAGAAAUGAAGAGCAUCUCUCUUUCCAUCGCAUACCCCCCUGUACGCCCCUUUCACGUAUGCACACAAAACUAUCUCCAGGUCCUCUAAAAGUAAGCCCCCAGAAAAUUCACGCAUGUUUCAUCUUUGUCUCGCGAUAUAUGCAAUGAUGAUCAUUGUAUUUGAAGCGAAAGCACGAUACAUACAUUGGACUUCAGAAUCCACUCAUUACGGUCACCAUUUACGUUUAGUGGUUAUCAUACAGUCACGGGCUCACCGUACAACUCUGUAUUUGCUCAUGACAUGACUAGCUGACCAGUUAAACGCUCCACGUGGCACCUCUAGUGUUGCAUCACAUUAUCUCACUACCAUCGUGCCCACCUGUCGACUUGUAUCUACUCUACAUCUACACUCUUAUAAAAUACAUAAAAUACACUCUUAUAAAAGACAGAGUUGGUGAUGAUGGUGUGCCUGCCAUCCUGCAAUAUAGGCCGUCCGAUUUAUAUCUCACGGAUAGGAAAGAAACUAUGGCAAUUUUGCAAAAAGGUACCCACACACCUCUCCACAUUUGCAAAUAAGGCCUUCCCUCGUUCAUCCUUUUCUCUCACAAGAUAAACAAGGCAUACAAAUGCAUCUUGAUGUUACGUGCAACGCAUGGGCAUCUUGCUAGUAAGAAUGAAAACAAACAACAACAAAAUAUUUGGAACGUGGUUCGAAGUCAUUACCGCGGGCACAGCGGACAAGAUGGCCUUGUAUUGGUAUGCUGAGCCGUCUGUUUUAACACACAGGAGCUGGUGUGGUGAUUAUACACAGACGCACGCAUGCACACGAACUGCAUCCAUGCAACACUCACACAAACACAUGCACCCACGCACGCAUGCAACACUCACACGUACACACGCAGCCACGAACGCACGCAACACUCACACGCACGCACGCAAGACUCACACACACACACACACAUGCAUGCACACGCCAGUACACCACACGACCAACACACACUCUCACGCUCAAGUGCUCAACCUACACAUGCAUGCACACACAUCAGGCCCUGACAGACACAUACACAACCAGGUGAUUCCCGCGCACGGGUUGGAACCUUGUCGCGCCUGCGUAAAUUUGUGUUUAUCUGACCUUUUGCCUAUGCGAACUGACAGGUGGGACCCACAAGGAACAUGGUCAAUUUAACUAGUCAACAUGGCGCCACGCAGACUAUUUGGCCGGUCAACAGAGUGCAAUCCGAUGCUGAACUGUGAGCAAGUGACCGUAUAAUCACCGCAAAACGUAUAUAGUGACUGUAAUCAGCUUAUUCUGAAGUUCGGUGACCGUAUUACGCUUUUCUCUCUGUAGGCCCUCCAAAACUACAUCUCUACACGUUCUCGCAUGUUACAUCUAACAACUAUGCAAUACAUCACUACUACUACACUCUAACACAAUAAAUCAUAUGUGUUUUUAGUUUUACUAGAUAUCAUAUUGUUACUUAUAAUUAUUUAGUUUGCAUACAUUAAAAUUGCCUUUGAAAUGUAUGGCCAGUAUCAUCUACCGCGCGGGAAAAAUCCCGCCCUUUCCUAUUUAAUAGGGUUUGUAUCGAUGGAUCGUGCAAAACAGCAAAACUAUAGUACUAUACAGUACUACAAGUGACAGUUCACUGGGCCGUCGUGUCGUCUACUCCUCCGUCGUAAGAGUGGAGUGCUCGCUUUCAUAAAUCUUCUAGUCCCUUUCGCCGACAUGUGGGACAUCAAGCUACCGGGUCCACGUGCCAUACCGAAAUACAGUGCAGAGCAGCCGGGGUGAAGCACCCUAGUCAUGGCGCCGGCGUAGUAAUGAGCAACGAGGCGUCAAAUCACAAGCUGCACCUUUCCCGCUGUUAAGUUGGAGGGACGAAGCAACCAUCAUUUCACUCGUUGCUGAAUCCGCUUCUCCCUCAUCUUCUUCAACUUAACCACGUGUUGCUUCUGCUGUUGUUUUGCCUCAUGUGGGACGCGGAUCGGCUUGGUAAAGCACUGACACGUGGGACCGCAUGUUAGCAAACCGCCAGGACAACGUCCUCCAAAAAUAAGAAGCCUAAUCCUAGACUUACAAAGGGCUACGUAGCUGCUACGUAUACUUUCCAUCUAAUCUAUAUAUGCCCCCCUGAUUUUCUGGUGGGGUGGGCCUAAUCCUCUCCUUUAAUCCAAUCAAAUAGUCCCACAUCACAUCAGUUCAUAACUUUAUGUAAACCAUUAUGUGGAUGUAGCAUUGCUCAAAUAAGAAACCUCCCCCGCCAUCCACGCGGCAAAAUCACCUCCUUUUUACUAAUCUUGAUUCUAUUAUUUUUUAGAUCAAUAUAAUUGAGAUUUGUAUAGAUAGCACACAAGAGAAAUACCAAGUGGUACGGUUAAGGGCAUCCACAAUGUGUAGCCAAAUGUGAAAAUAGCUUUUGGCAUCGUGGGAACCAUUGUGGACGGUGUUGCCAAAGCCAAAAAGAUGGAACCGAAGCUCCCUGAUUGAUUGAUUGAAGGAAUAGAAAAAUGCAACGUCUCUCCUCUUUCUCCCAUGCUUGGACGCAUGUAGUACAGUAUAGAGCACAGAGUCUACUCCCCUGUCCCUUCUAUCACAAAUCACAAAGCAGUGAGGCGUCAAAUCACAAAAGCACGGACGAAGCAACCAUCAUUUCACUCUUCGCUGACACCGCUUCUCCAUCGUCUACUUCGAGAAACCAUCUCACCGCACUAGUACUCCUAGUAGUACUAGUAAAGGACUUCCUGGAUGCAAAUAAGGCAGUUGUCUUACCUUGCAGGCGGCAGUUGCGAACGACUUACCGUGGUCUCCCUCAAUGGUGUUCUCCGUCGAACGCACUUCGCCAAACCACCAAAAAAAAGAUAUCAUCAACGUCACCGGAAUGGGGAAGGAAGUCAAAUAUAGUUACUACCUCCAUUUUUUGUACACAAGGCGAGUAUAUCAAAAUUACAAUUUGCAAAGGGCCACUAACACUAAUCGAGGCAAAAUUGAUGGGGUUAGCAACCAAGGACAUUAAUAUCCCCUGCAUGCAUGCGGAAGUGAGAAGGUUGGUUUGCAUGGAGCUGCAUUAAUCAAGCGAUGAGGAGUGAGAUGGUUAGCUCUUUGGUCUUUGGAGAAAAAUACGCAUUAAUUGACACAUGAAACAAGGAUUUGUAUCGAUGAAAUCUCGCGAAGGAAAACCCCGCCUUUCUUUUUUAACACUAGUACUCCUAGUACGAACGUACUUAUCCUGUUUGGGUCUAGGCCUUGCAUUGCCAAACUUCGCCACACAUUUUUGCCAAGCUUACCUAAAGUUUACAAAAUGAGAAGGAGGUACACUUGAGCACGGCUGUCGUGGUCGCACCACACCCUCACACGGCCAUUCCUGCACGCCGCGGUCGCACCGCACCCUCACACAGUCGCUCCUGCACGCCGCAAACCCAACCAAGGGAACGCACCCUCACUGACACGUGUUGUCUCAUGUGAACAAACCAAACUCAGCCAUCCUAUCGCUGACACAUAAUUUUCAUUCAUAGAGUAUGUUUAUCCAACCGCAUGUUGGGGAUUAUCCGUACGGCCCGUGCGGUGGUCUGUUGGGGAAGAAGAAGAGGUGAGGAAGAAGGAAACAAGGGUUAGGAGACAUAGGAUAUUGAUCCAACCGCCUGAAAUGGUAGACUGACCCAAGUCAGGCGACUUGCAUAACAAAUAUAUGCUUUUACACAGCAAAAGAUCCAUAAAAACAACAACAUAAAGAAAAACUAUCACUGCUCGCGGAAAGAGACGGCCUCGUCGUCUUUGGCUGCCGGCGAGAACCAGCCGUCGCUGCCGACGUGUGUCUCCAGCUACUCGUUCAAGCGGAGCGUGCGGGCGCUCUGCACGGACGAGAGCACAGCCCGGUUCAAGUCGAGGACGUCCGGUUCCGCCUGCAAGAGGGCCUCGAUGGCAGCGGCAUCCACGCGCUCCGCGUCGACUCGAGCCUCCGCUGCCCGGUUCAAGUCCAGGACGUCCGGUUCCGCCUGUAGGAGGGCAUUGAUGAGAGCGGCAUCCGCGCGCUCUGCGUCGAGUCGAGCCUUUGCCGCCCGGUUCAAGUCCAGGACGUCCGGUUCCGCCUGCAGGAGGGCCUCGAUGGCAGCGACAUCCGCGCGCUCCGCCUCAAGUUGAGCCUCCGCCGCCCGGUUCACAUCCACGACAUCCGGUUCCGCCUACAGGAGAGCCUUGAUGGCAGCGGCAUGCGCGCGCUCCACGUCGAGUUGAGCCUCUGCCUCCCGGUCCUCCUUUAGUAUCGCCAUGUUGAACCGCUGGUCCGCCUGCACCAUGGGGGACUCGGACGCCAGCACGAAGUCGACGUCCAUCGUCUCAUACCCAUCGGGGGCCUUCUGCACUGCGACCUCCGCCAUGAACAUUAGAUCGGCUUCCUCCUCCUCGUAGCUUGGCUCCAGAGAACUCGGGGAUUGGCCCGCCGCAAAGCGAGCUUGGGAAUGGAGGUCUGUGGCACCGACCGCCGCCACGAUUUCUGCGCGGCGCUCCGGCGUCAGCAUCUUGUAGUAGGUCAUCUUGCAGCGCACUAUGGCUUUCCGGCGAACUAGGGGACGCUUGAUGCGGGAUAGGGGAUCGAAAGGUGGGGGAAUGGGCUGGAGAUUUGGUGUGGUUUUAGGGCAGUGGCUGGCGUAGGCCGAGCAGCGAAGGUUCUGGUGUGAAUAGUGGUUCCGGUGACGACCGGUCAAUUGGUUUGGACUGUACAUCGCUCUUGUUGCGUUCGCGUUGUAGCCCGGCACGCUGGACCCUCCAUGUCGCUCACCGAAUGGAACGCGCUUCGUCUUGCAUUUUCGCUCGCUUGUGGGACCGCAGUUGAGAGCAAACCGAUGUCCCUCCCCCUCCCCCGCCCGCGUCAUUUAUUAUACCACCACUCCCUCCGUUUUAUGCGGAGUAAAUAAAAACAGAGGGAGUAUACUACGGAUGAGGAUCCCGUGACGUGGCCGAACCCAUUGAGUAACUGACAUGCGGGACCUAGCAAGCAUGGGGUCCGCCAGUAAGUGACCGAAAGGGAGGGUAAGGCAGGGAUACCUACAUCAGAGGAUCCACUUCCACUAUACUACUUUGACCAAAUGUUAGAGUAAUAAUAUAUGACAUGCAACUUACACAAAUGUUAGAGUAAUAAUAUAUGACAUGCAACUUACACAAAGCAUACAGGGUCUAAUGCGUUUUUCGAGGCUAACUUUGACCAAAUGUUAGAGUAAUAAUAUAUGACAUGCAACUUACACAAAGCAUAUGGUCAAAUUCGUAUGUGAAAGGAGUUUCCAAUGAUAUAAUUUUCACAUUAUACAUCUCAUGUACUAUUAAUCUUGUCAAUAGUCAAAUUGGAAACCAUCUCGAGUACAAAUCUAGGAGUAGGUACGAAUCUAACAAUAUUGAUUGGGCGUUGUUGAAUGUUGAUACCUUUUUGAUCAAAGUAGAGAUACUUUGACUACACAUAAAACAUAUAUGGAAACUAGAAAGGAUAGGGGGAGUAUAUUGUACGUUCAAAACCAAAACGAACAUUGAAUAUCCUUUAUAUAUGAUUUGCGGAUGCUAUGAUCACCGGUUCAAAAUUGUGAAUCCGCCUUAGGUAUCACGUGCCCCCACUCGUUCCCUCCCGAUUUCAUCUCGGGGUCCGGAGAUCUAUUGAAACAGGACUAGGGCGAAUGAUACUCGGCGGAAUGUUCAAAUGAGGCAUGCGGGAGGAUGGACUCGACUGGAGGGCGACAUGAUCGAUGGAGAAGAGGGUUGGAGAGGAAUGAGAAAUAAGCAAACGCCACACGAUUAUACUUGAACGACUCAAAUAAACAACAAGUUGUCUCGCUUGGCCUACAUAGUGAAAGGCCUAAUGCGCAACGCGGAGCACUCACGCUCAAAUAUGGCCGGGAAAACAGGGAAACCGACAUGUGGGGCACACCCGUCGGGACGACGUAGCGAAUACUAGUCCAAUGGAGGAGCUGGCCCACGACCUCCUCGCCACCGACAACCAUUCAUGUGGGUCGUUGGGGCCAACAACGGGGCGCCACUCUAGCACCGCCUCUGGACACGACGACCGCGGUGAGCGACACGCUCAUAUCGUCGCUAGACACGGUCGGUUUCAGUGUGCCGAGGGUGGCGUUAGUGCUGUGGCAUGACCAACGAUAUGUUUGGUUUGUGCCCAAGGUUGCCCCAUCAAAGCAUUGGGUAGCCAAAUUUUGGUUGAGGUAUUGGUUGCCCAUGAUUUGGCCGACAUUGGCAAGAAAAAUGAACUAGAGUUGGCUAGAGUUCAUUGGCAUGCCAAAGAAAUGGCAACCAUCCAAAUAAAGACCAAUCUUUGGGUCAUGACCAAAAUUUUGGUUGAGGUAUUGGUUGCCCACGAUUUGGCCGACAUUGGCAAGAAAAAUGAACUAGAGUUGGCUAGAGUUCAUUGGCAUGCCAAAAAAAUGGCAACCAUCCAAACGAAGACCAAUCUUUGGGUCAUGACCAAAAUUUUGGUAAGGUGCACUUUGGCCACAAUCCAAACACACCCCAACACCCGGCUCGUCGAGGAUGCACGGGGCGCCGCGACGCGUCCGCUGAGUGGUGUAGCGCGGCCAACUACAUCCUCUGGACCUGACACCAUGCCGGGUCGUCUUGCUUUUUCAAUGACAUGCGGGGAUCGCAUGUGAGCAAAGGGCAUCACCAACGUUGCCACGACCGCAGCUGACUACCCUGGCACACCAAAACCCUCGUCCCUCGUGCCGUCGCGCGGUGCGUUCCCAGCCGGCGCCAGCUGCCCGCAUUCAUGCCGUCCGUUCGUAUGUCGUCGUUAAGAGGCUCGGUGCCCGAGGAACCAACUCCGGCGACUUAAUGAUGCACCCGGACGCUUGGCCUCACCGGAAUGCGCUACUUAAAGCGGCAAUGCCCAACUAACCUCCACACCAUAGCGCAUCGUCCUCCUACCUGGCACCACAUCCGCCAUGACCGCAAGUGCGAACGCUCUGCGGGAGAGCUUGUCUUCGGGGAUGAACCUCGAGGUCGCGGCCCUCGCUCAAGUCAGCUCUCGCGACGCAAUAGCGGCGUAGCCGGACGCGGACGCGACCGCACAAGCGGUGGCCACGCUGGCGGCCGACGACGGGAGCACGGUCAGCCACGCGUCCUACUUGCCGCCGUCCAACGUCCGGCACCGCCGAGGUCGGGUACUCCUCCGAGGAUGAGUAGGGCAUGGGAGGCGGCAGGGCAUGGUGUGCCAACUGGCCGGCCCGUAUCCCGUGUUCUACUCUUCCUUGCCGAAGACCGCACCUUCAGUUCACGGGUCUUGAACCCCGCCCCCGUACAUAGAGAUCGCAGAUGGAGGACGUCGGUCGCCACCGUAGAAUAGGUUUAGGGUCGGGUUUCUUUUAUUUUUUUGUCCUAUAAAAGUUCGAAACGUAAUGAAAAUCUGCCGUGUUUGCAUUAAUCUCGGCCGGUGUAUAUGAACUUUCACAAUAAUAUACAUAUUGUAGGAGUACUAGCAAGAUGCCCGUGCGUUGCACGGAAGAUCAAGAUCUUGUGGGAGAAAAGGAUGAACGAGCGAAAGCCUUAUCUGCAAAUGUGGAGAGGAGUGCGGGUAAAUUGUCAUAGUUUCCUUCCUAUCCGUUAGACAUAGAUCGGACGGCCUAUAUUGCAGGAUGACAGGCACACCAUCAUCACCAACCCUGCUUUUUAUUGAACCGAGCCAAAUCUAACAUGCGAAGUAAAAUAAACACAUAGGGUCCACACAUUUCACAUCUUUCUACAUCUAUGGGAACCUACGAAAGGGUUAACGUAAAUUGCCUCUCUCUCUCCUCCCCUGAUUUUCAUGGUGGUGCGCCCCUCCCUCCCCCCAAUCUAUAAUCAACAGCUCACAUGUUUCACAUUACGUUAAUUACGUAACUGGGAUUACGUAGGUGUAGCAUUACUCGUCCUAAAAAACCCAACUAAGCGAACCUACCAGCAUAUCGCGCGGGAAAAGACUCGGCCGCGCCGUUUUAGUCGGGAUUACCGGAUUACUAGUAGUAGUAUCGAUGGAUCGCGCGAAGCAACAAAAAUUUUUUUUGAGGGGGCGAAGCACCUAGUUUAAAAGGAAAAAGGCGGUACACUCACAUCACUCCUGUCGCGGUCGCAUUGCACCCCACACACGUUCGGUCCUGCACACGGCUCACGCAAACGGAACGCGCUUCGGCUUGCCUCUUCAUUGACACGUGGGACUGCACUUGGCGAAACCGACCAUGCGCCAAACUCCCCCCGCCCACCGCGCGAAAAUCCUCCCCCACACCCAAAAAUUCCCCCCAAAUCCGAUUCAACCACCCUUCGGCCAUCUAGCCAAUAAUAUUCCCCAAACCCCCCUCCCCCCUGUCCCCAUCCACUCCAUUCGCUCCGCCAAAGCCGGCCUCCCUGCCGCGCCGAUACGUCGGUGCCGUGGUUCGGCGAUCCUCUCGCUCCUACAGUACGCUCUCGUAGACUACCGUCCUCUAGCCGCGCCGCCACCUCUGGCUACGUUCUUGUGGAGGCACACGGCGGUCAGCGCCGCCACCGCUGGCGACGUUCGUGUGGAGACGCACGGCGGUCAGCUUCUCCCAUGGUAUGCGCAUUCUAGACUGAAGCCCCGUUCAUGUCGGUGUAGCGCUGAAUGUUAGCUGAUAGACGCUGUUAAUCUCACUGUUUGCCGAAGUAGUUUACUGUCAAUAUGCUCUGCUUAAGAAGCUUCCUUGCCCUGUUCUGUACUCAAUCUGCUUAGCUGAGAUGGCAUGCCAAGGCCGAUUAGUUGCUAAAAUAUCCUGCCAUAUAUUUAUUGUGACGUAGAUUGCCAUGGUCUAGUAGCCAAUCUAUUAGGUGAAAUAGCUCUACACCGUUUUAUACUCGAUCUUUGUUGCUGCGAUGGCCUUUGAUAGUUCGAUGGCUGUGUGCUCGGCCUCAUUGACUGCUGAAACAGCCUGCCAUAAUUUGGCACUCAAAUCUGUUUGCUUAAUUAGCUUUACAUAUAUUUCGUUACUUAAAUCUGCUCGUCCAAAUAUCUUGCCAUAGCUUUAGACAUCGACCUAGGUAUUUUCUUCUGGACUUCAUAAAAAAGCAUAUAUGUUUUUCCUGUAACAUCUAGUAGAAGAACUAAUUUGUAUGUCUAACAGAUGGAUAGGACUUGGAUAACUUCUGCUCGAAGAUUCUCCGCUGCAUAUGUCGAGGGGGUUGAAAACUUCAUUAACUUUAUUAGAGCUGAGUACGGUGGUCCGAAAUCAGAUGUGCUCUGCCCGUGUAGCAGUUGUAUGAAUUCAGUUACAAGACCCCAGUCAACUGUGCAAAAUCAUCUACACUUGUAUGGGAUGUCGGUCACAUAUACUUGGUGGGUUCAUCAUGGCGAAGCUGUGAACGUCAAUGUUAUGGACUACGUGGAAGCAGCAGAGCACCAUCUUGAUCUGCCUGAUGCUCAGGUGGAAGAGGAGGAGGAGGUGGUGGUUGCGGAGCCAGUGAGUUUGACCAACAUUAAAACAAUGCUACGAAAUGCUCGUGCAUUCCGUGAACUUUCACCUACAGAAGAAAAACGGUGGGUCCGCAUGUUGGAACAAUGCAACAUUGCUGUCACCCCAGGAAAUAAGCUGUCAGUAUAAUCAGCUAUGGUCACCUUUCUUUAGGUGAAGACAUCUGAGCGGAUGACCAACAAAUCAUUCGAUGCGAUGUUGGCUGCUUUUCGCGAAUCUUUCCUAGAUGCAUCUGAGCUGCCACACACCUAGAGUAAAAUGAGGAAUUUCCUUCGUGCAGUUGGAAUUGGAUAUGAUAUGAUCCAUGUUUGUAAGAAUAAUUGUGUUCUGUUCCGGAAGGAUUAUGCCAACUUAGUGAAUGCCCGAAAUGCAAAUCAUCAGGAUGGAAAGAUGGCGAUCCUGUGAAGAGGAUUCCUCAUAAUGUUCUGAGACAUUUUCCAAUUAUACCAAGAUUGCAGAGGUUGUUUCAUGAUGCUGAAACAAGAGAGGAUGUACUGUGGCAUUCUAGGAACCAGGAGUAUAGAGAUCAGAAUGUAAUGAGCCAUCCAUCUCAUGGUAGUGAGUGGAAAAGCUUCAAUGAUAAACACAAAGAGUUUGCUGCUGACCCGAGACACAUUAGACUUGGCUUAGCUUCAGAUGGAUUUAACCCAUUUGGCCACCAGAGCGCCACAUAUAGCAUGUGGCCAGUGCUUGUUAUCCCUUACAACAUGCCUCCAAAUGUCUGCACCAAAGAAUCAAACUACAUGAUGGCCUUGCUCAUCCAGGUCCAAAAAGUCCUGGAAAGGAUUUUGAUUUGGUCAUGGAGCCUCUUGUGGAGGAACUUCAACAGCUAUGGAAGGGUGUUCUCACUCGAGACCUAUAUAGCAGCCCACCAGCUGAUUUCUUUCUGCGUGCUAUUAUAAUUUGGUGCAUCCAUGAUUAUCCGGCUUUGGGCACUAUGUCAGGGCGAACGACACAUGGUUACAAUGCAUGUGUUCGCUGUGACAAGAAUCCGCUGUCAUACGCAAUACUUAGCAAGAUCUGUUACAUUGGACACCACCGUUUCCUUGCCAAGGACAAGCCGCAUCCUAGAAAAUACCGAAGACAUGUGUUCAAUGCAAAGCAUGAAAACCAUGAUGCGCCAAAGAGGCUCACCGCCGAUGAGUUGCAAGUGGAAUUAGAGAAGGUCAGGCAUAUUACACCAGGAAACCAUCCUGGUAACGGUAGCGGGAAAAGGAAGUGUGGCAGGGUAGAAGAGAGAUUAUUGUUUACCUGCAGGUCCACUUUGUGGGAAUUGGAGUAUUGGAAAGAUUUGGAUCUGCGGCAUAAUCUUGAUGUGAUGCACAUCGAGAAAAAUAUAUGUGACAGCAUUAUCAGCACACUUCUUAAUAUUGAAGGCAAGAUGAAAGAUACCUUAAAAUCUAGGAUUGAUUUGACACACCUGGGUAUCAGAAAGGAUUUGCAGGUGCAAGAUGAAGGUAAACCACGGGAUAUGGCACCAGCUGUGUACGUCUUGGACAAGGUAAAAAGAAAAGAAUUCUACGAGGUCCUGUCACGUGUGAGAUUCCCACAUGGAUUUGCUUCCAACCCUGAAAGGAGAGUCAGUGCAGAUGGAAACAAGGUACAAGGGUUGAAAACUCAUGACUGCCACGUCCUACUUCAAAGGGUUUUACCUGUUAUCCUUAGGGGAUUGGGCCGCCCUGACUUAUACAGAGGAGUUGCAGAGUUGGGACAAUUCUUCAGGGAACUCUGCAGUAGGAAUAUCAGGAUAGAUGCUUUGGAGCGUCUUAGAGACAAGAUACCAACUAUCCUAUGCGACCUUGAGAAGAUAUAUCCUCCAGCCUUCUUUGAUGUGAUGGUGCAUUUGGCUGUUCAUCUACCUGAUGAGGCACUACUUAGAGGUCCAGUACAGUAUGGCUGGAUGUACCCUAUUGAAAGGCGGCUAGGCACUUUCAAGGGCUAUGUUAGGAACAGAGCUAGACCCGAGGGUUCCAUUGUAGAGGCCUACAUUGCUACAGAAGCGUUGACAUUCUGCUCAAAAUACAUUGAAACAGCUGAUCAGCUUAGCAAAGAGGUGGGUGAAGACAAUCCCGGGCUCAAUGUUUUCGAUUAUUCUGUUCAAGUUACAGGGAAGAGUCGACAAGAGGACAAACCUAAAGAUUUGGACAAAAUGGUUUGGUAUGUGUUGAAUAACUGUCCUGAGAUACUACCUUAUAUCAAGUAAGUGCAGUACUGCAGCUUAUACAUCGUAAUCUACUAAACUUGCAGCACAUUCUUAUAUAUUUAGAUGUUUGAUGCGAUCACUAUGUUGUGCAGCAUCUACAAAGAGGAGUUACUGCCGCAAAAUCCAAGAAACAUUGACAAACUGGUUAUGGCAGGAUUUGCAAAAUGGUUCAAGAACCAUGUAAGCUUUUGAAGUGCACUGUCAGGUUUUUUAAUAUAUUGAGUACAUAAGAUGAUUAGUUUGUCUAUUUUCUAAUCAUAGGUUAAGAAGAUGCGGGAGGAUGGGUAGGCAGUUGAUGAUGCCCUUUACUCACUACCAAUGGGUCCUGAUACUCGGGUAAGACAUUAUAAAUCUUGCAUUGUUGGAGAUGUGCGCUACAACACCCUUGCACGAGACGAAGGCAGGAAGACACAAAACAGUGCCAUCAUGAGCACGUAUACGUAUGACAAAGAGACAACUGAAAUGUAUGCUAACAUAACAGACAUUGUUCAGUUGCAGUAUAUCUCCAGUUUCGAGGAUCAUCGGUGUGUGGUUCUGUUGUGUUGUCGUUGGUAUAACCUGUUUUCCAGGAUCGCAAAACCCAGAGCUGAUGAUUAUUUCAAAUCCAUCAAUGUCAAGGCGGCGUCCCAGACCAACGAGCCUUUUAUUUUGGCAAAUCAAGCAACACAGAUAUUUUUCUUGGAAGACACAUUUGCACGUAGCGAUGACUGGAGAGUAUUGCAAAGGUUUGAGCAGAGGAAUUCGUUUAAUGAAGUUGCACAACAAGAUGAGGCUUACACUGCUCCUGAUGUACAAGAUAAAACAUAUGUUCCUAAUAUCUUUGAGAACCAUCACGUCCAUGACGCCGGCGAAAAGAUUGCCUGUCGUGCUGUGGACAUACAAGAGUUGAUCAAGAAGAAACCAACGUUCGAGGACGUUGAGGACGAAGCAGAAGAUGACACCAUGGGGAAUUACGAUUCAGACUGACACACAUGGCGAAGAUGUUGACGCUGCUGCUGCGGAUGAUGAUUACAUUGCUUUUGUCGUAUUUGCCUGUCAGAAGACAUUUUUUUAUCUACUAUGUGAAAUUGUGUUUGCUAUGACAACUGAAACCUGAUGAACAUGUUGUUUAGUAUUUUGCUGUGAGAACAUCACUUAUAUGUAUGCUGAUUUGUGUUUGGUGAUCGUAUGACAACUAAAACAUGAUGACAUUGUUGUUUAGUUGUACUCAUAUUUGGCUGUGAAACUUGAAUUUGAUGACAUAGUUUGCAGUUGGACUGCAAUUUGCUCGACGUCUUCGAAUGAGAACAAAGCUGACCCGACAGGGCCUCUGCUAUUUAUUUAUUUAUAUGAGCAAAAGGGGAUACCCCCUGAUUUCCGAUAAUAGAAAUCAUUAGAUGUUCACAACACUACACCCAGCCUGCUACACAGGUUUCAUUCAUUACUAGUUUCAGCAAAGUGCUCAUGUCGUAGCCACUGAGUACAUCACGAGUGCUACAUACACUGCAAAUAAAGAGACAAUCAUCCUACAGAGCACAUCGAUUUUGCCCAUUAUCCUCAGAAGCUCUUUCAUCUCCUCAUUGCUGUCAAGGCCGUUCAACAGCUGUUCCUUGGCCAUGAUCCGAGGAACCGCAUCUUUAACCUUCUGCUCUGCAUCUUCCUCUUCUGCUGUUCCUUCAGUUACUUGUCCAACACCCCAACCUGCUGGUAUUGGGAUUCCUAGGCUAACCAAAUAAUCAGCGUAGUUGCAUUCCCCCACAUUAGCAACUUCCUAGAAAUACAAAUCACACGAAUCUUCCCUUUUCUGCACGAAUCAAAUUGGAAGAUCAUCAACCAAACUAUUAAAAAAUCAGCAACUGAAAGCAGCAGAACAACACUUAAACAUAUUAUUACCCCAUGAUUCGGGCAUUUCUAGAAGACUCGGCCAGGGUUGCAGAUUCUGGUUGAGACGCGACGGAUGACUCUGUGUGAUUUGCAGCAAUGGCACCACACCAACGGCAGCGGGUUGCGAUGAGCAAUCGACUGCAGUGCGCGUGCUGGCGGGGGUGUGAUGAGACCCACAGGCGAUGGUAUGGGUGGCGACUUGGCGCAUAUCUGGUUGUUUCCUGCUGAAGAGCAGGUGGACGAGCAGCCAGCGGACAUGGUUGCUGCGGCCAGAGCUUCUGAUGCUAGGCAGAGUAAGUAGAGAAGAGGAGAAGCGAACGUUGGAUAUGUCAGUUUCAUUACUUGCAGAGUAGCAUAGCACCAUAUAUAGUCAUAGUCUAGGUUUGGAUUCGAACCAGCUACAGGAGGGACCUCCUUGUUUUGCGAAAAAAAUUAUUUCUCCACCUGACAGCUGGGACCCACCGGCUGUAUCUUCGCAUGGAAGGAAGUGCCUCCUUGUUUUGCGAAAAAAAUUAUUCAUUCCGUUGACAGCUGGGACCCGUCAGAUUUGGUGACUGACUUGUGGGCCUACUAAGCGGACGUGUACGCACGACUUUGUCAACUUAAUCAACAAAUGAUUCUAGCAGCUGGACCGUUGGAUGUUAAUCUAACAGCCGUGCUCCUUUUUCAACCUAUGUUCUUGCUCCUGUCUCCCGUGGGCGGCACCGCGGCUGUGCUGCCGCGCACCCGAACCAGUGAAGUUUCCCACUCCUCUCCAUCUGCGACUCCACUGCCCCGUCUUCCCCAUCUCCGGGUCGUUCCAGUCUAGGUGCGCUCAGCACGGUGUGGUCAACGUGGUCAACAACCGAGAGUCAUUGGAAGAUGACUGUACGUGAGAGGCUGACAAUGGGGACGCACCACGCCCAUGGACGCAUGCAUGCAACGGAACGCGGCAAGGUCAACGUGGUCAAGGAAAGACUUCCAUCAGAAGUAUACUGUACGUUGAGAGUCUCAGCUGGGUCCACGGCCGCAGCAAGUAAGUGCCUCCUUAUUACGCGGAAAAUAAUGAUUCCUCCAACUGACAGCAGGGACCCACUGGACGGGCCACCGUAUUUUGCAAAAAAAACGUUUGCCCCCUGACUGCUGGGACCCACCUGAUGGGCCACCGUAUUUCGCAAAAAAAAAAACGUUCCCCCCGCUGUCAGCUUGGACCCACCGGAAGUGCCUCCUUAUUACGCACUAAAAAAAUGAAUACUCCCCCGGCUAGCUGGGACCCACCUUGGUGGGAGGCUGACUUGUGGGCCUACUAAGUUGACGGGGACGAAGGGCUUUGUUAACUUAGUCAAUAUGAACGAUUCUAGCUCCAGUGACCGUACGAUGUCCAUCCAACGGCCGUAGUGCUUCUUCAACCUCUGGUCUUCUUGCUCCAGCCGCCCAAAGCACUGCCGGUCAUGCCGCAUGCUCCUGCCUCCCGUGGCCGGCUGUGCUGCCGCGGAGGCCUCACCGCCCCCUACUAUUCCCACCGCUGGCCAGGCCCUGCGGCGACGGCAGCCUCACACCUCAGCCGAACCAGUGAACCCUCGUACUCCUCUCCGCGCAGGCUUCCACUGCCGCGUCUUCCCCGGCUCCGCGUCAUCCCCUUCCUAGGCCUCACCGUCGUCCACCGCCGUGGUGCUCUCCGUGCGGUGUGGCCAACGUGGUCAAGGAACGACUUCCAUCGAAAGAGUACUGUACGUGGAGAGGCUGACAGCUGGGUCCACGGCCACAAUCCAGUUUUUUUGUGAUUUGCCAAGUAAGUCGCUUUGUCAGGCCUGUUGGGCUGCAAAUCUUUCAAGACGAGGAGAGCUUUCAUUCGGCUGGCCGAGAAAAUGGCCCAUCAGUAAUGAGAAAUGGGGUGUACAUUUUUAAAACACAUCAAACUGACAAUUAGUUUCAAAUAUCUUUGUUUUUUCAUUUCGAGAUUUUAAAUUACAUUAAUUUUUAUGCGUGGAGAAUUUGUUGGAUUUUAUAUUGAUAUACAUUUAUUUUUAAAAUCAGUUUGAAUGUGAGUCGAAAUUUCGGGAUUAAAAAUAGUUCGGACCGCACUGAAAUAUGCAAAAUUUCGUAUAAUUUUUUAACUGUGGCCACAAUAUGGGCUGUAAUGCUAACAAAAAGAAUAUGGGCUGCAAAAAAAACCUUAAUAAUUAGCAAAUGGGCUCUAAAUUAUUCGAAAUAAUGGCAGAUGGGCUGUAUGCUGUUUUCCACAGAUUUGAGGCUUUCCUAAAAAAAAGGUUGACGCACAAGCAGUGACUGUUGGAUGGCCAUCCAACGGCCGUCGUGCUUCUUCAAUCUCUGCUCUUCCUGCUCCAGCCGCUCAAACAAGCGCCGGCGGGACUGCCUGCUCCUUCCUCCCCGCGGCCGGCUCUGCUGCCGAGCAGGCCUCACCGCCCCACCGUACUCCCAUCGCUGGCCUAGCCAUCCCUCUACUCACCCACACCUGCUAUUAUUCUCCGGCGACGGCAGACGAACCAGUAAACCCUUGUACAGUCGUACUCCCCUCCGCGUGGGAAACAACAACCGAGUCUUCCCUGCCUCCGUGUCGUUCCCUUCCUAGGCCUCGCCGUCGUCCACCGCCCUAGUGCUCUCGGCGUGGCCUGGUCAAUGUGGUCAACGACCGACAUGCAUCUGAAGUGGACUGUACGUGGAGAGGCCGACAGCUGGGUCCACGGCCUCCUUAUUACGCGAAAAAUAAUGAUUCCUCCACCUGACAUCAGGGACCCACCGAAAGGGCCUCUGUAUUUCGCGAAAAAAACGUUACCGCCGCUAACAGCUCGGACCCACCAGCUAUAUCUUCGCACGCAAGGAAGUGCCUCCUUAUUACGCACAAAAAAAUGAAUACUCCCCCUGUUAGCUGGGACCCAGUAUAGUGGCAGGCUGACUUGUGGGCCUACUAAGUUGACGGGGAUGGAGGGCUUUGUCAACUUAGUCAAUAUGCAUGAUUCUAGCUCUAGUGACGGUACGAUGUCCAUCCAAGGGCCGUAGUGCUUCUUCAACCUCUGGUCUUCUUGCUCCAGCCGCCCAAACCAGCGCCGGUCGUGCCUUGUGCUCCUGCCUCCCAUGGCCGGCAGCGAUGUGGCGGAGGCCUCACCGCCCCUACUACUCCCACCGCUGGCCAGGCCAUCCCUUUACUCACCCACACCCCUGUUAUUCUGUGGUGACGGCAGCCUCACACCGCAGCGAACCAGUGAACCCUCGUACUCCUCUACGCGUGGGCAUCCACUGCCGCGUCUUCCCUGGCUCCGCGUCGUGCCCUUCCUAGGCCUCGCCGUCGUCCACCGCCCUGGUGCUCUCGGCGCGGCGUGCUUUUUAACGUGGUCAAGGAACGGCUUCCAUCGGACGUGGACUGUACGUGGAGAGGCUGACAGCUGGGUUCACGGCCGCAGCAAGGAAGUGCCUCGUUAUUACGUGCAAAAUAAUUAUUCCUCCACCUAACAGCGGGGACCCACCGGACGGGCCACCGUAUUUCGUGAAAAAAGUGUUUGCCCCUGACUGCUGGGACCCACCAGCUACAUCUUCGCACGCAAGGAAGUGCGUCUGGGCAAAAAAAAUGAUUCGCCCCCUGACUGCUGGGACCCACCAGCUACAUCUUCGCAGGCAAGGAAGUGCCUGACACUCGGGGCCCUCCUGGUCGAAGCGUACGUAGCGUUGUCAUUCUGGUCGCGAACGUGUACGUACAUAUAUACUGGUGGAUGUAGAGGCGCGCACGUGUCGUAGUAGAGGCACGUACGUGUCGUAGUAGAGGCGCGCACGUAGCAUGUACACGUACGUACAGCGGCCAGGGUGCAAGAAAGAAAAUAUGGCCACAUAUGUGUACAUACGGGCGGGGUCUUGAACGCCUACUCACGCGUACGUACGGCUAGGGCUCGUGUACAUGGCUGGGUCGGAAUGGAGAAACAUCGUCGUCAUCGUGUUCAUGGGGAGGCAACGGAAUGCGUCGUGUUCAUGGGGAGGCAACGGAAUGUGUCGUGUUCAUGGGGAGGGGUGUGGCGUACCGCAAAACGGAGGAAACAGACCUCCUACGAUCGAAACGGGGGUCAUGUUGAUCGGGAGGAGUGUGGCGUACCGCAAAACGGACGAAACGGACCUCCUACGGUCGAAACGGGGGUCCUGUUGAUCGGGACGGGUGUGGCAUACCGCAAAACGGAGGAAACGGACCUCCUACGGUCGAAAUGGGGGUCCUGUUGAUCGGGAGGGGUGUGGCGUACCGCAAAANNNNNNNNNNNNNNNNNNNNNNNNNNNNNNNNNNNNNNNNNNNNNNNNNNNNNNNNNNNNNNNNNNNNNNNNNNNNNNNNNNNNNNNNNNNNNNNNNNNNNNNNNNNNNNNNNNNNNNNNNNNNNNNNNNNNNNNNNNNNNNNNNNNNNNNNNNNNNNNNNNNNNNNNNNNNNNNNNNNNNNNNNNNNNNNNNNNNNNNNNNNNNNNNNNNNNNNNNNNNNNNNNNNNNNNNNNNNNNNNNNNNNNNNNNNNNNNNNNNNNNNNNNNNNNNNNAACGGGGGUUCUGUUGAUCGGGAGGGGUGUGGCGUACCGCAAAACGGUCGAAACGGGGGCCCUAUUCAUCGGGAGGGGUGUGGCGUACCGCAAAACGGGACUCCACGGGAAACUGUUCAUCUCCACCGUCGACCUCCUCCAGCCUCCACGGGCUACCGUCGACCUCCUGCAGCCUCCACGGGCUCCUGUUCAUCCAGCCUCCACCGCGCGCUACUCCACCGGCUACUGUUCAACCACCCCUCCACGGGCACCCCUCCACCGUCUACUGUUCAUCCAGCCCUCCACACCACGGGGUCCUGUUCAACCACCCCUCCACGGGCACCCCUCCACCGUCUACUAUUCAUCUAGCCCUCCACCACACCACGGGGUCUUGUUCAUCCAGAGGCAACGCCACCGCUCACUGUUCAUCCAAACCCCCCCGCAACCCUCACUGUUCAUCCCAGAGGCAGCGUCGAUCGGCUUCAGUUAGCAGCAGUAGCGAAGGAAUCGCUCGAUCGGGUUUAGUUAACAACCAUCGAUCGAUCGCUCGGGUUAGUAACGCGUAGCCUGCAGUGCAAUCGCUCGGGUUCAGUUAGAGUCCAACGCCUCGCUCGGGUUUAGUUAGAGCCAACGCCUCGCACACACGCGCGUACGUGUACGAGAGAAACGUGCAUCGCUCAGCCCCCGACCUCCCACCGUAACCGGGAACUCCCCGAAAUUUUCCUCGCCCUCGCUUCUACCACGGUUUUUUCCGUCAUGGACGGCCCAAAGAAUGUCAUGCAGCUGCGUCUCCGGCCCGCCCUGGACGAAAAGCCCAUUUUCUGUCAUGAUUUUUGUCAUAGAAGUAGGAGCCCACCACAUCUAUGAUGAUACCGGGUUUGGUCACAAUUAUCGUCAUAAAAGUGUCAUAUGUAUGACAGAAAAAAAAUUCGUUUGGCCCAAAAUGGCACGGAUGUGUCUUUUUUUGUAGUGAUAUACUCUUAUACCCUGAAAACAUCGAUGAGAGCCACGAAACACUUUUUCCACCGCCGCAACCUUCUCUACCCGUGAGAUCCCAUCUUGGGGCCUUUUCCGACACUCCGCCGGAGGGGGAAUCGAUCAUGGAGGGCUUCUACAUCAACACUAUAGCCUCUCCGAUGAUGUAUGAGUAGUUUACCACAGACCUUCGGGUCCAUAGUCAUUAGCUAGAUUGCUUCUUCUCUCUCUUUGGAUCUCAAUACAAAGUUCUCCUCGUUUCUCUUGGAGAUCUAUUCGAUGAAAUACUUUUUCGGUGUGUUUGUCGAGACCCGAUGAAUUGUGGGUUUAUGAUCAAGAUUAUCUAUGAACAAUAUUCGAUUCUUCUCUGAAUUCUUAUAUUUAUGAUUUGAUAUCUUUGCAAGUCUCUUCGAAUUAUCAGUUUGGUUUGGCCUACUAGAUUGAUCUUUCUUGCAAUGGGAGAAGUGCAUAGCUUUCGGUUCAAUCUUGCGGUGUCCUUUCCCAGUGACAGCAGGGGCAGCAAGGCACAUAUUGUUUUGUUGCCAUCAAGGAUAAAAAGAUGGGGUUUAUAUCAUAUUGCUUGAGUUUAUCCCUCUACAUCAUGUCAUCUUGCCUAAUGCAUUACUCUGUUCUUAUGAACUUAAUACUCUAGAUGCAUGCUGGAUAGCGGUCGAUGUCUGGAGUAAUAGUAGUAGAUGCAGAAUCAUUUCGGUCUACUUGUCAUGGACGUGAUGCCUAUAUACAUGAUCAUGCCUAGAUAUUCUCAUAACUAUGAGCUUUUCUAUCAAUUGCUCGAUAGCAAUUUGUUCACCCACCGUAGAAUAUGCUAUCUUGAGAGAAGCCACUAGUGAAACCUAUGGCCCCCGGGUCUAUCUUUCAUCAUAUUAAUCUCCCGCCAACGUGCUAUUUCUAUCACCGUUUAUUUUCCAAUAUUUACUUUUCAAUCUAUACAACAAAAAUACCAAAAAUAUUUAUCUUAUUAUCUCUAUCAGAUCUCACUUUUGCAAGUGGCCCUGAAGGGAUUGACAACCCCUUUAUCGCGUUGGUUGCAAGGUUCUUAUUUGUUUGUGAAGGUACUAGGGAUUUGCGUGUACUCUCCUACUGGAUUGAUACCUUGGUUCUCAAAAACUGAGGGAAAUACUUACGUUACUUUGCAGCAUCACCCUUUCCUCUUCAAGGGAAAACCAACGCAUGCUCAAUAGGUAGCAAGGACUAAGGAUAUGUUUCUCGUUUAUGGAGGUGACAAAGAGCUCAUCGUAAAUGGUUACGUCGAUGCAAGCUUUGACACUAAUCCGGAUGACUCUAAGUCACAAACCGGAUACGUAUUUAUAUUGAACGGUGGAGCUGUCAGUUGGUGCAGUUCUAAGCAAAGUGUCAUGGCAGGAUCUACGUGUGAAGUGGAGUACAUAGCUACUUCGGAAGCAGCAAAUGAAGGAGUCUGGAUGAAGGAGUUCAUAUCCGAUCUAGGUGUCAUACCUAGUGCAUCGGGUCCAAUGAAAAUCUUUUGUGACAAUACUGGUGAAUUGCCUUUGCAAAGGAAUCCAGAUUUCACAAGAGAACCAAGCACAUCAAGAGACGCUUCAAUUCCAUCCGCGAUCAAGUCAAGGAGGGAGACAUAGAGAUUUGGAAGAUACAUACGGAUCUGAAUGUUGCAUACCCGUUGACUAAGCCUCUCUCACGAGUAAAACAUGAUCAGCACCAAGACUCCAUGGGUGUUAGAAUCAUCGCUAUGUAAUCUUGAUUAUUGACUCUAGUGCAAGUGGGAGACUGAAGGAAAUAUGCCCUAGAGGCAAUAAUAAAGUUGUUAUUUAUAUUUCCUUAUAUCAUGAUAAAUGUUUAUUAUUCAUGCUAGAAUUGUAUUAACCGGAAACUUAGUACAUGUGUGAAUACAUAGACAAACAAAGUGUCACUAGUAUGCUUCUAGUUCACUAGCUCAUUAAUCAAAGAUGGUUAAGUUUCCUAGCCAUAGACAUGAUUUGUCAUUUGAUGAACGGGAUCACAUCAUUAGAGAAUGAUGGCAUUGACAAGACCCAUCCGUUAGCUUAGCACUAUGAUCGUUUAGUUUGUUGCUAUUGCUUUCUUCAUGACUUAUACAUGUUCCUAUGACUAUGAGAUUAUGCAACUCCCGAAUACUGGAAGAACACUUAGUGUGCUAUCAAACGUCACAACGUAACGGGGUGAUUAUAAAGAUGCUCUACAGGUUUCUCCGAUGGUGUUUGUUGAGUUGGCAUAGAUCGAGAUUAGGAUUUGUCACUCCGAUUGUCGAAGAGGUAUCUCUGGCCCUCUCGGUAACGCACGUCACUAUAAGCCUUGCAAGCAAUGUGACUAAUGCAUUAGUUGCGGGAUAAUGCAUUAUGGAACGAGUAAAGAGACUUGCCGGUAAUGAGAUUGAACUAGGUAUAGUGAUACCGACGAUCGAAUCUCGGGCAAGUAACAUACCGAUGACAAAGGGAACAACGUAUGUUGUUAUGCGGUUUGACCGAUAAAGAUAUUCAUAGAAUAUGUGGGAGGCAAUAUGAUCAUCCAGGUUCGGCUAUUGGUUAUUGAUCGGAGAUAAGUCUCGGCCAUGUCUACAUAGUUCUCGAACCAGUAGGGUUCGCACGCUUAACGUUCGAUGACGAUCAGUAUUAUGAGUUUAUGUGUUUUGAUGUACCGAAGUAGUUUGCAGUCCCGGAUGAGAUCACGGACAUGACGAGGAGUCUCGAAAUGGCUGAGACAUGAAGAUUUAUAUAUUGGAAGGUUAUAUUCGGACACCGGAAUAGUUCCGAGGUGUAUCGGGUAUUUUCCGGAGUACCGGGGCGUUAUCGGAACCCCCCGAUGGGGUUAUUGGGCCUCAUGGGCCUAGUAGUGGAAGAGAGGAGGCAACAGCCUGGGAGGCACGCGCCCCAAAGCCCAAACCGAAUUGGAAGAGGGGUUGGGGGGGCGCCCCCCCUUUCCUUUCUCUCCUCCUCCUCUUCCCCCCUUCUCCUAUUAGGAAUAGAAGGGGGGAAUCCUCCGUGGAGUAGGACUCCCCCCCUUGGGCGCGCCUCCUCUUGUCCGGCCUCCUCCUCCCUCCCUCCUUUAUAUACGUGGGAGGGAGGCACCCCGAAGGCACACCAAAGUUUCUCUUAGCCAUGUGCGGUGCCCCCCUCCACAGAAACACACCUCGGUUGUAUCGUCAUAGUGCUUAGGCGAAGCCCUGCACCGGUAACUUCAUCAUCACCAUCAUCGCACCGUCGUGCUGACGAAACUCUCCCUCGGCCUCAGCUGGAUCAAGAGUUCGGGGGACGUCAUCGAGCUGUACGUGUGCAGAUCACGGAGGUGUCAUGCAUUCGGUACUUGAUCGGUUGGAUCGCGAAGACGUUCGACUACAUCAACCGCGUUACUAAAUGCUUCCGCUUUCGGUCUAUGAGGGUACGUGGACACACUCUCCCCGCUCGUUGCUAUGCUUCUCCUAGAUAGAUCUUGCAUGAUCGUAGGAUUUUUUUUGAAAUACUACAUUCACCAACUAGGAGGUGGGUCAUCAAGAACAUUUUCUAACCUAGAUUUGGCACCCCGGCUCAGAGCAACCGGUUUACCUUGCAUUGCCAACCCAGAGAUCAUGUCUUCUGGCAAUACACAACAUCUUGGUACAGAAAAUCAGCGCUUUAUUGAAACUAGCGGAAGCAUAGUGCGAUAUUACAUCAAGUAGCGAGACCCAGCGGCACACUCGGUGCGGCUGAACAAUAUGUACAUUAUUUAGUUAACAUAGAGGGGCCUCAAGCACGACAUCUACACGGCAGCGGAACAACGACGUACCGGGACUCCAUGGCACAGGGACACCUAUGUGGACACGAUCGCACUCCGAUCCAGUUAGACUUUCCUGAAACCUGGCAUAACACGCCAGGUCAGUACAUUGAAUGUACUUGCAAGCUCACAACAAGCAUAACCAUUAUGACAAACAAUAUCAUGACAUUUAAUCAAGUUAAAUGCAAACAGCAACAUGCUACUCAUGCAGUGAAACCAAACUUGUGUAUUGAGUCACUCGGACUCUCUCUUACCAACAGAUUGAAGGAAAUAUGCCCUAGAGGCAAUAAUAAAGUUGUUAUUUAUAUUUCCUUAUAUCAUGAUAAAUGUUAAUUAUUCAUGCUAGAAUUGUAUUAACCGGAAACUUAGUACAUGUGUCAAUACAUAGACAAACAGAGUGUCACUAGUAUGCCUCUACUUGACUAGCUCGUUAAUCAAAGAUCGUUAAGUUUCCUAGCCAUAGACAUGAGUUGUCAUUUGAUGAACGGGAUCACAUCAUUAGAGAAUGAUGUGAUUGACUUGACCCAUUCGUUAGCUUAGCACUUGAUCGUUUAGUUUGUUGCUAUUGCUUUCUUCAUGACUUAUACAUGUUCCUAUGACUAUGAGAUUAUGCAACUCCCGAAUACUGGAGGACCACUUUGUGUGCUACCAAAUGUCACAAUGUAACUGGGUGAUUAUAAAGGUGCUCUACAGGUGUCUCCGAUGGUGUUUGUUGAGUUGGCAUAGAUCGAGAUUAGGAUUUGUCCAUCCAAUUGUCGGAGAGGUAUCUCUGGGCCCUCUCGGUAAUGCACAUCACUAUAAGCCUUGCAAGCAAUGUGACUAAUGAUUUAGUUGUGGGAUGAUGCAUUACGGAACAAGUAAAGAGACUUGCCAGUAAUGAGAUUGAAAUAGGUAUAGUGAUACCGACGAUCGAAUCUCGGGCAAGUAACAUACCGAUGACAAAGGGAACAACGUAUGUUGUUGUGCGAUUUGACUGAUAAAGAUCUUCGUAGAAUAUGUAGGAACCAAUAUGAGCAUCCAGGUUUCGCUAUUGGUUAUUGACCGGAGAUGAGUCUCGGUCAUGUCUACAUAGUUCUCGAACCCGUACGGUCCGCAUGCUUAACGUUCUGUGACGAUCGGUAUUAUGAGUUUAUGUGUUUUGAUGUAAUGAAUGUUGUUCAGAGUCCCAGAUGUGAUCACGGACAUGACGAGGAGUCUCGAAAUGGUCGAGACAUAAAGAUCGAUAUAUUGGAUGACUAUGUUUGGACAUCGGAAAGGUUUCGAGAGAGUUCGGGUAUUUACCGGAGUACCGGGGGGUUACCGGAACCCCACGGGGAGUCAAUGGUCCUUAAUGGGCCAUAGUGGAAAGGAGGAGGAAGCGGCCAAGGUGGGGGCGCGCCCCCCAAGCCCAAUCCGAAUUGGGAAGGGGGUCGGCCCCCCUUUCCUUCUCUCCUUCUCCCUCUUCCUUCCCUCUCCUACUCCAACUAGGGAAGGGGGAAUCCUACUCCCACCGGGAGUAGGACUCCCCCUUGGGCGCGCCUAGGAGGCCGGCCCUCUUCCCCUCCUCCACUCCUUUAUAUACGGGGGAGGGGGGCACCCCAUAGACACACAAGUUGACCAUUGAUCUCUUAGCCGUGUGCGGUGCCCCCUCCACCAUAAUCUACCUCGAUCAUAUCGUUGUAGUGCUUAGGCGAAGCCCUAUGCUGGUAGCUUCAUCAUCACCUUCACCACACCGUCGUGCUGACGAAGCUCUCCCUCGACACUCAGCUGGAACGAGAGUUCGUGGGACAUCACCGAGCCAAACGUGUGCAGAUUACGGAGGUGCCGUACUUUCGGUACUAGGAUCGGUCGGAUCAUGAAGACGUACGGCUACAUCAACCGCGUUGUCGUAACGCUUCCGCUUACGGUCUACGAGGGUACGUGGACUACACUCUCCCCUCUCGUUGCGAUGCAUCACCAUGAUCUUGCGUGUGCGUAGGAAAUUUUAGAAAUUACUGCGUUCCCCAACAGUGGCAUCCGUGCCAGGCUUAUGUGUAGAUGUUAUAUGCACGAGUAGAACACAAGUGAGUUGUGGGCGAUAAUAGUCAUACUGCUUACCAGCAUGUCAUACUUUGAUUCGGCGGUAUUGUUGGAUGAAGCGGCCCAGACCGACAUACGCGUACGCUUACGCGAGACUGGUUCUACCGAUGUGCUUCGCACACAGGUGGCUGGCGGGUGUCAGUUUCUCCAACUUUAGUUGAAUCGAGUAUGGCUACGCCCGGUCCUUGUUGAAGGUUAAAAAAGCACAUACUUGACGAAAAAUCGUUGUGGUUUUGAUGCGUAGGUAAGAACGGCUCUUGCUCAGCCCGUAGCACUCACGUAAAACUUGCAACAACAAAGUAGAGGACGUCUAACUUGUUUUUGCAGGGCAUGUUGUGAUGUGAUAUGGUCAAGACAUGAUGCUAAAUUUUAUUGUAUGAGAUGAUCAUGUUUUGUAACGGAGUUAUCGGGAACUGACAGGAGCCAUAUAGUUCUCGCUUUAUUGUAUGAAAUGCAAUUGCCAUGUAAUUGCUUUAUUUUAUCACUAAGAGGCAGCGAUAGUCGUAGAAGCAAUAGUUGGCGAGACGACAACGAUGCUUCAAUGGAGAUCAAGGUGUCAAGCCGGUGACGAUGGUGAUCAUGACGAUGCUUUGGAGAUGGAGAUCAAAGGCACAAGAUGAUGAUGGCCAUAUCAUAUCACUUAUAUUGAUUGCAUGGGAUAUUUAUCCUUUAUGCAUCUUAUUUUGCUUUGAUUGAUGGUAGCAUUAUAAGAUGAUCUCUCACUAAAUUUCAAGGUACAAGUGUUCUCCCUGAGUAUGCACCGUUGUGAAAGUUCGUUGUGCCAAGACACCACGUGAUGAUCGGGUGUGAUAAGCUCUACGUUCACAUACAAUGAGUGCAAGCCAGUUUUGCACAUGCAAAAUACUCGGGUUAAACUUGACGAGCCUAGCAUAUGCAAAUAUGGCCUCGGAACACUGAGACCGAAAGGUCAAGCGUGAAUCAUAUAGUAGAUAUGAUCAACAUAGUGAUGUUCAUCAUUGAAAACUACUCCAUCUCACGUUAUGAUCGGACAUGGUUUAGUUUCUUUGGAUCACGUGAUCAUUUAGAUGAUUAGAGGGAUGUCUAUCUAAGUGGGAGUACUUAAGUAAUUUGAUUAAUUGAACUUUAAUUUAUCAUGAACUUAGUACCUGAUAGUAUUUUGCAUGUCUAUGUUGUUGUAGAUAGAUGGCCCGUGCUGUUGUUCCGUUGAAUUUUAAUGCGUUCCUAGAGAAAGCUAAGUUGAAAGAUGAUGGUAGCAACUACACGGACUGGGUCCGUAACUUGUGGAUUAUCCUCAUUGCUGCACAGAAGAAUUACGUCCUGGAAGCACCGCUCGGUGCCAAACCUGCUGCACGAGCAACACUAGAUGUUAUGAACGUCUGGCAGAGCAAAGCUGAUGACUACUCGAUAGUUCAGUGUGCCAUGCUUUACGGCUUAGAGCCGGGACUUCGACGAUGUUUUGAAUGCCAUGGAGCAUAUGAGAUGUUCCAGGAGUUGAAGUUAAUAUUUGAAGCAAAUGCCCGGAUUGAGAGAUAUGAAGUCUCCAAUAAGUUCUACAGCUGCAAGAUGGAGGAGAAUAGUUCUGUCAGUGAGCAUAUACUCAAAAUUUCUGGGUAUAACAAUCACUUGAUUCAACUAGGAGUUAAUCUCCCUGAUGAUAGUGUCAUUGACAGAAUUCUUCAAUCACUGCCACCAAGCUACAAGAGCUUCGUGAUGAACUAUAACAUGCAAGGGAUGGAUAAGACAAUUCCUAAGCUCUUCACAAUGCUAAAGGCUGCGAAGGUAGAAAUCAAGAAAGAGCAUCAAGUGUUGAUGGUCAAUAAGACCACCAGUUUCAAGAAAAAGGGUAAAGGGAAGAAGGGGAACUUCAAGAAGAACAGCAAGCAAGUUGCUGCUCAAGUGAAGAAGCCCAUGUCUGGACCUAAGCCCGAGACUGAGUGCUUCUACUGCAAAGGGAUUGGUCACUAGAAGCGGAACUGCCCCAAGUAUUUGGCGGAUAAGAAGGAUGGCAAAGUGAACAAAGGUAUAUGUGAUAUACAUGUUACUGAUGUGUACCUUACAAAUGCUUGCAGUAGUGCCUGGGUAUUUGAUACUAGUUCUGUUGUUAAUAUUUGCAUCUCGAAACAGGGACUACGUAUUGAGCGAAGAUUGGCUAAGGACGAGGUGACGAUGCGCGUGGGAAAUGGUUCCAAAGUCGAUGUGAUCGCCGUCGCCAUGCUACCUCUACAUCUACCUUUGGGAUUAGUUUUAGACCUGAAUAAUUGUUAUUUGGUGCCAGCGUUAAGCAUGAACAUUAUAUCUGCAUCUUGUUUGAUGCGAAAUGGUUAUUCAUCUAAAUAAGAGAAUAAUGGUUGUUCUAUUUAUAUGAGUAAUAUCUUUUAUGGUCAUGCACCCUUGAAGAGUGGUCUGUUUUUACUGAAUCUCGAUAGUAGUGACACACAUAUUCAUAAUAUUGAAGCCAAAAGAUGCAGAGUUGAUAAUGAUAGUGCAACUUAUUUGUGGCACUGCCGUUUGGGUCAUAUUGGUGUAAAGCACAUGAAGAAACUCCAUUCUGAUGGACUUUUGGAAUCACUUGGUACUUGCGAACCAUGCCUCAUGGGCAAGAUGACAAAAACUCCGUUCUCCGGAACAAUGUAGCGAGCAGCAGAUUUGUUGGAAAUCAUACAUACUGAUGUAUGUGGUCCGAUGAAUAUUGAGGCUCGCGGCGGGUAUCGUUAUUUUCUCACCUUCACAGAUGAUUUGAGCAGAUAUGGAUAUAUCUACUUAAUGAAAAGAUAAGUCUGAAACAUUUGAAAAGUUCAAAGAAUUUCAGAGUGAAGUGGAAAAUCAUCGUAACAAGAAAAUAAAGUUUCUACGAUCUGAUCGUGGAGGAGAAUAUUUGAGUUAUGAGUUUGGUCUUCAUUUGAAACAAUGCGGAAUAGUUUCACAACUCACGCCACCCGGAACACCACAGCCUAAUGGUGUGUUCGAACGUCGUAAUCGCACUUUAUUAGAUAUGGUGCAAUCUAUGAUGUCUCUUACUGAUUUACCGCUAUCAUUUUGGGGUUAUGCUUUAGAGACGGCUGCAUUCACGUUAAAUAGGGCACCAUCUAAAUCCAUUGAGACGUCACCUUAUGAACUAUGGUUUGGCAAGAAACCAAAGUUGUCGUUUCUUAAAGUUCGGGGAUGCGAUGCUUACGUGAAAAAACUUCAACCUGAUAAGCUCGAACCCAAAUCGGAGAAAUGUGUCUUCAUAGGAUACCCAAAGGAAACUUUUGGGUACACCUUCUAUCACAGAUCCGAAGGCAAGACAUUUGUUGCUAAGAAUGGAUCCUUCCUAGAAAAGGAGUUUCUCUCGAAAGAAGUGAGUGGGAGGAAAGUAGAACUUUAUGAGGAAACUGUACCUGCUCCCUUAUUGGAAAGUAGUUCAUCACAGAAAUCAGUUCCUGUGAUUCCUACACCAAUUAGUGAGGAAGCUAAUGAUGAUGAUCAUGGAACUUCAGAUCAAGUUACUACCGAACAUCGUAGGUCAACCAGAGUAAGAUCCGCACCAGAGUGGUACGGUAAUCUGGUUCUGGAGGUCAUGUUACUUGACCAUGACGAACCUAUGAACUAUGAGGAAGCGAUGAUGACCCCAGAUUCCGUGAAAUGGCUUGAGGCCAUGAAAUCUGCGAUGGGAUCCGUUUAUGAGAACAAAGUGUGGACUUUGGUGGACUUGCCCGUUGAUCGGCAAGCCAUCGAAAAUAAAUGGAUCUUCAAGAGGAAGACUGACGCUGAUGGUAAUGUUACCAUCUACAAAGCUCGACUUGUUGCGAAAGGUUUUCGACAAGUUCAAGGAGUUGACUAUGAUGAGACCUUCUCACCCGUAGCGAUGCUUAAGUCCGUCCGAAUCAUGUUAGCAAUUGCUGCAUUUUAUGAUUAUGAAAUUUGGCAAAUGGAUGCAAAGACUGCAUUCCUGAAUGGAUUUCUGGAAGAAGAGUUGUAUAUGAUGCAACCUGAAGGUUUUAUCGAUCCAAAGGAUGCUAACAAAGUGUGCAAGAUCCGGCGAUCCAUUUAUGGACUGGUGCAAGCAUCUCGGAGUUGGAAUAAACGUUUUGAUAGUGUGAUCAAAGCAUAUGGUUUUAUACAGACUUUUGGAGAAGCCUGUAUUUACAAGAAAGUGAGUGGGAGCUAUGUAGCAUUUCUAAUAUUAUAUGUAGAUGACAUAUUGUUGAUUGGAAAUGAUAUAGAAUUUCUGGAUAGCAUAAAAGGAUACUUGAAUAAGUGUUUUUCAAUGAAAGACCUCGGUGAAGCUGCUUAUAUAUUAGGCAUCAAGAUCUAUAGAGAUAGAUCAAGACGCUUAAUUGGACUUUCACAAAGCAUAUACCUUGAUAAACUUUUGAAAUAGUUCAAAAUGGAUCAAGCAAAGAAACAGUUCUUACCUGUGUUACAAGGUGUGAAGUUGAGUCAGACUCAAUGCCCGACUACUGCAGAAGAUAGAGAGAAAAUGAAAGUCAUUCCCUAUGCUUCAGCCAUAGGUUCUAUCAUGUAUGCAAUGCUGUGUACCAGACCUGAUGUGUGCCUUGCUAUUAGUUUAGCAGAGAGGUACCAAAGUAAUCCAUGAGUGGAUCACUGGACAGCGGUCAAGAACAUCCUGAAAUACCUGAAAAGGACUAAGGAUAUGUUUCUCGUUUAUGGAGGUGACAAAGAGCUCAUCGUAAAUGGUUAUGUCGAUGCAAGCUUUGACACUGAUCCAGAUGACUCAAAGUCACAAACCGGAUAUGUGUUUAUAUUAAACGGUGGAGCUGUCAGUCAGUGCAGUUCCAAGCAAAGCGUCGUGGCGGGAUCUAAGUGUGAAGCGGUGUACAUAGCUGCUUCGGAAGCGGCAAAUGAAGGAGUCUAGAUGAAGGAGUUCAUAUCCGAUCUAGGUGUCAUACCUAGUGCAUCGGGUCUAAUGAAAAUCUUUUGUGACAAUACUGGUGCAAUUGCCUUGGCAAAGGAAUCCAGAUUUCACAAGAGAACCAAGCACAUCAAGAGACGCUUCAAUUCCAUCCGUGAUCAAGUCAAGGAGGGAGACAUAGAGAUUUGCAAGAUACAUACGGAUCUAAAUGUUGCAGACCCGUUGACUAAGCCUCUCUCACGAGCAAAACGUGAUCACCACCAAAACUCCAUGGGUGUUAGAAUCAUUAUUGUGUUAUAUAGAUUAUUGACUCUAGUGCAAGUGGGAGACUGAAGGAAAUAUAACCUAGAGGCAAUAAUAAAGUUGUUAUAUAUUUCCUUAUAUCAUGAUAAAUGUUUAUUAUUCAUGCUAGAAUUGUAUUAACCGGAAACUUAGUACAUGUGAUACAUAGACAAACAGAGUGUCACUAUUAUGCCCCUACUUGACUAGCUUGUUAAUCAAAGAUGGUUAAGUUUCCUAGCCAUAGACAUGAGUUGUCAUUUGAUGAACGGGAUCACAUCAUUAGAGAAUGAUGUGAUUGACUUGACCCAUUCCGUUAGCUUAGCACUUUAUCGUUUAGUAUAUUGCUAUUGCUUUUUUCAUGACUUAUACAUGUUCCUAUGACUAUGAGAUUAUGCAACUCCCGAAUACCGGAGGAACACUUUGUGUGCUACCAAACGUCACAACAUAACUGGGUGAUUAUAAAGGAGCUCUACAGGUGUCUCCAAUGGUGUAUGUUGAGUUGGCAUAGAUCGAUAUUUGGAUUUGUCACUCCGAUUGUCGGAGAGGUAUCUCUGGGCCCUCUUGUUAAUGCACAUCACUAUAAGCCUUGCAAGCAAUGUGACUAAUGAGUUAGUUGCGGGAAGAUGCAUUACAGACCGAGUAAAGAGACUUGGCGGUAACGAGAUUGAACUAGGUAUAGUGAUACCGACGAUCGAAUCUCGGGCAAGUAACAUACCGAUGACAAAUGGAACAACGUAUGUUGUUGUGCGGUUUGACCGAUAAAGUUCUUCGUAGAAUAUGUAGGAACCAAUAUGAGCAUCCAGGUUCCGCUAUUGGUUAUUGACCGGAGAUGAGUCUCGGUCAUGUCUACAUAGGUCUCGAACCCGUAGGGUCCGCACGCUUAACGUUCUGUGACGAUCGGUAUUAUGAGUUUAUGUGUUUUGAUGUACCGAAGGUUGUUCGGAGUCCCGGAUGUGAUCACGGACAUGACGAGGAGUCUCGAAAUCGUCGAGACAUAAAUAUCGAUAUAUUGGAUGACUAUGUUUGGACAUCAGAAAGGUUUCGAGAGAGUUAGGGCAUUUACCGGAGUACCGGGGGGUUACCGGAACCCCCGGGGACUCAAUGGGUCUUAAUGGGCCAUAGUGGAAAGGAGGAGGAAGCGGGCAAGCUGGGGGCGCCCCCCCAAGCCCAAUCCGAAUUGGGAAGGGGGCCGGCCCGCCUUUCCUUCUAUCCUUCUCCCCCUUCCUUCCCUCUCCUACUCCAACUAGGGAAGGGGGAAUCCUACUCCCAUCGGGAGUAGGACUCCCCCCUUGGGCGCGCCUAGUAAGCCGGCCAUCUCCCCCUCCUCCACUCCUUUAUAUACGGGGGAGGGGGCACCCCAUAGACACACAAGUUGAUCAUUGAUCUCUUAGCUGUGUGUGGUGCCCCCAUCCACCAUAACCCACCUCGAUCAUAUCGUUGCAGUGCUUAGGCGAAGCCCUGUGCCGGUAGCUUCAUCAUCACCAUCAUCACGCCGUCAUGCUGACGAAGGUCUCCCUCUACACUCAACUGGAUCGAGAGUUCGUGGGACGUCACCGAGCCGAACGUGUGCAGAUUGCAGAGGUGCCGUACUUUCGGUACUAGGAUCGGUCGGAUCGUGAAGACGUACGACUACAUCAACCGCGUUGUCAUAACGCUUCCGCUUACGGUCUACGAGGGUACGUGGACUACAAUCUCCCCUCUCGUUGCUAUGCAUCACCAUGAUCUUGCAUGUGCGUAGGAAUUUUUUGAAAUUACUGCAUUCCCCAACACAGGUUGCCUCGCAACCGAACGGUGAUCAUGAAGAAUCACAAACGAAACCAUACUCGGUUCAACGGGUUACCUUGUAACCAAACAGUGAUCACUCAUGGAUCACAAAUGAUACCACAUCAGUCAGCCUCACUGACAUCAUCAUGAUUUAACCAGUGCAAUGCAAAUAACUUAGUGUGCAAGAUUUCUUUAUAAAAGUUGAUCCAUGGUGUGACUUACUUAUGAACUGGGCCCUUAUUCGUGGGCGCGGCUAUCGAUAGAUUAAUACACUCUGCAGAGGUAGCACACUUUACCCACACCAUAGAACCCAUGGCCUCGCACUCCCAUUCGGGUGGACCUAUGGCAUGCCGACAGAACUCUCCCAUUGUCAUGACACACUUUCGGCCACUCUGACCAACUCCCCACUAGGCUUAGUCCUGGGUGGCCCCAGCCUACCAAAGGCAAAAUGGCCACCGUCGUGGCAAAUAAAUGGUCCCAAAUGGGGACAAGGUACCAUAACAACAACAGACUCACAAGGUUAUGUCUGCUUACCGGGCUAGGGUAACGCACGCCCAUAACCUUCCCUCGUUGGAGGCACCGACAAAAGGCAUGACAACAUGACGACUAAUGGCCUCCCCAUACUAAGGCAAAUGUGGUUGCACUUGUCAGCCCGAUUCAGGGGCACCAUUACCCGACCAACUUUAUGUUCAAGUUCAAUUAUCAUCAGGUUUAACUUGAAAUAAAAUGCUCGAGUCACUAUAUGCCAUGCUUAUGCAACCAUAUAUAAUGCAUCACAUAUAACUUAGAAACAACAGAUCAACCUCCUUCAAAGUUCUACUUGCACAAACUCAUCUUUCAACAUUUCUGGUCCUUACUUACUGGUCAUCUAGAUUCAUCACUUUUUAGUUGGCAUUUAUCCUACGAAACUCAUCAUGCAUAUACGGAAAAUAAUACUGAUGCUCAUAUUACCGUAGUCAUGACAAACUCACUUAGUUCAACUACUCAAGCUAUAUCUCACUAGUUCAAGCAUUCAUUUCUGUUAACUAAGCAUCUUGAUCAUGACAAACUAAAUAACACAAGUAUUAUUUAUUUAAUACUAUAUGCAAUGAAUAUCAUAUAUAUUCAAGUGGAAAAUCAUGGAUAUUGCAAAGACACCAUGAAAAUGUUGUUGUGGCUUGCCUUAGUGCAGAGGAGCUUCAAACUCCUCCUGGAUGCCUUCAAGACAAGCUUCACUUUCUGAAAAUAAAUCAAAUGGCAAAAAGAAAAUAUCAAGAACACUUCUAAAAAUUACCAGAAAUUCUAGACAGCAGAGAAAAAUCUCAUCUUGGGUGUGCUGCUAGGAUUUUCCAGUAAGAACACAAUGCAAAAAUAAUCAACUCAUUUGGACUUGUAGAAUAAGAGUUACAGCUAGUCAAAGUUCUGGUCAAAUUUGAAUUACAUUUGAAUAAAAGAAAAACCAGAGGGGGGUGACGUCGAAGGCGUAAACCAGCAGGGCGCCACCAUUCAUACCGCUUCAGGCGUGGCCUGAGUGGCUAACAGUAGGCCCCAAUAGUCAGGUCGGAGGGGGAGGGGGAGAGAAGCAAAGUCGGGCGUCGCGACAACGGCGCUUUCUCCGGUGAGGAGUGCCCGACGACGAGAUCUGAGAUGAUAUGAAUGGAGAGGAGAUCGAGGCGCACCUGCCCGUACCCGUAGCAUGGCUAGGGGUGGCCGGACGGGGACGGAAAGAAGCUCUCCAGCGGCGGCGGCGGCGGAGCUCGUCGGAGAUGAUGAUUCCGGCAAGGCAGGGCCAGUCCAGCAGCUCCAACGGCACCAGCACACACUAGUGGACCACCAUGGACAUGCCGGAGAAGUCAGUAGAGCUCGAGCAUCUCUGGAGUGGGAGGGGGCAGUGGACGGGGAUUGCCGGCGAGCUUGGGGACGGAGGCCAGAGGCCUGCCCGGCCGGGCUGCGGCUUCCUACGGCGUUGUGGAGGUGUGUUGAGAGCGUGUGUGGAGAGAAACGAGCUCGGGGGGGCUCUAUUUAUAGGCGAGGCCAAAGGCGGGGAUCGAGAGCUCGCCGGAGCUCUCUGGAGUGGUGCCCGACGACGAAUGGCGUCAAUGAGAGGGGGAGAAGGCGCCGGGGAUCACGCGGGGACUGUAGGCGGGCAGCAACGAGCACACAAGCGCGGUACACGACGAGCACAGGGGCACGGGCGCACUGUUCGCUUGGUCGCGUCGUGCCCGUGCUCGCUGCCGCGAGCUCCGACGUCGGCAAGUGCCAGGGCGGAGUUAAGCAGGUGCAGACGAGGAUGGGGGCGCGGUUUGGCAAGGUGCGGCGGUCGGGGCAGUGAGCAGGCGCGUAACAGAGACGCUGGCGCACCGCAGAGCGCGUCGGCCGCAUGGCAACCCCCUUGGAUGAAUGUGGUCACCGCAUGAACUUUGGCAUCAGGCUGAGCUAAGCGCAAACACCAUGUCUGGCAUGUAGUCCUUAGUGGUUUUUCUUGUUUUGCAUGGUUGGUUGGGUCACAGGUGAACUGUGUGAGUGGGUUUCUUCCUGGCAAGUUUCUGGGAAGAAACUUGUGAGCUUCACUGAGAAAAAUCUAGUGAGAGCAAAAGGCCGUGCUUUGGGUUUUAGCAAUAUCUUAGGAGGGUAAUGAAGCUCAGAAAAGAUCAUCCCCAAAUGAUCAAGGAAAAAUAUACUUGCUGUGCAAUGUGGCCAUUCUGUCCAGAACAGAAAUGAUUUUCUGUAGCAAAAAUAUUUCAAAAAGUUAUGCAGUAUUUUUGCUCAGGGAGGUGCCCCAGGGUUCAAAGAAUAUUUGUGAAUUUAUUCAGGAUUUUAGGAGCAAGAAAACUAGGGGUUGCUUUGGAGCAUACUUCUCUGGAGUGAUUUUCAGGGAAGAAAAUGAAUAUUUUUCUUUUAUGAAAAUAUUCCUUGGGCUUUUGUUGGAGUUUUUCAGAGAAGGAAAGAUGAGCUAGGGGUGGAUGGGUCACUUGGGUGAAAAUCAAGGGUAGGCCCAAGUGAUCAAGCCCAUUUGAAUUGAUUCAAAACUCCAAAUCCAAAGCAAAUGCAAAAGAAAGUCCGGAAAAAGAGAGAAGGCAAAUCCAGGCUGUCACAAACCUACCCCACUUAAGAUGAAUCUUAUCCUCGAGAUUCGGUUGCUUGGGAAAACAAUUCUGGGUAGGCUGUCCUUAAAAAUUCCUCUCUUUCCCAGGUUGCUUCUUCUUCGGUCUGAUGCUCCCGCUGGACCUUGUAAAACUUGAUUGUUUUGCUGUGUGUGACCCUUUCUGCCUCAUCCAAGAUUCUGAACGGUCUCUCCUCAUAAGUUAAAUCCUUGGCAAGCUCAAUCUCUGACAUAUCAGUCCUCUUCUCGGGUGGUGAAAUACACCUUCUCAGCUGUGAUACGUGGAACACGUUGUGUACUUCCGACAAUUCUGUUGGCAAUUCCAACUGAUAAGCGACUAUGCCAACUUGGGUCAUGACUGGGAACAGACCAAUAUAUCUCGGUGCCAAUUUGCUCGGUUCUGAAGUCUCUUGAUUCCCUUCAUGGGUGUGACUAAGAGAUACACGUGUUCACCAGGCUCAAAACUAACUUGCCGAUGUUUGGCAUCAUAAUAACUCUUCUGUCGUGACUUAGCCAGUUGUAGUCUAUCUUGAAUUUCCUUGACUUGUUUCUCUACCUCCAAUAUCAAAUCAGUACCGAAGAUACGGCUGUCCCGGUUUGGGAUCAAUUUAAGGGAGUGCGACACUUACGGCCGCACAAAGCUUCAAAUGGUGACAUCUUCAGACUGGUUUGGAAACUGUUGUUGUAUGAGAAUUCUGCAUAGGGAAGACAAUCUUCCCAUUUGGACCCAUGGGCUAAGGAACAUGCUCGAAGCAUGUCUUCAAGGAUUUGAUUUACCCGCUCAGUCUGAUCGUCUGUCUGGGGGUGAUAGGCGGUGCUGUAUUUGAGGGCGGUCCCCAAAGCUUGAUGGAGUCGGGACUAGAAUGCGGAGGUAAACAGUGAACCUCGGUCCGAAGUGAUUGUUUUUGGCACUCCAUGCAAACUGACAAUCCGGGAUACAUAUAAUUGUGCAAGUAUAUCAGCACGAAAUGUGGUGCGGAUGGGAAUAAAGUGAGCCACUUUAGUCAGCGUGUCCACUAUGACCCAUACAGCAUCAUUGCCUCGGUGAUUCCUGGGCAGACCGGUGAUAAAGUCCAUGCAGACAUCAUCCCAUUUCCAUUGCGAGACAGGUAGAGGUUCGAGAAGUCCGGCAGGUUUCUGGUGUUCCGCCUUUACUUUGUUGCAGAUGUCACGACAAGCGACAAAAUAUGCAAUGUCCCUUUUCAUGCCAUCCCACCAGAAUAUCUGUCGAAGGUCUUCGUACAUUUUAGUGCCUCCGGGGUGUAUCGAAUAUGAGGACUUGUGUGCUUCUACCAAAAUUUUCUUUCUUAAGUGUCACUACAAAAAAAGACACAUCUGUGACAUUUUGGGCCGAACGAAUUUUUUUUGUCAUGCUUAUGACACUUCUAUGACGAUAAUUGUGACAAAACCCGGUAUCAUCAUAGAUGUGGUGGGCUCCUACUUCUAUGACAAAAAAUCAUGACAGAAAAUGUGCUUUUCGUCCUGGGCGGGCCAGAGACGCAGCUGCAUGACAUUCUUUAGGCCGUCCAUGAUAGAGAAAACCAUGGUAGAAGCGAGGGCGAGGAAAAUAUCGAGGGAGUUCCCGGUUACGGUGAGUGGUCGGGGGCCGAGCGAUGCGCGUUUCUCUCAUACGUACACACGUGUGUGUUAGUGGCGUUGCGCUCUAACUUAACCCGAGCGAUUGCACUGCACGCUACGCGUUACUGAACCCGAGCGAUCGAUCGAUCCCUUGCUGUUAACUGAACCCGAGUGAUUCCUUCGCUACUGCUGCUAACUGAAGCCGAUCGAUGCUGCCUCUUGAUGAACAGUGAGCGUUGUUGGGGGUUUGGAUGAACAGUUCCCGGUGGGGGUUCGUGAACAGGACCCUGUGGUAGUAGAGGCCGUUGCCGCUAGAUGAACAGGACCCCGAUCGAUCAAACCGGUGGAUGAACAAGACCCCAUGGAGGGCUGGAUGAACAGGACCCCGUGGAGGGCAGGUUGAAUACUAGCCGGUGGAGGGCUGGUUGAACAGUAGCCAGUGGAGGGCUGGAUAAACAGUAUCCCGUGGAGGGGUGGUUGAACAGGGUCCCGUGAAGAGGGCUGGUUGAACAGUAGCCGGUGGAGGAGCGCGCGGUGGAGGCUGGAUGAACAGGAGCCCGUGGAUGAACAGUCGCAGGUGGAGGCUGGAGGAGGUCGACGGUGGGUGAACAAUAGCCCGUGGAGGCUGGAGGAGGUCGACGGUGCAGAUGAACAUUAUCGCUUGGAGUCCCAUUUUGUGGUACGCCACACCCCUCCCGAUGAACAAUACCCCCGUUUUGACCGUAGUGCUCCAACACAAGUCCGUUUCCUCCGUUUUGCGGUACGCCACACCCCUCCUUAUCAAUAAGACCCCGUUUCGACUGUAGGAGGUCCGUUUCCUUUGUUUUUCGGUACGCUAGACCCCUCCUGAUGAACAGGAUCCCGUUUCCACCGUGGCCGGUCGAACACAAGACCGUUUUCUCCGUUUUGUGGUACGCCAGGCCUCGUUUCCAUCGGCUGUUCCGUCCAAGCCGGUUGGCUCCCGAUGAACAGCACGCAUUCCGUUGCCUCCCGAUGAACAUGACGCAUUCCAUUGCCUCCCCAUGAACACGACGACGACGCAGUUUCUCUGUUCCGACCCAGCCACAACCAUGUACACAAGCCCUGGCCGUACGCAUGCGCGAGUAGGCGUUCGAGACCUCGCCCGUAUGUACAUACGUGGCCAUAUUUACUUUCUUGCACCCUUGCCGAUGUACGUACGCGCCUCUACUACCACACGUGCGCGCCUCUACUACCACACGUGCCCUUCCCUACACGGCCAGUGCUCAUCGCUGCAGCCUGUAGACAGACCGAUCGACCAGUAUGUACGUACACGUUCGCGACCAGAGUGACAACGCUACGUACACUUCGACUGGGUGGGUCCCGACUGUCAGGCACUUCCUUGCGUGCAAAGAUUUAGCUAGUGGGUCCCAGGAGUCAGGGGGCGAAUCAUUUUUUUGCCCGUAAUAUGGACGCACUUCCUUGCGUGUGAAGAUGUAGCUGGUGGGUCCCAGCAGUCAGGGGGGAAACGUUUUUUUGUGAAAUCAUUAUUUUUUGCGUAAUAAGGAGGAACUCCUUGAUGCGGCCAUGGACCCAGCUAUCAGCCUCUCCGCGUACAUUACUCUUCCGAUGGAAGUCGUUCCUUGACCAUGUUGACCACACCGCGCCGAGAGCACCAGGGCGGUGGACGACGGCGAGGCCUAUGGAGGGGACGACCCGGAGCCGGGGAAGACGCACCAGUGGAUGCCCACGCGGAGGGGAGUACGUGGGUUGACUGCUUCGGCUGCGGUGUGAGGCUGCCGUCGCCGGAGAAUAACAGGAGGUGUGGGUGAGUAUAGAGGGAUCGCAUGGCCAGCGGUGGCAGCACAGCCGGACACGGGAGGCAGGAGCCGGCGGGACGGCCGACACUUGUUUGGGCGGCUGGAGCAAGAAGACCAGAGGUUGAAGAAGCACUACGGCCGUUGGAUGGACAUCGUACGGUCACUAGAGCUAGAAUCGUUCAUAUUGACUAAGUUGACAAAGCCCUCCAUACCCGUCAUCUUAGUAGGCCCACAAGUCAGCCUGCUACUAUGGUGGGUCCCAGCUAGCAGGGGGAGUAUUCAUUUUUUUGUGCAUAAUAAGGAGGCACUUCCUUGCGUGCGAAGAUAUAGCUGGUGGGUCUGACCUGUCAGCGGGGUAACGUUUUUUUUUUGCAAAAUACAGAGGCCCUUCCGAUGGGUCCAGCUAUCAGGUGCAGGAAUCAUUAUUUUGCACAUAAUAAGGAGGAAUUUCCUUGUGUGCGGCCGUGGACCCAGCUAUCUGCCUCUCCACGUACAGUCCACUUCCGAUGCAUGUCAUUCGUUGACCACGCCGCGCCGAGACCACUUGGGCCGUUGACGACGGUGAGGCCUAGGAAGGGAACGACACGGAGCCAGGGAAGACUCGGCAGUUGUUUCCCACGCGGAGGGGAGUACGAGGGUUUACUGGUUCAUCUACCGUCACCGGAGAAUAACAACAGGUGUGGGUGAGUAGAGGGAUGGCUAGGCCAGCGAUGGGAGUACGAUGGGGCGGUGAGGCCUGCGCCGCAGCACAUCCGGCCACGGGAGGAGGAAGAAGGCAGUCCCGUCGGCGCUUGUUUGAUCGGCUGGAGCAAGAAGAGCAGAGGUUGAAGAAGCACGACGUCCGUUGGAUGGACAUCCAACAGUCACUGCUUGUGCUUCAACCAUUUUUUAGGAAAGCCUCAAAUCUAUGGAAAACAGCAUACAUCCCAUCUGUCAUUAUUUCUAAUAAUUUACAGCCCAUUUGCUAAUUCUUAAGGUUUUUUUGGAGCCCAUACUCUUUUUGUUAGCAUUACAACCCAUAUUGUGGCCACGGUUAAAAAAUUAUACGGAAAUUUUCAUAUUUUGGUGCGGUCCGAACUAUUUUUAAUCCCGAAGUUUCGAGUCACAUUCAAACUGAUUUAAAAAAUAAAUGUACAUCAAUAGAAAAUCCAAAAAUUUGUCCACGCAUAAAAAUCAAUGCAAUUUAAAAUGAAAAAUGAAAAAAAAUUAAAACUAAUUGCCGGUUUGAUGUGUUUUAAAAAUGUACAGACCAUUUCUCAUUACUGAUAUUCUACAAAGUACUUCUAGUUUCAUACUUGUUCUAGGUAAAGCGAACGUUAAGCGUGCGUAGAGUUGUAUCGAUGGUCGAUAGAACUUGAGGGAAUAUUUGUUCUACCUUUAGCUCCUUGACACUCUUACUUAUCGAAAGAGGCUACAAUUGAUCCCCUAUACUUGUGGGUUAUCAAGGGUCUUGUGUUUGCUGCCACCACCCGUGGCACUGUUUAUGCAUGGAAUCCUUAUUGUUUCGGUAUGUUUGUCUUCCACCGUAAUUAUAAUUAUUUCAUCCACAUGCAUGCGGGUUAGAUAGUUUCCCUUUACUAAUUAACCUUCUUGUGUUUCCAAGGUCCUGUGAACGUUGCACCACCUAUACUUGAAAAAUUUUAUAACCAAGGGGGAGAUGACGAUGAUGAUGAUCACGAGCAUGAGGACACAUAUACUUAGUGGCGCCUGGCAACUUAUUCCGAUGGAUCACCUCUUCUUGUCUGUAUACAGGGCACCGCUGAUGUGACUAAGGAAGCAGGUGUUGUCUCCCAUGGUCGCACUCUUCGGACCUAUUCCAACAUCCGUUGCAGGGUAUUCGGGAUGGAUACUACUGUGCUAGCGCCAACACCUUCUCCCUGGUUUAGUAUUGAUACUCUUGGAGGAAACUCACUCUUCCUUGGACAAAACUAUCCGAUCAUGGUGAAAGGCGAUCCAGCUGCUGUUGACACAACAUUACUACCAUUUAUGAAAAGCAAUUGUAUCUAUACCUCGGACAUUGCUUUGCUUCCCUACCGUGGCUAUCACAAUAUGGGUCAUGAAAUAGGCCGCUUCAGCCUGGAUGAUCAGUCCUGCGUUGGUCUCGAGAUUGACAGUAGCUGCCCUUCCGAGACAAACACUUCUGGUUCAAAGCAGCGUUUCCAACGCCGAGGAGUGGUUGAGCUGAAGUUCAUUUCAUUGCUUGUUAUUUGUUGUGUGAUGAAAAAUUUAGUAUUUACUAGAAUGUUUUGUUGGAACUAAUCUAUAAUCCAACAUGUAUCCUCAUUGUCGUUGUGUGUUGAUGACUUUUUGUAUGUAAUGAAUGGUACAUUUGCAUAUGCAUGUCAUAAACUUAAUUUAUAAAUGGUUCUCGACUCACUUCUUGGAGUGUUAGUGCCGUAGUAGUAUAGCCAGCAUCCGUAGUAGUAUGAAGUUGCCACAUCACAUAGAGCCAACCAAUAGUUAGGUGUCGCACGGAGGCCGAGAAAUAUGGUGAUAGCAUGACUGCGUAAGGUGGGCUUGUACGUAGUAUGAUGUAGGCACAGGGCUUGCCAUGUUUCCUACUCCUCCGGUCUGCCUCCUUUUGCCGACACGUGGGACAUCCAGCAUCCAGGUCACGUAAUGCAAGAAAAUGGAGUGCUAGUUGAAGCCACGUGAUGUGCAUCUUGGGUUAAACUGUAAAUAGAAUCUACUACUCUUUAGUAACUCCAAAAGCGGCCACCGAAGAUCUUUGUUGGAUUUGUUUUUCAUCACCAGCACGUUGAGGUGAAAGAUGUGCAGGUUCAGUGGGUCCUCUUGCGUUUUCACUGACAUGUGGGACCGCAUGUGAGCAAACAGAUGAUGGGCUCCGUGCGUCUGCUGGCUGGCUGAGAAGAGAGAUAGAGGAGGGCUGAGCACGGACUCCAAGAAAUUUGUUCUACAUAACCAUCACCUCGAUAUAGGCUUCAUAUAGUGGGGUGGCAUGGGCAAUAACUAGCAUUCACGUCUAGCAGUACGGCACAUGCCACCCACACGAGUCCCAUCCGACACCAAUUUUCUUGGAGUCCGUGCUACAUCCAUCUCUUCUCCCUCCUAUUUUCUUAGCCAUCGCGCGCUCGGCGGGGUGGGGGUUUGCCGAUAGUCGGUUUUGCUCAACUACGGUCCCACUUGUAAGUGAAAAUGCAACACAGCACGCAUUCCCCCUUGAGCGGCGUGCCGGACCAACCGUGUGGGGGUGCGACGCGAACACUGUAGGCUUUUCCUUUUGAACUUGUAACUUGUAAUAUUUGGUUCUGCUCCAUGGCGCGUCCGAUAGAUAGAAAUAACGAUUUUCCCUAGACUAAUGAGAAGUUUGGUUCUGGUGCAGUUCAUGCAUGGAGUACGUACAAAAAUUAUGAAGUUGAUGCAAAAGGUAAGAUAAUUACUAGUAGUACCACAUACUACUACAAGGAUUUUACGGAAAGAUAAAGAUACAUACGGAUCCAUCAACGACAUCCUCACGCCCUAGUGCGUCGGGUCACCAACCGACGUGUUGGAGCAGCGGCGUUGGCGGCGAGCUCAACGUGCUUCUGAACAAUGCCGUCCAAGGUUGCCCUGCGGGUCAAGAAGGCCAGCGACCUAUCGUCCUCCUCUGGCACGUAGUAGUCCUUGUGGACGAUUUGAGCGUAGACGUGGGUGAUUAUGUCGACGGUAUCUUGCUGCGCCAGCCGCUGCGCGGCGAGCACGACCUGGAGGUGGACAUUCUCCGGCGGGACGACGGGCAGUCGCAGGGCCACCAGUGCGUCGAAGAGGUUGUCACCAUAGAGGCCAUUGAGGGUGGCGGGCAUCGCAGAGCCUAGGCGUGUUGGCUGGAGGUGUACGUCAAUGUUGUCCGCGAGCUUCUUGACGAUGGUGAACUUGCCAAGGAAGCCGACGAGGACCUUGUCGAACAAGGAGACGAAGCUGUCGUCCAAGCGGCCUCUCACCCUGGCGGCCUCAAGCACGACCUGGAGACGUUCCUCGGUGCCGGGCCGUAGGCUGGCGUCGUGGACCAUCUGGCACAGCCGGCUGAUGAUCGUGCUCAUCGCCUCCAUGGGUCUAGCUUCUAGUCAACUGAUCUUGCGAUUAGAGUGAUCACUCUUGCCCUUGGUUAGGGUGCGUAGGUGCGUAGGAUUUCGUAGAUUGGACUGGCAGGGACGCUGGGGAGCCUUUAUAUGAGAAGUGCAGAUUGCAUUGCAUUCACGUGUGUGUUGGCCAUCUACUCCUUGGCCCUCUACUACACCCGCCUUUGGCUGUAUGACAGGUGGGACAGCCACCUGUUAGGCCCACGUGUCAUUCACCCAAAUGCAGGUGCAAUAAGUCAAUGAAGUUGUGUCCCCCUUCGUGUUGGUGCAGUAUAGUCAUCUCACCGGACCUCUAGUUGGGGCCAAACAAGAGAACUUUGAUGUUUACUAGUUUAUUGGUCCCCUUUGCAUUUUGCGCCAAGUUUUGACAUUUUAUUUAACUAAUAAAAUGUUAAUGCAUGUAACCAAAAAUGUUGGUACGGUACAUUAACUCCCUCCUCGUUUCUUAUUUCGUGACAUAUCAACCAAUGAGAGAUGUGGGCUGUGCAUGCUUUCAAUGACUUGAGACUACCAAACAUGACAUGCAGUGGUUAGUUGAUUGCAUGUAAUCCUAUUAAUUGGGAAAAAGAUAUGAAUUUCUCUCGCUUUACCCUUCGUCUUGGUCACGGUGCACAACCUAAGAGCAUGGUUAAUAGUAUAGCCAGCUGCUGACUACUCCCUCCGUCUAGGUGUAUAAGUCAUCUUCGGUUGUGCACGGCGACCCAGGCGGAGGGAAAAAGGAGAGAACUUAAUGGUUUUGCUAAUUAAUAGCAUUGCAUGCAAUGAACUAACCACUACAUGUCAUGUUUGGUAGUCUCAAGUAAUUUAAAGCAUGCACGGCCCACAUCUCUUAUUGGUUGAUGUGUCACGAAACAAGAAACGACAAGGGAGUGAAUGUACCGUGCCUAAGUGUUUCGGGAUUAUUUUGUUUUCGUAAGGUGACUUACACACCUAGACGGAGGGAGUGUAUGAUGUUGCCAUGACAUAUACUGUAGGGCCAUCACUUGUAGCCACUCAUACAAUAAGGUUAGCUACAAGGCUGGCUAUAAGAGUACUACUUUUUCUCAUCUUCUCUCUCUCUUUCUUCAUAUUUAUUGUAUAUCGGCCUAGGAAUCCGCAUAUAGCUAGGCUCUUGCUUGAGAGCCCACUCCUCUUUUUCACUUGCUCUAAGAUGAAUUAUACACCUAGAUGGAGGGAGUAGUCUCAAGUCAUUGGAUGCAUACGCACCCCACGUCUCGCAUUGGGUGAUUUCUUUUUUCGUGGCAAAAAACAGGGAACGAGGUGGGUAGUUAAUGCACCGCGCCUAAAAGUUUUGGGAUUACUAUUUGGUUUUCGUAAGAUGACUAAUGGACCAGUACGGAGGGAGUACAAUAGUAGUCUUUGAUUGCAAUUUUUUGUUGGUAGCUUACAAAGCUGAGCGCUCGGUGAGUACAAUAGUAGUCUGAUUGAUGAGACUUCAUAUUUGAUCCAUCUACCGGAAGGAAUAAAAUAAUACACCAUGUAUUUAUUUACAGAGGGAGUAGUACAUUUUUUUGACAUGCAUUACUAGAUAUUUCUAGUCAAAUACUAAAUCCAGAUGGACGUGGUAGUACUACUAAUCCAGACGGUGGUGCUAGUACUAGUAGUAGUACUACCAAUGUAGUAGUACUGUACUACCCGUUGGUCAAAUUAUUACGUGCUGCUCCUCAAAGUGAAGUGACAAGACCCUGCGCCGGAGAUGACACGUGAGUAUAGGCGCCGUGUUCGGCAUAGAAUAGUCAGCCUCACUGUCUGCAGCCACUAUCAUCAUGGCUGUAGAGCUAGUCUGCUUACAACUAGCCGUGUUCGACAUAAUUUCCCGUGCGUAGAUGCCCGUGCAUUGCACGGAACACCAAGAUUGUGGGUGGACGGCGCCGGAAGCGGCCAUCGCGCCAGAUUUUCCCAUGGCCUUCUAGAUGUGGUGGGGAGGAGAUAAGGCUGAUUGUGAGAGACAAGGAGUUGUUUGUAAAUAUGGAACAAGUGCGGGCAUCUUUUUGCAAAACUGGAGAAGUUUGGUUUGUAUGCGUCAGAUCUAGAUCCGACGGCUAUUGGUGAAAGAUGGCAGGCACAACAUCAUCACCAACUCAGGACCUCUUUGAUUCGCAGGAUUUUGAAAACGCGGGAAUAGGACACGGCAAUAUUACAAGUUUCAAACUGAUAUUACAAAUGUUAGGAGUAACUCUGCACCUACGAAGAGGGAAUUACUAGGACGUAUGAACUUUUGUUACUUUAGGUGGAUGCAGCAUUAUCCUACAAACUAAAAUCCACCGCCCUGACAAGUCACUAAUGGGCAAAUAAAUUUUCGAGUCUCUGGCCACUAGAUGUUUCAAAAACAAAUUCAGCUUCUGCGGAGACGUUGUCAUUUAGGCUUUGACGCUUGCGGGGAUCAGCACGCCAUUCAUUGUUGCGCUAGAGAAUGCCAAACCUCGUUACCUUGAGCACAUUUGCCUCCAGAACAAAGAACCUAGCCAAUUUAAUCUCAGAUGUGCUGCCUCGGUAGUCGAUCAAAUCAAUUUCUGUAAGAUGGAGAUCAAGGCAUUCGAUGAGAUUAUUAUAGUGCAGCACAUUUCUCACUUCCAGGUCUUUUUUUAUCUGCAAAAGAAGAGAACAUGUUAGAGCAGUUGGCUGUAUAAGAUUGCCGUGUGUCAUCAAGAGGUACCAAUAUCAUUCGCUCAUACGAUAGGGUUGGCUGGCUAGUGAUAUUUUUUCACUCUCUCUCUCUCUUUCUCUUUCCUCUCAUGGACCUAGGAGCACGUGAAGAGCUUGGGCAUUUGUUUCCUUCCACUAUGUGGCCGAUGCCAAAUUUCUCAAAAGUAUGCCACAUAAUACGCAUCAAUGUCAAAUCAAAAGAUUUUGCCACCGCUCUCAUGAUGUGAGAGAUUUGUCACCGCUGUGCACACAGACCCACAUGUACAAACAAAUCAAUCAAACCAACUACACCAGCCUCUCACUCUCCCAAACAAGUGUUUUUUUAUUGCCUCAGUCCUCUCUCUCUCUCUCUCCCACGCAAGUGUUUUUUCAUUGCGUGAGUUAAUUUGGCACCGGAGCAAAGUAGGCGAUCCAGAUUGGGGCACUAGUUGAGCAAUGGAGGGGCAUCGAUGCCAAAUGCAUCACAAGUGAAUUUGGCACGUGUUUUGGCCUACAUAGUGGAGGGCCGUUAUAGCCCACUUUUGCACUACCUCAUAUUUAGUGUAAAAUUUUGACCAUAGAUUUACCUAAGUAAAUUCCGAUGCAUGUCACCAAAAAUUAUACCAUUUGAAAUUAUGUUCAAAUACGAAUCCAACGAUAUAAUUUUUAGUGACAUGCAUUAACAUUUUGUCAGUUAAAUCUAUGGUCUAAUUUUGAUACUACAAAAUAGGAAGAGUAAACCAGGACGGAGGUAGUACUUGCUCUUAGGGUAACCAUAGAGUUACUAGUCUAAGUUACUUUCCACUAUGACUAGCCUAGGCUACUAUAUUAGUACAACAACAAAAAACGAUGCAGGUGAUCACGUGAGAAAAAAUACUAAAAACAUUUCUUUCGGUGCACUGCGUAGAUGCAGUUUUGAACACUACACUUGUCAUCAUAAUUUGGGAAAAUUAUGAAAAAAAUUGAGCUACGUUGUGAUUACCGUUUACUAAUAGGAAAGAAGUUUCACCUCGAUGAGUAGCUUCUCCGUGCACGGAAAGCAUGUAAGGAAUCCAACAACUUGAUCCAGAUUGGGGCCGAUAGAUUUUAUUGCCAAGAUCUUCACUGUGCGCAUAGACUGGGUCAAGCUUGUGGAAAUCAUUUUCUGGAAGACGGUCGUAAAUACAUCAAGAAGAAAUUUAAAAAUGUGAAUUUCAAGAAGGCGGAGAAGAAGAUGAGUGUUGUACCUAAACGAUUACGGAUCCAAUAAAGAGUUCGGAGAAUUUGGCAGAGGAGUACACCAACGCUGUCAAUUUCGGCGCGUUAAUGACCCUGAUUUUUGUUGGACCUUCUAGAUCAGAUACAAGCAAUCUCUCAAGGACAGGCACAUUCUCAAUAACCAUAACGUGGAACAGUUGGAGUGAUCUCUUCCCAAUUGAUGUCUUGUUGCGAGGCCAGUAAGACACAUAAAUCCAUCGGAGAUUUGUCGAGGUGAUGUGGAGGCUAAUGAACCCGUGGAUCUGCUAAAGACGAAGGUACUUGAGUGCAGUAGAGCUGCGGAGCUGGUGCUCCAUAGCCUGCUUUGAGAUGCCAAUGUCGAAGAGGUCGAGCUGCUUGAGUUGAGGGAGAAGAAGGGCGGGCGCGGCAUUAAUCUGGGGAAGAUAGCGGGAGCUGAAGCUGGCGCGGCGCAGCGUUGGCGUGAGGUGGAGCGUGGACAUCGGCAGAGAGCGACAUCGUCCAGCUCCAAAGCUGAGCUCCUCGAGCUAAUCUAGGGCGGGGGAUGAACCACUCGUCGAACUUGGCUUGGACCUUGCAGUUCUUACUGAACACUAGACCAUGAAGGCGCGCGUUGCCACGCCCGUUCAUCCUUAAGACAGGAUACGUAAAUUAAAGAAAUGUUUGAUAAAAUUUAAAUGACUCAGAUUACAAUGCUUCAAUAUUGCGAUGGGGCAUAAUUCUCAGUCAUUUAUUAGAAUUCUUUGACUAAUCACUUAAAUCCUUUGUUAGUGCUUUUUUAGGGCCAAUGACGGUGGGAUUUGUUAGUAUUUUCCUAUAUCAUAAUCAUCAGAAUGUUCCAGAAAUAGACAUAACAAAAAACAUACACCAUUUUAUCUUAGUCUUGUGUGCUUUGCACAUAAUUGAACUCUCCGAGAGUUAUUCAAUGGAAUAUCUCAAUAGAAUUAGCUAUCUUCUUAGGUAAAAUGAGCAUGCUGCAGCAAGGCACAAACGGUAUUCAAAAUCAGGAUCCUCACAAGCAUUCCAAACAUUCAACAGACUUUUUACUUAAAAGGUAAUCAUUGUAUAUAACAAUGAACAAGUCCGGAAACAACAAUCUGACAAAAAACUGUCUAACACCUCUUUAGCAAGUGCCACCACAAAUUAGUUUUCAGAAUGCUCUUGUAUGCUAUUUACCUGAACUCAUCUGUGCACAUAUUCUAUAGUUGAUACUGUAAAAGACAUGGCAUGCUAAGUAGCUAUGAUUAGUACUAUAACAUAAGCUAAACAGCUGAUUUGCAGCCUUGCAAAUUGCUUGGGUAACAUGCAGUAACGCAUACAAAGAUUCGUAUUGUUCAAACUGCCUCACUCGACCAAUGUACUCAGAGAUUCAGGGAUAAUCUCUGUUGACAUACAUCUAUCAGAAGACAUACAUCUACCAGAAGAGAAAAGUGAAGGUAUAAUUCAUAAGAAGGCUCAUAUUUAUCUCCUACAACAUGAACGACAUUGCUACAUCAGUUGUUGGUUUAAUACUUUAGGACAUCAUUACCGAAAUUUUAUUUAUUGAUACAAAAUGUCUUCCAUGAGUGGGUAGGCGUGAACUGAAAAUUUUAAGGCAGAAAUUCAUAUAAAUCAUUGAGUAAAGAAAUUAAAAUAUACUUAAAAUAUGGGGAGAAAAGCUCACCUAGCCUUUGGGACUGUUUGCGCAAUGAGGACUGAUGAAUAGCUGCCUUCAGGUCGGCUUUGUUGCCCAGUCUCUUACCCUGAGAAACUGUUGGCCUCUUUCUCCUAGAGUUGCUGCCGCCAAGGUAGCAUUCGAGAUGGUGGCUUGUUGGCAUGCACUUACACGCGUGGCCUUAAUCGUCCAGUUGCGCAUUGGUCGUUGGUCGUGCGUGCUCUGGCCUGCAACCUCCAUGGAAGAACGCUGCAGGGCACGACAUUGCGAAGAUGAGACCCGCUGCAGGGGCCUGCGGAGGAUGAGUAGAGGGCAUUAAUGCCGAGGCCGACAAGCAAUAGAAGCUCGCCGCCGGGACGGAGGUCGGCGGCGGCGCAACACAGAAGAACAUGGGAGCAGCUCGAGGAUAGGUUAGGCGACCUGGCAUGUUAGAUGGAUAACAUACGAAUCUAGGAGGCUUUGUCCGUUCGACUGGAAAACUCUUGGGCCUUCUACCUAACGGCCCAAUUCGGGACAGUUAGCGUAACUCGUUCCCCAGAGCAGCAGCCCGAAAACAGUACGCUGGACGGCCAAACAAAUCAUGUGCGUAGGUGAGAGUGAUCCGAUGGCUGUGAGCAUCAAAUCACUGUGGAGGUCUGUAGCUUGCCUCGUUUUACUGUUUCUCAAUGCGGAUAUCAAGACAUCUGGCUGGCCCAGGGUGCGAUGAAAGGAUCUUGGAGACUGCGGCCAUGCGUUUGCAAUCCCCAUCGCAGAGGCAGCUGUCGACGGUGAGGUUGAGGGGGACGCGGCGCCAGAGGGGGCAUCACCGCCGGGAGAGCAGGGCAGUCCGCGUGGCAGAUUUGGUGGGGAGGAGGCCGAUGAUGACGAGCAGCAUGUCGUCGGGGAGGCUGCUGAUGAAGUCCAGGCUCGCCGGAUGCAGUUUCGGCUCGAGCCACCUCCGCUUGUUGGCUGCCUCGCCGUCCAUCUCAACCGGCGGCGAUGCCGGUGUACACAUGUGAUGGUGUGUGUUGUGUGCUGGCCUGCUGGGUGUGCGCGAAUGCGUCCUUCUGUGCAUGCUGCUGCGUAGUGGUGAAUUGUGCGCGAGUGCGUCCUUCACGCGGAAGAAGUGUGUCCUCAAUGCGACCUCAAUUUACUAGCGUGCGGGGUGCUACCCCGAGUGGUUUCAACUUUGUUUACUUCACCGCAUGUCAGAUGGGCCUCUAGUUUACUUGUUUUCACCCACUACUAGAUAGAGAACACGAGCUGACAAGGCAGCAUGUGGACUAGUUGACCGGUCAACUAAACAAUAUACGGAGCUAUACGCUGACAAAGUGACCGUUUAAUCCGUCGGUAUAGAGAGUUCGAGUGAGUGGGGAGGCCCGUGAGAGAUAGCAGAGAGAGAGCUACUCCCUCCGUUCGAUAAUGUAGUGCCAGCAUUGUUUAAAGUCAAACUUUUGAAACUUUGACCAAGUUUAUAAAUAAAUUACUUAUAUCUACAAUAGCAAAGAUAAAUGACAGCAUGAAGUAAGUACAUGUUGUGAUGAAUCUAAUGAUCGUUCCAGAUGUAAAUGUUUUUCUCCACAUAUACCUUGUCGAACUUUUCUGAGGUUUGACUUUUCAAAGCAUCCAUAUGAUUAUGGACGUGAGAGAGUACCUAACUAGAGAGAGUGUGUGUGAAAUAGAAAGAGUGACUGAAAAAAGUGUGUGUGCGUAUGUGAAAGAGAUAUGGACAACACACGAUAAAAGUAGAGAAAAAGCGUGUGUCUUAUGCAAACAUAUCACACAUGCAUCUUCGAUAGCGGAAGCAAGGUGAGGAGAUAGUGUGUGGUUGUUUUCAACCGAGAGAGAAAGACCCCUAGCACGUGGCCAAGAGGGGUUUGAAAAACAAGGGAGAGAGGUCGAGAGAGAGAUACGGAGAAAAUGCAUACAUGGGGAGGAGAGAGUGUAUGUUUGUCAUAGAGAGAUCCCCUGGAGAUCGUGAUGGAACUACAUGGGUGGGAGAUCGAGUGACAAGGUGUGUGCGUGAUAGAAGAUACCCCGAGAGAUAUCGAGAUAGAUGUAUGGAUGGAAGCAGACAAUACGUGUGUUCCUGAUGGCUAGUGAGAGAUAAUCAUACUUAGGGGGGAGUGCGUGCUCCUAUGAUUGAGUGAGGGAUUAUGGUACUUAGGGGGGUGCGUGUCACAUAGAGAGAGAACAAGGAUGGAUAGUGUUUGAUGGAUCUAUGUAGCGCGAGCGAGACAUGUGUAUGUGUGAACCAGGGAGAUAUAAAGUUUGAGAGAGAUAGAGGAGACCCGAUAAGGCUGAGUGGUGCGUCAGAUAGCUGAGAGGGGGAAAGAGAUAUUCCAUCCGCUCGAUAAUGCAGUGAAUGUAAAUUUUUUAGAAGUCGAACUUUGGAAACUUUGACCAGGUUUACACAAAUGUUAUUUAUAUCUACAAUACCAAAGAUACAUCAUACGAAACCACAUCUCAUGAUGAAUCUAAUUCUAUAUGUCUGCCGUUCUAGAUGUAAAUGUUUUUCUCCACGUACAUGGUCAAACUUUGUGAUGUUCGACUAUUCAAUAAAUCUAUAUGCUAUGGACUGCGAAGAGAGUGCCUAAGUCGAGAGAGAUCAAGUGCGUGUGGAGGAGAAUGAGUGAGUGUGCAAAAAGAGUAUGUGUGUGAAAGAGAAAGGGACAACGAACGAUAAAUUAGAGAGAGAGUGUGUGUGUGUGUUUUCGUUUCUUAUGCAAACAUAUCACGCAUGCAUCUCCGAGAUAGAAAAGCGAGGUGAGGAGAUACACGAAGAUAGCUAGUGCGUGAUUGUUUGCAACGGAGAGAGACACCCCUAUAGCACAUGUCCAAUAGAGGUCUGGCCAACAAGGAACAAAGGUCACUACUAGGAAAAGGGCUAUAGAUGGAAUGGCCACUAAUGGCGCACCAGACAUGUGGUGCACCAUUCCUAUGUAGCAGUGGCGCACCGUGUGCUGGUGCGCCAUUAGUGUGAAAAACACUAAUGGCGCACCAGACACGCGGUGCACCAUUAGUAACAAUUUUUUUCCAGACAUACUAAUGGCGCACCAGGACAUAGUGCGCCAUUACUAGUUGUAACUAGUAAUGGCGCACCAGCAACAUAGUACGCCACUAAAAUAUUUUUUUAUUUUUUACUUUUUUGCAAAACUACUAAUGGCGCACCUGGGGCAGUGCGCCAUUACUAGUUUAAGCUAGUAAUGGUGCACUGCUCCCCCGUGCGCCAUUAGUGUUUUUUUGCAAAACUACUAAUGGCGCACCACCAGCAGGUGCGCCAUUAGUAACCAGGGUUACUAAUGGCGCAUUAUGUGGUGGUGCGCCAUUAGUAACCUAGGACGAGCUAGAUAUUUUGGACAGCCACACCUACCCACUCACUUUCCCCACUUCAUUCUCUCCUCCCUCCUCCAAGCUUGUCUCGGCUGCCUCCUCCUCCUCACCUCAUUUGCACCAUAAAUUCAUCCAAAUUACGUGGUUAAAGCCCCUUUUUUUGAUAGGUAAGUAAGGGGGAAGCUAUCUUUAUGUUGUUCUCCCUCCAACAACGUGCACAUGCACUUUUUAUGUCCUAGCUAGAUCUAUGUAUGUUUGUGGUGUUGCAUAUGUUUGUCGUGUUGCAUAUAUGUUUGUUUUUGCAGGUACCGGUAUUUGAAAUGCGAUAGUUGCCAAUAUUUUGCCGGAAUGUUGAUUCAUUUCCGUUUCGGAGAGAAUUUUGGCACUAUGCAUUCUUUUUGGUCCUAUUUUUAGGGAAAGUCAUGCCAAAUUUUUCUUGGUUCUAAAAUAUCGUUUUGCUCUACCCCGCAGGUGACCAUGGUCCGCACGAUGACCGAAGGCAUCGUGAAUAGGUUUUUGAGAUCCGCGAAGGCCGAGAUGCUUGAAAAGAACGAGACGGAGAUAAGAUGUCCGUGUCGAAGAUGCAAGUUGAAGAGCCUUAUUGCGGACCCGGAUUCCGGGCAGGUGCGGGACCACCUGCUCUUGCAUGGUUUCAUGGAUGGCUAUCGGUGGCAAGGUGAUGAAGAUGACUAUGAAGUCGUCCAUGGGGGUCGGGCAAGAAAUGAAGAUGGGCAGCAAGACAACCACCGCGGCUCGGGCGGGCGAGAAGACGAAGAAUCUCCAGGACAUGAUCACGAUGGUGAUGCUGUACACAGUCAUCAUGUAGAAGAUGCCGGACAUGAUGAUGAGGAAGAUGCGGGAGCAGACGAAGGGCAUGAUCAUGAAGAUGAAGAUGCCGGCGGAGCAGACGACGAUGGACCAUCGAUGGGCUGGGUGCAGGACCCUCAUAUUCAAGAGCUGCUUCUCAAGCAGACGGAUAACGCAAGAGCUGCCGCCCGAGAGAAAGCCAAGCUGGAUCAACUGGAGAUAGACGCGGUUACUCCAUUGUAUGAAGGAUCCAGGCCCGAGGAUACCCGCCUGAAAGUAACGCUCAUGGUUCUGGAGAUGAAGGUAAAGCACAAAAUGACCGACGCAUGCUUCGACGAGAACAUGUCAUUCUGGCACGAACGUCUUCCCAAGGGGAACAAGUGCCCGACCAGUUUCGAGGAGGCGAAGAAAAUCAUGUGUCCUCUGGAUUUCCCACACGUGAAAUACCAUGUGUGCAUGAACAAUUGCAUCAUUUAUCGGAACGAGCACACGGAGUCUACCAUAUGUCCGGUGUGCGGCGUCACUCGAUACAAGAAGAGGAAGAAAGCUCCUCGAAAAGUGGUGUGGUACUUUCCGAUCACUCCUCGUCUGCAGCGGUAUUUUGCGGACCCUAAGGUAGCAAAGCUCCUGCGUUGGCACGCGGAUAGGGAGGAGAAGAAGCGAGAAGAUGACGCAAAUGAUCCGGAGAUAAAUAAAAAAGACAAGAUGCUGAGUCACCCUAAGGAUGGGAGCCAGUGGCAAGCGUUGAACUUUGAACACCCAGAAUUUGGUAACGAUCCAAGGAACAUCGUGCUGGGCGCGAGCACCGAUGGAGUCAAUCCGUUUGGCAGCCAGAGAAGCACACAUAGCACCUGGCCUGUGUUUUUGGAUGUACAACCUUCCCCCUGGCUAGACACGCUGUGGAAAACGCCAGCCAAUACGUGGGACGCCGCAGAGAAAGAAUAUUUCCCUAUGAGAGCCGCACUGCUCACGACGGUGCACGACUAUCUCGGUUUCGGAUAUCUCGCGGGGCAGGUGGUCCACGGAUUUUCUGGAUGUGUCAGGUGCAUGGAUGACACAACGUAUCGCCAGCUAGAUAGAGAUCCCGGGUCUUCGAAAACCGUGUUCAUGGGACAUCGAAGGUGGCUUCGCGACGAUGACCCGUGGAGGAAACGCAAGGAUCUGUUCGAUGGUGAAACCGAACCCCGAAGACGCCCGCGUACGAGGAGCGGCGAGGAAAUAGAUGAGCUGUUGAAAAAUUGGAAAGAUUGCCCACUGCCGGGAAAGAAGCAAAAGGCGCCAGAGCCGGGAAAGAAGCGAAAGGCGCCAGAGCCACUGCUGAAGGUAUGGAAAACGAGGUCUGUUUUCUGGGACUUGCCGUACUGGAAGAUCCACCGUGUGCCUCACAGCCUUGAUGACAUGCAUAUCACGAAGAACGUGUGCGAGAGUCUGCUUGGUACCCUGCUCAACAUGCCAGAGAGGACCAAAGAUGGGCCGAAAGCAAGGGCAGACUUGAAAUCAAUGGGCAUCAGGGAGGAGCUUCACGCUAAUGAUGAUGAUGAUGAUGACGCGAAGCAGGACACGGAAAGUCGUCGCAAAGGAAAAAAGGCCAAGAAGACCGGAAAUGACUUCCCUCCCGCGUGCUUCACUCUAAGUCAGGAGGAGAUCGAUCAGUUUUUCACCUGCCUCGUAGGAGUAAAACUUCCUUAUGGUUACGCGGGGAAGAUAAGCAGAUACCUAGACUCAGUGAAGCAGAAGUUCAGCGGGAUGAAGUCUCACGACUGUCACGUGCUGAUGACGCAGAUACUUCCAGUUGCAAUCCGUGGGAUCAUGGACGCGCAUGUCCGUGAAACGCUAUUUGGCCUAUGCAACUUUUUCGACGUCAUCUCUCGGAAGUCGGUUGGCGUGAGGCAACUCAGAAGGCUACAGGAAGAGAUCGUGGUGAUACUAUGCGAGCUUGAGAUGUACUUCCCUCCCGCAUUCUUCGAUGUUAUGGUGCAUCUGCUGGUCCAUAUCGUGGAGGAUAUCAUCCAACUCAGGCCGACGUUCCUGCACAGCAUGAUGCCGUUCGAAAGGAUGAAUGGUGGCAUCAAAGGAUACGUUCGCAACAUGUCACGUCCAGAGGGAAGCAUAGCCAGGGGCUUUCUGACCGAAGAGUGCAUCUCCUACUGCACGAAUUAUCUAGGCAUCGAGAACCCCGUUGGUCUGCCCGUCAACAGGAACCUCGGCAGGCUCGCUGGAUGGGGUCACUGUGAGGGUCGCCGCGAAAUGCAUGUCGACUUCGAUGGUCGACUCGCCGACUUUGAAAGAGCAAACCUAGUCGCGGUACAACACAUAGACGUGGUCGAUCCUUGGGUGGUAGAGCACAAAACAUUUAUUGAGAAGACGUACAAUGACCGAGGCCAACAGAGGACAGACGGAGAUAUAAUCAAAGAGCACAACUCAUGUUUCACGCGUUGCUUCAAGCAGAAGCUUCUAUCGUACCCUUUACAUGACGAUUCUUCCGCGGAAGAACAACUCAUAUUCGCCUUGUCACAGGGCGCCGAGCACAACCUGAUGACGUAUGAGGCGUACGAUAUCAACGGCUACACAUUCUACACCGAGGACAAGGACAUGAAGAGCGAUGGUUAUCAGAACUCCGGGGUAACGAUGGAAUCCUACACUAGUAACGACAUGGAUAGAUACUACGGAAGGAUCGAGGAGAUCUAGGAGCUGAGCUACGCUGGAGAGAAGGUCCCGAUGUUCUGUGUUAGAUGGGCCAAGAGCGUCAUAAAAGAAGACCGGUAUUUCACCACCAUGGUUAUACCCGAAGCCAAAUCCAAGACCGCAGGCGCGAACGUCACCGCGAAAAAUGAGCCAUGGGUACUGGCUUCCCAAGUGGACCAAUGCUUCUUCAUUACCGGCCCAUCAAAGCCCAGUCGUGUUGUCGUGAGGAGAGGCAAAAGGAAGAUCAUCGGAAUGGAUGGAGUCGCCAAUGAGCAAGACUUCGACAAGUACGGCGACCCGAAGAUGGAACAUGAUGACGACGAUGAAGUAUUAGCAUACACCACAAGAAGAAGCAGGACCAGCCUACCUAAAGGACGUCCGUUCAAGAGAAGAACUCCAUUUACGAAAAAUAAGGGCAAGAAGAUUGUGAACAGAUAGCUAGCUAAGAUCGAUUGUAUUUAAAAUGUAGCCUUCAUUUCUCGAUUGUAUUUCAUGGGCACUUUUUGAACUCAUGAAUGUUUUUAAAUUUCAUGGACACUCGAUUGUAUUUCUCGAUUGUAGCCGACGCCCCGCACCCUCCCCCGCUCCACCGGCCGCUGCCGCCGACCCCCGGCCCGCACCCUCCCCCACUCCACCGUCGCCGACGACCCACCGCACCCUCCCCCACUCCACCGGCCGUCGCCGACGACCCCGCACCCUCUCCCCCGCAGCCUCCCCGGCCCGCUCCACCGUCACAAAUGAAUGCAACUAAAUUUGCAAAAAAAAACAAAUUUGAUUAUAUUUUCAAAUAACAAAUUUGAUGAUAUUUUUUAAAAAAUCAUAAAUUUUUUGUUAAAAAAUAUUACUGUUAUGAUUUAAACAAGUUUGAACAUAUUUAAACACAAAUAAAUAUCAAACAGCAUUUUAAAUGCAUAAAAAGAAAAAUUGCGGAGCCUGGGAAUCAAACCCAAGACCUCCUAGUGUGUGUGAUGCGUGCUGACCAGUCGGGCUAGUGGGCGUGUUCUGAUGGAGAUAGGGUUAGGUGGGAUAUAACCUGACCAAUCGGGGUAGUAAGUAAAACCAAAUUCUAAUGGCGCACCAGGGGGAGGUGCGCCAUUAGAAUCGACAUACUUGUUCCCCUCGCACUGUGGCCUCCCGCCCUCCCUCGCCAGAUCCCCCACUCGACCCCAACCGUACGCCGCCGCCCCCUUGCUCCGCCUCCUCCGUCCGCCGCGCCUGCAUGCCGUCCGCCGUUGUGCUCUUGCGCUGCCUCAACGCCGCCGCCCCGACCCCCGCGGGACUCCACCCCCGCCGCCCCCGCGCCCCCCGAACGGGAUCGGCCGAGCGCGCNNNNNNNNNNNNNNNNNNNNNNNNNNNNNNNNNNNNNNNNNNNNNNNNNNNNNNNNNNNNNNNNNNNNNNNNNNNNNNNNNNNNNNNNNNNNNNNNNNNNNNNNNNNNNNNNNNNNNNNNNNNNNNNNNNNNNNNNNNNNNNNNNNNNNNNNNNNNNNNNNNNNNNNNNNNNNNNNNGCUCCUCUCCUCUCCUCCUCCCUCCGACGAGCGAGGGCCUCUUCCGGCCCCUGCAGCAGCCGGCGAGCGCGGCCCCGACGCGCCCAUCCCGCCUGCCCCUGCCGUCCUCCGCCACCGGCCCCUGCUCUCCUUCGACCGCGGCCCCGACCCCGACCCCGACCCCUCCGGCGAUCAGGUACCUCUCCUCCUUCCUCCUUCCUCUGUGCUACUGCUAUGAACUAAUGGAAGUGUCAUGUGAACUCUAGAGCUCUGUCACCAUCAUUCAACACUCUGCUUGCUUGAUGUAGUAUUAGCCUAGAAAACAAUUGUUGGUGUAGUAUUAGCAAAUCUGGGUCACUAGAUCAAAAAAAUAAACGGUCCAAAAUAACUUGUUGUACUGUAAAAGGUCUCUUUUUUAUGCCUAGAAAACAAUUUUUCUUUCCUUUUCUUUUACAAGAUCGAACAUACUGCUAGGAGAAUAUACUUUACACUACUCUGUCAUCAUCACUGUUAUAGGAAGUAACUCCAAAUUUAGCAAAAAGUGUAUAUUGUUAUUUUCUUGUCAUAUUCUUUAGUUUGUAUGCAAUUUUUUUAACAAAAUUACUGCCAACUUAUACUCUAGUUAUUUUCUUUUCAUAUUCUUUAGUUGUAUUGGCAGGGGUCACCGAAAUUAUUAUUUUUCUGUCUUAAAAUUAAUUUUCAUUUAUAUUAUAUCCUAUAACACUAUCAAGUAGCUGAGCACUUAGAUCUUCAUCUCAUAUGUUGGAAAAUGAACUAGACAUUCACAGAGGCCAGUUGGUCUAGAAUUAUCCAAAUUAUGUCAGUUUUUAGAUGCCAAAGGAAAAUUCAGUUAUGGCAUCUAGAAUUAUGUCAGUUUUGUUUUGUAACUAGAAGACCAAAGUGUUAGGAAUUCUGUCCAAACUGUAGUUUUCAGUAUUCUGUCCAAACUGAAAACUGUUAAAAAGACCAUGUGUUUUUUGGUCAAAAUCUGCAUGUAAAACUGAAACAAUCAGUCAUAAAGAAUAUCCUCAAGACCAUGUGUUUCUUGGAUUUCUGUAAUGAUGAUGGAACAUUAUAAAGCAUUGUACUCCGGUGUGUAUGAAGGAUACAAAAAAUUUAGCAACUUCUCUUAUUUUAUAAAGUUGUUCUUAUAUGGGUGAAACUUCACUUGUUUUUAGGCUAGUGCAGGGUGUUGCUUUAUUGUGAUGCCUCUGAAUUACUUGUGACAUGAGUAUUUGGCCUGCCAUCAUGUUUUGUCUCCGACCAUUGUGUCGUGAUGAAUUUGCAGGUACCCCGAGAGGCCCUUGAGUUUGCUGGAAUGUCGAUUAACUUCCGUUCCGGCAAAUUCGGGUACUCCAUAUGUCCUAUUUUCAGCAAAGGUCAUGCUGAAAUUUUCCCUAUGAGAUUUAGCAUGACUUUGCUAAAAAUAGGACAUAUGGGGUACUUGCGACUAAUGCAUGGGCCGGGGUAUCUUAGUACUUAGUUAAGUAGGAUCGACUGCCCCGCCAUUCUUGCUGCAUUAAACCAUAGGUGGCAAUAGAUCCAAGUGAUUACGCCCAACUUAGAAUUCUCCUUAGCAUCGAUAAACCCUAGAUGAUAAACCCAAAAUAGGUGGCAAUAGAGCCAAGUGAUUAGUGCCAAGUGAUUAGCCCCAACCUAGGGUGCCUUGGCAUCGAAAAACCCUAAAUGAUGAAAACUUAACUUAGCAUUUAGGGUGCCUCGGCGUCGACAAACCCUAAAUGAUGAAACCUUGGCUUCUAUAGGGUGCCUCGGUGUCGAUGAGAACCUAAAUGAUGUACGCUUAGGCUUUUAGGGUGCCUCGACGUCGACAAACCCUAAAUGAUAAAAGCUUAGAUUUUAGGAUGCCUCGGUGUCGACAAAUCCUAAAUGAUGAGACCAUGAUCUUGUUCCUUGACAAUAACCAACUUUUUGACCAAACUUUUUUCCUAUUUAGAGCGAAACAUGGCCCACAACGAUGAGGCCGGCGGUUCGGGCGGCAAGCAAUUCUGGGAGCUGUCCCAGGAGAUGGAGGAAGAACCUCACCGCUAUGAGGACGCCGUGGAAGACACCGAUCCUGACUACAGAACCCCUAGUGGCGUCGGGGAUGACACCACUGAUGGUGCCGCCGAGGAUGCCACCACUGAUGAUGGCGGCGCACGCACAGAUGGCAGCCAACCGAAGAGGCAACGGAAGGACCGGCGCCCGAACGUGCUCGGCACCGUCAAGGAGGAAUUUACUGAAGUGAACUCCGACGGGCAUCCAAUGGCGCCCAAACAUGUAGUCAAGGGGUACUCGGUUCAGCUCGGGUGCAUUCUCCGGAGCACCGUCUCGAUCAACACCGAGAACCUAAGGCAUAAGGACCGAGGGAAUUUGCGCUGCCUCCUCUUCACGAAGUUGCACGAACGAUACAAGUUCCCCAAUGAGUUUGCAAACACACGCCUCUCAGGGAAUAAAGUGAACAGUGCCGCCCUCACGAGGAUGAGCACGGCCCUGUCUACAUGGAGAAGCACGGUGAAGGCAAUGAUUGAAAAAGGUGAUAGUUAUGAGAAGAUCAAGGUGAAAUAUCCUUUGAUGAGGGAAGAUGACUACAAGGAGUUCAAGAUCAAGUGCGAGAGCAGCGCAACCUCCGAAUCAAGUCAGUGGGGGAAAGAAAUGCGGCAGUUGAACUUAGGGGUCCACCAACUCGGUCCCGGCGGUUAUAGAGUGGCGGAGCCUAUAUGGGACAAGGAGGACGUGGAGCGUGCCGAGCAAGGCCUACCGCCCCGCUUCGAGAAAUUCCCUCACAAGCAGACCAGGAACUUUGUCAGGGCCCGGUACAAGGAGGACCCGGUAACAAAGGAGCUUACCACGGAUUCGAAGACCAAGGCGCUUGAGAAAGUUCUGGUAAGGAAUACACCCCCGCGUAAUUAGCUACAUAUAUGGUUGCAUUCUAGUUAAUGAAGCCAAAUUUCUAAAUGGUUCACAUUCCUUCCGCAGGAGGCUGAAAGCAGUAGCGUGGGGUCAUCUCAGAGCUCCCCUUUUGACACCCCUUUAAAUAGGGCGUUCAACGUAAUGAAAAACAAGGAUAAGCUCAGUAAGCCGUCGUCAGCUGGUCGUCUGGCCGGCAAAGGCUUGUCCACAAAAUGGUCAUCAUACUAUACCGCUGGUGGGCGAAAGGAGAAAAAGACCAGCUCGGAAAGCCAGUCGCGCGAGGUUCAAGAACUGAAGGCACAAGUGGCGCGGAUUCCGGAGAUUGUCCAAGAGCAAGUGCAACAACAACUGGGAACGACGCUCACCGCCAUUGUGCCUACCUUGAUUCAGGGGCUGACGACGUGGAUUGCGGGCGGCCAACAGGGGCCUCCCCCGGUUCCUAGCUUCACGGCCAGCAACUCGCACAACGCGCAGGCGGCGCCAUUGGUGUCUCCGGCGGAGGCGGUAUUCGUGUCUCCGGCGCCGGCACGGGCAUUGGAGCUUAAUGCACCUGGGUGUACGCCGGCCGGCACCUCGCCAGCAAGCGGCCCCUCCGUCAGUUGCACGCGCACGCCCGCCGUUGGUGGUGCCUCGACAUUAGCAGAGCUCGACGGCAUCACGGUAACUAAGCCUCUCGGCCGAUGACUUCAUCUCCUUGCCUUUAACUGGGCAUCCCUGACGCCCUACAUGUUUUUGCAGGGCACCACCGAUGUUCCUUGCACUCUCCUGCACUUCGUGGGCGGCGAGUUGGUCGAUGUCGCCAAGGGCAGAAUCGUUCAACCGGGCAACCGCGUGUUCCACGGUAAUCCGAUGCCACCCACCUUCUAUAGGGUUGAACUGGUUCGGGUACUGCCAGGCUGCGACGAGUUGUUACCUCCGAUUCGACCCGUUGGGGCCGACGAAGAUGAUGUGAUGACCCUCAGCGCCUGUGUAAGCUGGCCCCUACUUUGGCCGAAGAGCCAGAUUCGUUUGGGGGCGGGGGACACCACCCCACAGACAAGACCGCCAGUCGUGCCAGUGCCAAGCCAUGGCAAGAACGCCGCAAUGCUACCGGACCUGCCGGACAUCCCUAUGGCACAGGAUCUGAACAUGCAUAUGGCACAGGAUCUGGACGACAACGACGACGGUACAUUUACCAACGUCGAUAAGUACUUUGCCGAAAAUGGGUACGGUGACGAGUUCUGCGGGCCUCCUUCUCAAGAACCCAACCCUCAAAAAUACGACCGCGAUCUAGCUGGUACGGCGGAGAAACCCAAUUGCAACAGGCGUCGUCUGGCGUUCAGUUCUCAGGAGACGCCUCCAGCUGCCGCCUUCACCGAGCCUCAGAUAGCUGAGGUGCCAAAUAUUAUCAGCCCCAACACGCUCAAGAAGGUGGUCUGUGAGCAGAACUCGAUCCCAUUACAGCAGAUCAAGAAGAAGGGACGGAAACGAAAGACUAACAAGGGCGCCAAUGCGAGCCAACCGGCACCGAGUACGAUCCGUGCUCAGGACAGACCACCUUCACCUAAGGAUAUCUCGAGGAGGGUGCAUGUGGCGGGUAGGCCGAUGCUACCGACAAAUAUGCUCAAUGCUGCAACCGGUGCUAUGCGGAGUCUGUAUGACAGUGUUCUUUCUUUGGAGAAGCGGCGUCUCAGAGAGAAUGAUGUGGCAUACCCGGUUUUCGUGGCCAAGUUGCCAGAGGGCAAGGGCUUUGUGGAUAGCGCCGUCGGGGGUACGAUCGUCCUGCGAUUUGAUGACAUCUUUUCUAUGCUUAACCUUCAUCCGCUGCACUACACCUUCGUUCGGCUGUUUUCGCUGAGUAUGGGGAUGCGGAUCAUUAGAGACAAGACCCCGGACAUUGUGAUAGUCGACCCCUUCUACAUGCGUGCCAAGAUCUUGGGCAGCGCUGGGGACCGGCAAGUCGCGAGUUCACACCUCGAAGGCGUCAUUCUGGCAAACCCAGAUAAGGAUAACUUCCUCGUGCCUUACUUUCCCGAGUAAGUCAUCUCCUAACCGCCCCGUAACAUAUGAUUUCUUAGAUUUCGAUCGUUCUUUUUUUUCUAACAUUCCGUGUUCUGUGCAGUGACACACAUUGCACACUCAUCCUCUUAAGCCCGAAAUAUUCCAUGGCCACGUAUCUCGACCCGGACCGUGACUCCAAGAUAGACUACACAAAUAUCAAGAAAGUUAUUGAUGAUGCUCUCCCCGGCUACGCCGCAUCUGGAGGCACCUUUAAGAGGCCAGUUCGUAGGUACGGCAGGCACGUGUUCACCCACAAUACGACGUUCCCCUGCGUCAAGCAGCCGCCUGGCGGUCAGAAGGAUUCCUACUACGCCCUCCAUCACAUGUGGGCGAUCGUGCGGGACUAUAAUCACCUUCUGCUACCAAAUAAUCUCAAAGAUUGGGCCGCAAGCUUGGGGGCAAUCCAGGACGCGGACAUCCGACAAGAAUUCUUUCGCAUCCAGUCGGAGUUUGCAGAAAUCAUCCAUCAAGAUGUCCUUCGUACCUCGGGGCAGUUCUACCUCAAAUUUCAACCGCCCAACAGCGAGAUAGACACAACGCUACAAAUGCAGUCUGACAACGCCCGCGACUUCAUGACCAUCACGACAGACGGCGGCUUCAUCCACGCUCCGAUCCCAUGAGUCGAGUCGAAAGUUGUGAUGCUAUGUGUAGUUCUGAAACAUUCAUUAGCUCAUGUUGUAAUUAAAUUGUAGUGAACUUGUAUGUCUCUUUGGUUUGGACAGUCGUUCAACUUAGAUGUAAUCGAUGCUAUUUGUUAGUAGGACCAUGAAUCGUGCUAUUUAUGUCUUGCUUUUCUCUUCCGAUCCUUUUGUUGCAUACUUAUAUAUUGCUUAUGUAUUGUCUGUUGUUUGGCUAGUGCAUAGAGAUGCCGUCGUAUGUCGUGUACAAGGGUAAGGUUCCCGGAGUCUAUGACGACUGGGAGGAGUGUCGGAGACAGGUUCACCGUUUCAGCGGUAACAGUUACAAAGGGUACACCACUAGGGCGGAGGAGGAAUCUAGAUACGCGCGCUAUCUAGCGGGAGAGAGGAGGGAGCGUUGGAGGAACCGGAUAAAGACCAGUUUCAUCACCAUGAUGCUCAUCGUGAUGACCGCAUCUCUCUUCUAUGUGAUGGUAGUUUAGAUGAUCGAUAUCGACUUGUAAUGUGAAGACAAACUCGCUACUCGCGGUCUCGAGACUUGUAAUGUUCUAUCUUCGUUCGGUCUUUUGAAUUCGGAGACUAAUAUGAUGAAUUGUAUUCGGAGACUAAUCUUCUAUUGUAUUCGAUGAAUCUGCUGUUGUUGUGUCCUGCUGCUUAUUUUCUGUCCAAUAAUAUAUUUUGUAAUCUGUGCAAAAAUUAGAAAUGGAAAAAAAAUCCCUAAUAUACAUACUAAUGGCGCAUCACGCCAACGUGCGCCAUUAGUAUGCCAAAGGAUACUAAUGGCGCAUCCCAGAGCAGUGCGCCAUUAGUAUGCCAGAGGGUACUAAUGGCGCAUCACCCAGCAGUGCGCCAUUAGUAUGCCGAAGGAUACUAAUGGCGCAUCACACAGCAGUGGCCAUUAGUAUGGCAAAGCACAUGGGUAUAUAUGGCCCCCUGGGAGGCAUACUAAUGGCGCACCGUGGCCUAUACUAAUGGCGCACUGCCCGGUGCGCCAUUAGAGUACCAGAUACUAAUGGCGCACCAGCGGUGCGCCAUUAGUAAAAAUUACUAGUGGCGUGAUGCUAGUGGCGCACCAGGAGUGCGCCAUUAGUAAGCAAAACUGGUGCGCCACUAGUAAGCCUUUUUCUAGUAGUGGGUCGAGAGGGACGCAUGGGGAGGGAGAGAGGGUGUGUUUGUGAUAGAGAGAUCCCCUCGAGAUCGUGAGGGGACUAUAUGGGUGGGAGAUCGAGGGAGGUGCGUGCGCGAUAGAAAGAUGCCCCGGGAGAAAUCGAGAUAGACCAUGCACAUGUUUGUGAUGGAGACUAAGAUUAGCUAGUCAUUUACAUAUAGGGGGGACUGCGUGUGCCUACAAUUGAGUAAGAGACCAUCAUACUUGGCUAGAGAGUGCGAGUGCGAGUGAGAUAUGCAUGUGUAUGUGUGACCCAGGGAGAUGGAGAGUUUGUGAGAGAGGGGGAAGAGCUACAAGACGAUAGAGUGGUGCGUGAGAGAGUUACGGGAAAUGAGCCAAGGAAUUUGUGUGCAUACGAUGAGUGCACCCAAAAUAUUUAGCUUGAACUAGAGAAUCAUACAUAGUGUGCGAGAGAGACCCAUAGAUGGAGUAUAUAUGCAUGCGAACUAGGAAGACCCCCCCCCCACAUACACAAAGAGAGAGAGAGAGAUGGAGAGAGAGGGCGAGUGAUCAACAAGGUCUGUUUGUUGGAUGCGUGCGACAGAAUCGAAGAUUGUCGGCGAGAGAGAGAGAGAGAAGGAGUCCGGGAGAGGGGGAGGUCACGUUUUAUGCAUCAAAGACUGAUAUAAACCAUGUUUCGAUAUAAACUUGCAUUCAAAUAUUUAAAUUGGAGAACAUAUUGCCUGCAAUCCACACAUGAAUGGAGAUAUGCGUAUAUCAAACAAGUUCAUUAAUAUGACUUUCAACUUGUUCAUGGAGUACUAUAAUACUGUACAACAUGCUACUCGACUGAGGUGUUCAAUUUUGGAUUUAGUUCACUAUUUUGACCUGGUGAAUGAGCUAUUUCAUUGAAUCGAGAUAUUUCAUUUUGGGUUUGAUUCCCAUUUUGGAGUGGGUCAACUAUCUGUCAUAUAGUAAAUUGUUAGCAACGAGCAUGUAAAAACACAUUACUCCCGAGCAUCAUCUCUCCAUCUAAAAAAGAAGUGGCAAGCAAAUAUUUCAAAAUUUGAUUCGAAUCGACUUGGUAAAGUAGACGUGGAUGCUCGUUCUCCGAAAAUUUGAAUGAACCGUUAAACACCCUCUGCUCGGUGGAAUUCGCCCGAGCAAAUAAAUGGGAGAUGCGAAAUUAGCGGCCUAUGUUGGACAUGCAUCAAUUGGCGGAUCGUACAUCGAGGGUAGGUUCGUAACUUCAUCCAAGCGCGCCUUCUCCUCGGCCGAAAUGACAUGUGCCGAAUAAUUCAUAAACCAUGGUCGGCAAAACACCCUCUCCUCGCGCGAAAUAGCUCGUGCCCACUAUUUCAAAACACGCUCUCCUCGCCAGAAAUCGCUCGGGCCCACUAUAUUUCAAAACACGCCCUCCUCGCCCAAAAUCACCCGCGCCCACUAUAUUUUAAAACACGCCCUCCUCGCCCGAAAUCGCUCGCACCCACUAUAUUUCAAAACAUGCCCUCCUUGCCCGAAAUCGCUCGCGCCCACUAUAUUUGAAAACACGCCCUCCUCCCCCGAAAUCGCUCGCGCCCACUAUUUGGGAGAAGCAAAGUUACUCUACUAUCCCCGACCCUCAGUACACAGACCCAAGUCGAGAAGCCUAAAGGCAGGGGUAGAACUGUAACUCCCCCCACAUUUCAGACAAAUGCGCCCGUAAGACAUGGUUCCCCCUCCCAAUUCCCCAUUCAUACCUCGUGGGCGCCAAAUCACCUUCUCCCCGAAAGCUCCCUUCUCCCGAGCCGCGAAACCUCAGCCACACCUCCAUGGCGCCCCCACUGCACCAAAUUCACAGUCGCCCUCCUCUCUAAUCCCAGAGAUGUUGUCCAUUUGUCGUCGUGCACUGGGCCGUGUGCCUCUUACUCCGUGCUGCCGGAGCUGCCUCGACGACGAUCGCGUGAACCGUACCGGAGCCGAUACACCCCCGCCGUUGUUCACGGCGCCGGAGCGGCUACAACUUUGGACCCGUCUAGAGCCCCGGCGCUGCUUCCCCGUAGCCGUCGACCAUCACGACAUCUCUGCUUCCCUGCCGCCGGUAACCACCACAAUCGCCCUGGCCUUACCGACUCAGCAGCUGAGCUGCCUACUUCACCGGUCCGCCAGAUAGGUCACUCCCUCAUCUCAAAUCACUUUAUUUAGGCAUCAGUUGUCUAAAUUUUUAUUCUGGGCCAAUCCAUUCCCAAUGGGAAGCAACACCCCUCGAGCCGGCGGAGCUCCUAGGCUGCCGAUUGGCUGGUGUCUAACGUAAGGGUGCAGGGGCGCAAGUUCUCCGUGGAAGCAACGCUUAGAUGGCUAUCUUAGAGUCGCGUGGUUUGAAGGUACUGCCGCCGCGGGAUCUGGAUGACGGCGAGUCUUUGUGGAUUGGCCCGAGGGCGGCGCAACCACGGCAGUGCGGUGGGGCGGGGGGCGGGGUUUUGGUCGGGGCCAUGGACGACGGAGGCAGGCUACUCUGCCGGUGGUCGCUGGCUCUUCGAGGAAGAUUCCGAACAGUGUCAACCGGGAGGCACAAGAGGGCCAUCAAGCCAUCCGGCGUAGAUCAGACAGUACCAAAAUAAAAUAAAAUCGUGUGACCCCAAUUUAGUCUUCAGUCAACAGACAUGUGACCACUCUCGUACCUUGCUGUUGAUCUCUUAGGGUAUUUCUUCAGAUCAGAGAGAUGUGUCGUUCUUAACAUUAUGUGUUUUCUGCAUCUUCAGCCACACCGUCUUCCGACUCACCGCAGCUGCUCCAACAAGGGAAGCAUACACCAGAAGGGAGCUAUAGUCCCCACUCAACAGUUCCCUGCAUUGAAUGCGCAUGCCCGACAUGGACAGCCACAACAACUGCAGGGCAUCGACAAGUCAGGACACGAUGCUCACUCCUAUGGAUGGCGGCCAGAUAGGUUGUACCCUCAUCUUACUUGUGUGCAACAUUUAUGGCUCUGUUAUUCAUCUAAGCAUGGAAAAUAGAUUAUCACAUUUCACUGUAUAUUCAUGCUGAUCUCUUACGGGUCUUGUUCAGGAGUUAACGCUGUUCCAUAGUUCAGCUAAGAGACUUGUUCUUUAGGUAACGCCGUUCCAUAGUUAUCAUCCAUCAGCCAAUGCUAUAUCACAAGCUGGUGAUUAUAGUAUUAUACCACUUCUAGUAUAACCUAUGUUGUUCUUUAAUACUUUUGUGUGCCAUCUAGUUAAUCUCGAGUACAAACGAUACAUAUUCUGUAGCUUUCAUCUGUGUUCUCCCUUUAGUUUUUUAGACCUAUUGCUGCUAGUUAACCCCAGUCCUACUAUUGAUGUUGUCUCCUACAUGCACUCAUUACAUAAAUCGAACUACUAGUUGUCUUCCAUGCAUGUCAGAUAUAAUUGCACACACUGAUUUAUCCACAAGAACCUCACAGAGCAAUGUAACGGCCAACAAACUUGACGUCAAUGAUACCCAGUAUGAUGGAACAUGUAAAGACAGUUCUUCACAAUACUUGCAAAAAGAUGAUGAGUCCUAUUCACCCCAUAAGGUCCUUGCUCUAACUUGGACCUUGAUAUGGGUACAGCAUGCAUAUAAUGUCCUGGAGUGCAUCUACUCUGUUGCAGUGCCUUGUGCUUCUCCUGCUGAUCAUGCAUGUAAAUAUGGCAUGCCUUCCUGUUUUUCAGUACCUAUUCCAUUAAUGAUAACAUGUUUUCAAAUUCAAAUACUAUCAUUCUACUCUAUCGCAAUGCCAUCUGCUUAGUUUGGACAUCAUGCUUCUCAAUAUCUUAUGCAUUGGUAUUCAUCAGUAUGUACUCCAUCUGUCUACCAUACCAUGUUUUUUACAUUGAAGUGUUGUUCUAGUGGUCUCUUGCAAUGCCAUCUUAGUUUCCCAAUCAUACACGCAUAUGUUGCCUUAGUGUUUUUCCAUAAUGUAUUCCACUAGCAUACAAUUUUACAGCCAAGUAGUGUUUUUUUACACUGUUGCCCUGUCGUAUCCCUAGCUCUUACAUCAUACUCCCUCCGUCCGGAUUACACGUCGCAGAAAUUGAUAAAACUAGAUGUAUCUAGAACUGAAAUACACCUAGACCCAUCCAUUUAUGUCAGUGUGGAACGACACCUAUGGGAUCACAAGAAUCCCUACUACGGUUGCCGGGGCGCGGGGUUGCGAGAAGAGCAGGGCCAGCAGACAGCACAAGGAUUGUUUACCCAGGUUCGGGCCACGAGGAUGCGUAAAACCCUAGUCCUGCUUUGGUGGGUGUAUUUCAGAGAGUUCUUGAGCUCUUGAACUAGCUAUGGUCAGUGCGUGGUUCGAAAGAGCCGAAUCCUUCUCUAGUAUGCCACAGGCCUCCUUUUAUAGUCGAAAGGGGUUGCCACAGUGGCACACAGGAGGUGGAAAGGCGUACAGUGCCCUGAGCUUAUCGCUCGUAUUACAGGACAAGACGCAUUUAAUGCGUAGCUUAGGUGUCCCCCUGCUUUAUCGCGGACGGGGGCGAGGCUCGUCCCGUCCGUCGCCGCUCCUCCUCGCUUCGACAUGCGCCUUGGCCAGCAAUGCGUGCGGUGCCAUGUAGGCAGGCAGGCAGCUGAGGUGGCGCGGUGGUGGAGCCUUCACGAAGAUCUGCAUGCGCCACACAGGCGCUCAAUGAGUUGGCCUGGAAACUACAUCCUGCCCCGCAGGUGCCUGCCCAGCUGGUUGGGCUGGCAGUUGCAUGUGAACGGUGGUGGAAGCUUGGUUGCCGGCGGGCCUGCCGGUGGUCCUGCUGGCGUCCUUGGCCUUGCCGGGUGGCCCGGCAAGGGUCUUGCCGUGGCGUGCUGUCGUCCCCGGCGAGGGCCUUGCCGGGGCUCUAGUGGCCUUCCUCGGCAAGGGUCUUGCCGAGGAUCGUCGUCUUCUAAUCCUCAUCUGAUCUUGAAUAUGUCUUCACAAAGAUCUGCAUGCCACCACAGAGGUGCCUUCCCGAGCCCUGGCCCCACUUGGAUGAUGGCGUUGGGGACCGUGGGAUCAAGGGUGGCUCGCUCUGUUGGUGUGGGGCGAGCUGCCCCGGCAAGGGUCUUGCCGGGGGAACCUGCUUUGUCCCUCUGCUCUUUGUGGUCUUGGCCUUGGCGUUGCUCUUGUUAUCUUGGGCUUCGGUCUUACCUUGGCUCACCUCCCAUGUUCUGCUUGGCGUGACCGUAGGCGCGGCUCCGACCGCCCGUGCACAGGUAAAGGGGUACAAAAACGCACCCCUGUUUUUGUACACCGACAGGAGCCCCCGGGCCUGGGCCACACCUAAGCGCGACACGUUGUUGGGCCAGGCCCAAAACGGUGCGCGGGCAGGACGGGUGGUUUUUACCGCGGUAAGACUUUUCGUGCGCGGCGCACCCCACGACCCGUGCGCGCGGCGCGGCGUGGAGGGGUGUGCGUGACGUGGGCGGCAUGCGUGGGGCGGUUUCCACAUGCAUGUGUCACAUCGCAGUAAAUGGGCAGCGCGCCCCGUGGCUUCCCCAUAAAAAGGGAUAACCGUGGGCGCACUGUUCGUUUUACCCGUCGCGCAACCCCAAUCUCGGAAAACUCCUCUUGCCAUCCUCUUCUUCUCCAAGCUUCGUUCAUGUUCGCCGCCGUUGCGCUCCCGCCGCCCUUUGUCUUUCCCUCCUCCCCCAGCCGUCAUGGCGCCAAAAUCCACCAAGGGCAAGGGAGUGAACAAGGACGGCGGAGCCGCCGGUGAGUGCGCUGGCGGUCCAGCGGACGCAGUCCGCCUUCUUCCCCUCGAUAGUCGACGUGUUCGAGCUUCGGGACUCCUUCAGGCCCCUGUGGGGAGUGAAGACGGGGGGGGGGGGGAAUUCGGGCAUCCAGGCACGCGCGUCAUCCCCGCCGACUGCGCUGAGGCUGCCCCAAAUCGGUACCCCUUCUUUGUCGAUUAUUUUUCUUGCGGGCUCUGUCCUCCCUUCUCCGAUUUAUUUAGCGACGUCAUGCAUACCUUCGGCUUCCGCCUCCUGGAUUUUACUCCGAAUGCAGUGGCAUGCAUGGCCCUUUUCGCGCAUCUCUGCAAGGGCUUCGCCGGAGUGCACCCCAACACGGCGCUCUUCCGCCAUUACUUCUCCCCUCGGAUCCAACCAGGGGGCGCCAUCUCCGGUUGCAUCACCUGGGUCUCAAGAUCCAAGGGGGCGUAUCCGGAGGGCGCCAUGAAGGAGAGGUGGGAAGAAUGGCGGGGCCGGUGGUGCUGGAUCGAGGAGAAGGACACGGCGUUCUGCGAAGUUCGCCGGGCGCCGCCGGUCUGCAGAAGCGACUGGAGCGACGUCAAUGCUGAAGACGAGAAGCUCACGGUCGCCACCACCAGGAUCCUCCGGCUCACCGAGGCCGGCCUCACCCUUGAGACGAUUGGGGCGGACUUCAUCCGCCGCCGGAUUGCCCUGCUGCAUAACAAGGGGAGGCCAGCCUGGCUCUUCACGAACCCCGCCGACAUCAUGCGGCUUCGUCCCGGCCUCGACCACAACUUAACAGUGAUGGGGCACACCCAUUUCUGCCAGCGGCUCUUCCAGCUUGACGUGGGCCGCAAUGGCGAGGUCGAGCGGACCGGCAAGGUCGCGAGGGCCGGCAAGGUCCUCAAGGGGCAUCUGUUCAAGCUACCGACAGGGGUGGUCCCGUUGUGCAAUAACUCGCGCCGGUCCGAUAUCAUUGCCAUGAUGCUGGACUGCAACGCGCAUGGCCCCGACCUGAGCUGGAAGGAGCCGGAGGACGCCGAGGUGCAGCAGUUCUUUGACACCCUGCACGAGGGGUACGUCAACACCGACGCCGAGCGGCUGCUUGUCCAGGACACCACCCAGGCGGAGCUGGACUACAUCGCCACCAAGGCGAGGGAGGCACAGCUUGCCAAGGAGGCCGGCAGCACCGGCGGUGUGGAGGACAAGGCCGCGACGGCCGCGGAAGAGGAGGAGCUCGCCCGGUGGGCGGCGGCCGCCGAGGGAGCCAGCAGCGCCGGCACCGAGGCUCCUCUGGUUGAAGAUGUGACCGACGAGUCGUCGUCGGAGGUGGCCGAGCCCAGGCCCGACGCCAGCUGCGGGGAGAGGGCGAGUCCUGCGGCGGGCCAGUUCCGGCAAGCCGGUCCGGCCCGGCAGGGCUGCGCGGCCACAGCUGACCUUGGAGGGGUCCGGGCGCCACACGAGGGCCGCGGCGGCAAAGAAGCCGGCAAAGGUCGCGGUGAAGAAGAAGACAGCCGCCCCUUCUUCGCCCACGCGUGUCCAGACACCACCUCCUUCUCCUCCUCCGGCGGAUGUUGGUACGGAGGUCACUUUUGAUUAUGGAUCCCUCAGCCCGAGGAGGAAGAGGAAAACAACAGAGGAGGAGGCAGACGACGAGUAAGUAUCUGGUUCCAUUUCGUUAUCUUUGUCUCCUCAAUCUGUGUUGCUCGUCUUGACUUGUCUUCAUCUUUGCAGGGACAUGGAGACGCUGCCCAGAGAGUGAAGAGGGCCAAGGUCUCGGCGGGUGGCCAGCCCCCAGUUGGUACUUCGGGGGCGCCACUGGCGGUGUUGAGCAGCCCAGAGAGCAGCCCCCGGCAUAGCCCCCAGCCUAAGUUCAUCACUCUUCCCCCGUCGACAUGUGUUAGGGGCACGAUACUUUGGUGCUGACCUUGCCAGGUACGCAGGAGGAGAGCAGCAGCAGGAGGAGCCACAGAGGGCUACUCCCAACACACCGCCCCCAUCGACCACGCCGCCCCGAGGGGCGUCCCCGGCAAGGGCGCCAAGCACCGAGCCCACGCACAUGGAGGAGGAGGAGGAGAACUUGGGCGCCGGCGGCUUUGCCUCGACGCCAAAUGUUGGCGGGGAGGGGACUUCCGUUCCCCAGCCGGGUACUGGCAUAGGUAAGUCAUUCGCCGUUCGUCCCUGCUUCUUUUUCCUUCCGGCUCUUGGUCCUGGCCUUGCUUCACCCCCUUCUUCGGCAUCCAGAUUCCUCCUCGGUGAACCCAGAGGACGUGGACGCCGUCAUCGAGGACGUUGCCAAGGCCGCCGAGGCGUAUGCCGAGAAGAUCGCCGCCGAGGAUGCCGCCGAGGACGUCACCGAGCCCGCUUGGACAAGGUUAAGUCCAGGACGGCGGUGGUGGAGAAGGCGGAGGCGGACCUCCAGAAGCGCGUUGCCGAGACGCAGGACUAGUUCCGCGAGGCCCACAAGGAGCUCAAGGCUGCUCAGGGCGAGCUGGCCAAGCGCGACGUGGAGCUCACCAUAAAGCUCGCCGACGUCGAGAAGGCUCAAGAGACGGCGAAGAACUUGGCCGCAGCCGCAGAAGCCGCCCGCACCCAGCACGAGGCCGGCUGCACUCCCAGGAGGAGGACCUCGCCGCACGCGAGGAGAACCUUGCCGCCAUGCUUCACGGCAAGGAUGCAGAGGUGGAGAAGCUUGUCUUGCCGCGGACCAGUGAGCUGGAGCAGAGGCACGAAGAGGCACUCAAUGCCCAGGCCCAGGUUCACGCCGGCAAGGUGGAGGAGUUGGAGGCGGAGCGCGACGGGCUGAAGGAGCAGGCCCUGAAGCUGUCCCAGGAGAAGGACACGUUUAACAGUGCCCUGACAGAGGCGCAGGCGCGGUCGUCAGCAAGGCUGGGGAGCUCUCUGAGGCCAAAAACUCCAUCAACGACCUCAAGCUGAAGCUGGAGGGUCUCGAGAAGGUGCUGUCGGAGGCCAAAACCCAAGAAGGGACCCUGGCCAAGGAGCUGGAGGGUGAGAAGCUAUUGCGGAAGAACGAGGGCCUCAACUUCAUGGAUCACGUGGUGGGCAAGAACCGUUGGAUCGAUCGCCUCGCCACCGUCGCCAACCAGGCCGCCACGCAGCUGGCCAUCAUGGGGAUGCCGGACAUGAGGUAUAUCCCGGAGUGGAGCGUGAGCGCCAAUUGAAGCCUGACCAUGUUCUUUGAGAAGGUCGUCGGCGCUCUGGAGCGGCUCCACGCCAACCGGGCGGCCUCACUGGCCGACGAGUCCCGGAGGCUUUGCCAGGGUGCCAUGACCAAGGUUCUCACCAAGGUGGUGCACUGGUACCCCGACCUCGACUUCGACGCCGUGCUGGAGAGCUUGCCAGAGGGUACUGACCUCGCGCCGCUCAGGGAGCGCAUCAAGCCCAUCAUCAGCGGGGUCGGCAAAAUCCAGAGGUUGGAGGGCCAGCACCGGGAUUAGGCAUCCCGUUCUUUAUCACCGCUGCAGGUUCACAACCAAGACAAUUACUAUCUCUAGUUAGAACCGCAGCAACAAUUUGAUGUAAUAUAACUCUGCAGCACUUUCAGUAUUAUGCAUGUUAUUUUCCUGUUCGAUGUUCCUUUGUAUGUCCUCCCUACGUUACUGGGUAGGCUCGCCGGCGCGUAAACCCAAGGCGGCGUCUUGGGGAUGGAUCCCCAUUGGCCUGCCGGGUGUGCUUGCUGCCGGGCGAACCACCUUGCCGCCCUUAGCGCGGCUGCCCGAACUGUCGAGCUUUACUCGAGUCAGAGUCGGGAGCGUUGCCAAGUGCGGAAGGCUACCCCGCCACUCUUGACGCGGCCGCUUUGAGCUGUUGAGCGGACUCGAAACAGAACAAGGGCGUUGCCAAUUGCGGGAGGGCCCCUUUGCGUGCAGGUUUCUCAUACAUAGGCGAGAUCUCCGAGGAUGAUAACCUUAUGUAUAGGAGGAAAUAACUCAAAGCUCUGCAUGACUUAGCUUUUCUGUUGCCGAGCCGGCGUCGUUCUCCCGGCCGCCUUCUUCUCAGGAGCUAAGGGUGAAGAAGAACUGCUAGGCUAACUACUAGACCAGAUUCUCACAAUUGCGCCCCCCUACCUGGCGCGCCAAAGAUGUCGGUGUGGGACGACACCUAUGGGAUCACAAGAAUCCCUACUACGGUUGCCGGGGCGCGGGGUUGCGAGAAGAGCAGGGCCAGUAGGCAGCACAAGGAUCAUUUACCCAGGUUCGGGCUGCGAGGAUGCGUAAAACCCUAGUCCUGCUUUGGUGGGUGUAUUUCAGAGAGUUCUUGAGCUCUCGAACUAGCUGUGGUCAGUGCGUGGUUCGGAAGAGCCAAAUCCUUCUCAAGUAUGCCAUGGGCCUCCUUUUAUAGUCGAAAGGGGCUGCCACAGUGGCACACAGGAGGUGGAAAGGCGUACAGUGCCCUGAGCUUAUCGCUCGUAUUACAGGACAAGACGCAUUUAAUGCUUAGCUUAGAUGUCCCCUUGCUUUAUCGGGGACGAGGCCGAGGCCCGUCCCGUCCGUCGCCGCUCCUCCUCGCUUUGACACGCGCCUUGGCCAGCGAUGCGUGCGGUGCCAUGUAAGCAGGCAGGCAGCUGAGGUGGCGCGGUGGUGGAACCAUCACGAAGAUCUGCAUGCGCCACGCAGGCGCUCAAUGAGUUGGCCUGGAAACUGCAUGUUGCCACGCAGGUACCCGCCCAGCUGGUUGGGCUGGCAGCUGCAUGUGAACGGCGGUGGAAGCUUGGUCACCGGCGGGCCUGCCGGUGGUCCUGGUGGCGUCCUUGGCCUUGCCGGGUGGCCCAGCAAGGGUCUUGCCGUGCGGCCCGGCAAGGGUCUUGCCGUGGCGCGCUGUCGUCCCCGGCAAGGGCCUUGCCGGGGGUCUGGUGGCCUUCCUCGACAAGGGUCUUGCCGAGGAUCUCGUCUUUUAAUCCUCAUCUGAUCUUGAAUAUGUCUUCACAAUGAUCUGCAUGCCACCACAGAGGUGCCUUCCCGAGCCCUGGCCCUACUUGGAUGAUGGCGUUGGGGACCGUGGGCUCAAGGGUGGCUCGCUCUGUUGGUGUGGGUUGAGCUGCCCCGGCAAGGGUCUUGCCGGGGGAACUUGCUUCAUCCCUCUACUCUUUGUGGUCUUUGCCUUGGCGUUGCUCUUGUUAUCUUGGGCUUCGGUCUUACCUUGGCUCACCUCCCCUGUUCUGCUUGGCGUGACCGUAGGCGUGGCUCCGACUGCCCGUGCACAGGUAAAGGGGUACAAAAACGCACCCCUCUUUUUGUACACCGAUAAUUUAUUUCCGGAUGGAGGGAAUACAUGUCAAUAUGUCAUGCCUUUCUAUUCUUUAGUACCUAUUCCAUAUCUGCUGUAGCAUGUUUUAUAAUUGAAGCACCAUUCUCCUAUAUAAGGCAUGCAAGGGGAAGACAGCUAUGUUAGAACCUGAAGGGUUACAAACCAGGUCUUUACAAAAGAUCCAAAUGCCAGUAGAUAAUAAACCAACUCCAGCUUUCAUAGAUACUGCUCCAGUAGAGAGAAAGCCAACUCCCACUGAUAAUAAGCAGAUUCCAGUGGCCAAAGAACUAGUCCGCUCCACUCCAGCAAAAAUAUGUCAACUCCAUUCUAAGAAGCGUGUGCGUAUCCUCACAUCAUGAAAUUUUAUAGCAUCCUGAUCAUAUUUUCUACAUGUUUCUUACCCAUCUCUCUUUUAGAAAAUAAGCUUAAAGGAUAGAAGACUUUCUGUACUGGGAUUGUAUUCAAGGAAAGUAUCUUGCAGGAAUUCUCUCUGCUCCAAUGCUGAUGUAAGUACCUGUUGUAUAUCACUACAUUUUUACAUCAGCAUGUAUUUUGUUAAUCGGUGUGAAUCCAACCUUUAUCUGAUCUAAAUUCAGUUGUAGCAAAAUGUUAAAGGCGAGAAUGUUGAUUUUUGUAAGGAAAACUGCCUGAUAGUUUUGCAUGCUGAGCUGCAUGAGUGUACUAUCUCAUAUCUUGCACAUUACUGAAUUGUAAUGCUACUCUGGUUGCCCAUUCAUUCAUUGUGUCAAUGUUGCUUUCGUAUUACUUUACCUGACUGAUGAUAGAUGUGCCAUAUCUAUCUAUACCUCUAUAUACCUAUACUAAUUAGAGACUCCCAAGAAAUUACCACGUUAAUUAGAAAAUACUAACCGUUCAUCUGGUGGGACCGAAUUAUUACGGUGUAGAUUAAACCAUAUAAUCUUCGACAAAAAAAUUUACUCAAAAGACCCAAAAAUCCUUUUGUACAAAUAAAAUCACAUACGUCAGCCCAUAAGAGACGUGCACAAUCAAAUACUAGCACGUAACUUGCCCCUUCCCCAUGUAACAAAAGGAAAAAAAACUGCUAUAUCCCUCUUUGGCAAAAAAAACAUGUGCUGCCAAAAGAAUCUCCACAACACACGUCUCCUCCACCUUGGUUUUUAGGUCCCGUAAUCCCAAAAUACCAUGGUGCCUCCAAUCAUCUCCCUCAUCCCUCUUUGGCAAAAAAACAUGUGCUGCCAAAAGAAUGUCCACAACACAC
rnacentral:lncRNA from 1 species